rnacentral:lncRNA from 1 species
UCAAUUUCUUGAGAGAGGAGAGCUGACAGAGUCCCUUGUAGUCCAGUUUUUUUAGAUUUGGAAAAUCACUGAUGGUUAGACAAGUAAGAGAGAGUGGCAGCAAACCUUCAUCAGGAAAAGAUUCCGCAUCCAGCUCUGUUAUCGACAAGGUUUCCAGAGAGGGAUUGUCUCCCAAAGCCCCUUUCAGUGAGGCCAUGAGUCCCCACGAGCAGUAAGAGAGAUACAUCUGUUUUAGAUUUGAUGGCAAACCUCCUUCAGGGAACGACUCAACUCUUGGACAAUCACAUAUCGUUAGCCCCUUGAGAGAUGUGCUUCCAGGCAAUGAUUCUAAUUGAGGGCACCUUCUGAUUGUCAGAAAUUCAAGAUGAUUAUGGGUCUGAUCCUGUGUAAUCAUCUGUAGAUUACGCAAGCCAUUGAGCUCAAGGGUCCUGAGUGCUGGGAAGAAAUCUAGCGGAAAAGUCUUUUGAGAGUCACAGCCAUCAUCUCUCAUUUCACAAUCGCAAAACAUUCCUUCUUUCGGGCAACAAUAAAUUUUCAGUUCUUCCAAAGUAUCAGACUUUACCAGCAACGAUGCUUUCAUGCCGUGUCCACCCAUACUGAGCUUUUUCAAAGUAGCCCAGUCAAGUUGCAGCUUUCCAAAGUCUUGUUGUUCUAGUUCUAGUUUUAGUUCUAGAGCCCUGGGAGCUGAAGCCUCAAGUUGUUUGCACUCACUAAUUUGUAGCUUCUUUAAAGGAAGAAGUUGCUCUGGGAGGUCACCUUUCAGCUUGGGACAUUUGCUUAUAGAAAGAUAUUGAAGACAUGGAAAAGCACCUAUCACAGCUUCACAUUCCCAUUUUUCCCAUGCUUCCAUAGAGUAGAACUUCAAUGUUUCCAACGAUGGAAAUGAAGAAGUGCUAUUCCCAUGAAAAUCAGCACCAAUGCUCACUAUCCCAUCAAGACUUGAAAUCUCAAGGUUCUCGAGAAAUGGCAAAAGUCCAAGGGAAGGCAAACGUUCGCAAGAUUGACAGUUGUGCAACUUUAAGGACACCACAUUUGAUAAAGAAUUAUCGGAUAACCAAUUUGGGAAUUGUUUACCACCAUAGUUCCUGAUUGACAACUCCUCCAAGUGUUUGGAAGGUUGUAGAUUCUCAAUUACAUCCCUUUCUUUGGCAGAAUCAUCAGGGUUCCGGUGCGAAUUCCAUUCAAACUCUAGUUCCACAAUGCGUGUUUUAUUUUUCAAAUCUGCAGCUAAUGCAUCUGAGGGAUUCUCAAUAUUCUGCAGCUCCCUAAAUGAUAAUCUUUCAUGAACAAGAUUGAGCUCUCCUAAUUGCUGAAUAGUGAACUCGCUACUUUUACCAACGUCAAACGAACUCAUGGAUACUUGAAGAUUCUUCAACUUUCCUAGAUGCGGUGGCACCUUUAUAAUGUUAGUAUUUACAAAUUCAAGGCGAUGCAAAUUGGUGAGUUCAUGCAAAUUUGAGGGCAGCUCCUUCAAAGAUCUACAAUGAUUCAGCUUCAGUAUUUGCAACUUGUAGAGUGAACAUGUGGAUUCAGGUAGUUUUUUAAUGCGAGUAUGGGAAAGGUCUAACGAACGAAGAUGUUUAAAAUUGCAAACAGAGUCAGGCAGCUCUUCAAUGUUUGAACAGUGAGACAGAGAUAAGACGCGUAAGAACUUAAACUUGGAGAACAAUUCAUGUAUCGACAUCUUGCAAUUCCAACUACGGUCAUAAUAUUCAUUCAUUCCCCACCAUGUUGGCAUAAAUGUACGCAAUUUUUUAGUAUCACAUGAAGUUCCAAACUCAUCAAAAUAUCGUUCGGUAAUCAUUGAAACUGAAAAAUGACGGGUUGUUUUCUGUGUACAUUUUGCUUGAUCAACUCUCAACCUGAAAUAGAUGUCCCCACAAACAUAUUUUGCCAAAUCAUUUAGAAGGUCAUGCAUGACAAAUCCUUCUCUUUUUUUUUGCUCAGCAAAGACAAAUCCUUCUUUAUAUAUGCUUGAUUGUUGAAAGAAGGACCUUGAUAGUAGAUCAUUGAAGUACUGUUGGCCAACUUCCUCUGGACUCGUACUGCAUUGAUGGCAGUUUAGGAAAUUUUCAGCCAUCCACAACUGAAUUAAACACUCCUUGUCAAACUCAUAAUCCUUGGGGAAUAAAGCACAGUAAGCAAAGCAUGUCUUGAGAUGGGGAGGAAGGUGGUGAUAGCUCAAUGCUAAAGCAGGAACAAUACUGUCCUUUAAUUCCCAUAUUUCACUUUGGAAUACGCUUUCCCAUUCCCAGGCAAAUGGUUUGUUGUGUAAUAGACUUCCCAUUGACUUCAAGGCCAGAGGAAGUCCUUUACAUUUUUUAACAAUCUUCUUACCAAUAUCUGUGCAUACUGGAUCUCGUGGAAGAUUAUCAUCUCUGAAUGCAUGUUUUGCGAACAAUUCCCAGCAAUAAUCUUCUUGUAAUUGCUCCAGCUUGUGUUGUUCUGACCCCAUGGUAGAAGCAACUUCCUCACUGCGUGUUGUGACAAGGAUCUUACUUCCCUGAGCUCCAUAAACAAGAGCAUUCUGCACAGCUUCCCAUUUAGGUCUGCUUUCGUUCCAAACGUCAUCCAAAACGAGGAGAAAUUUUUUAUCUGCCAAUUUUUCUUUUAGUCUUCUCUGAACUAUUUCUAGCUCUCUACCAUGAUCAGUCGAAUCAGUAAUCGUGUCAAGAAUUGCUCUUGAUACGUUGAAAACAUCAAAUUCCUCUGAAACACAGAUCCAAGCUUUGACAUCAAACUUACUCACUAUUCUUGGGUCAUUGUAUACAAGUUGGGCAAGCGUGGUCUUACCCAACCCGCCCAUGCCCACGAUAGAAAGUAUUGACAGCUUGUUAUCAGUGUUAGAAGUGAGCCAGUUAAUGAUAAUUUCUUUAUCAUCAUCUCUGCCACAAAUAUCACUUUCUACCACCAAAGAUGUUGAUUGUGGCACUUUACCACCAGAUCCUGAUCCAACUACAAGAUCACUAGGCUUUUUCAAACCUAGAUUAUCCAUCCGGCUUGCAAGAUCAUCUAGGUCAUCAAGGACAUUUUUCAUGCUGGAAUUAAUUUCCUUGUUAAAGGAAGUAACAGGGGAAGAUUUGAAGAAAUUGGGUACCUUGCAAGUACAGGUUUGAGAUUCAGAUUGAGGUUGAACUUGGAGUCUGGAGUGUUGUAUUUCAUCCAAGACAUCUUCAACGUCAAGCAUGGCAACUUUGAGCUUAAUAAGCCAGUCUCUCACUGGCAUAUUUCCAAACUGUUUUUGUUCAGCAUCAUCAAGCACAGCUUGGAUGGAGAGGAGCUUGUUUUCUAAGUCCUUCCGCAGCAUCUGGUCGAUCUUUGUUCCACGAAAGAAAUCCAGAACUUGAGGAGAAGCCAGCUUCUGAAAUAGAGCCCCGAGGAAAGAAGAAAGAACAGCACCACCAACGCAUUCUAAUGCCAUUGUAUGGUAGGAAAGGGAGCAGUGGAAUCGAUUAAUGGAAAUCUGUGUUCUCAAGUGCAGCUUAUGCCAAUCACUCAGUGGAAUGAAGUGGUCAUCAAAUCAAAGUAAAGAUCUUUUUGUUUCAAGGUCAGUCAACCAACAACUACUGAGUCUUGCCAACAACACAAACCUUAACAGCUGUAUUCUAUCAAUGAGUGAGUGGCUAUGAUUCUGCUGAGGGUAGCUCUUAUUCUCAUAACAACUUAUUCAUUAAUUGCCUUUUGUAUAUUUACUAGUGUAAAAUCUAAAGAAAUGUUUAUAUACUUUAUAAAGUGUGUAAUUUUUAAUUUAUAAUCUAAUGAAAAUCAUAUGGCCUAAUCAUAAAGUAUACCUUUUAAAGAAUAAUUAGUAUAAUUAGAAUUUAAUUUUCUUUUAUAUAUAUAUAUAUAUAUAUAUAUAUAUAUAACAAAUGUAUAAUUAGAAUUUACUUUUCUUACAUAUACACUUAUUAUUAUAAAGAAUAUCUUUUUCCUAUAUAUGAUUCUCUAAUAAAUCUGUGAGAACAUUACAAAUUGAUAAAAUAAUUUAUAAAUCUUUAUUUUUAAUUUAUUAUUCCUUCCAACAAUAUGAUUUAUCACAAUAAAAAAAAUUAAUCAACGUUUCACAUUGUAUAUUAAUUUAAUUCUUAUAUAAAAAUUACCUCUUUCUCUAAUAAGAAUAUUCCAGAACAUCACAAAUUAUUAAAAUAUUUUAUAAUUUUUUAUUUUUAAUUCAUACUUCAAUCCAAUAAUAUGAUUUAUCUUAAUAAAAAAAUUAAUAUGACGUUUCACAGUCUACACUAAUUCAAUUCUUAAAUUAAAUUUUGUAAUUAUUAGAUAAAUUAAGGUUAUCUUUAAAUACCAGUUAAAUUAGUAAAUGAAACAAUUGUCUUAAAUAUGAUUUAAUGAUACGUUAAUAAGCAUUAAAUAUCAAUCAAAUGAUACAAUUUAAAUUACAUGAAUAAAAUUUAUUGUUACAUUAAAUUCUAUCAAAAACACUAUUAUUAAUAUCAUGAUUUCAAUUUUUAAAAUAUUUAUUAUUGAAAAUAUAAAAUUGAUCCUAAUUCAAAAUUUUAAUUAAUUUAUACUAAUUGUAUUUACGUCAAACUUAAUUUAUGAUAAUAAAAACGAAUUAGAAAGUUUUUAAUAUUAAAUUGAAUUUGAAUAAAUGAAUUUUGAAGAGUAAUAUUUUGUUGUUUCUAAUGCUGAAAACUUUUAAAUUUUAUAUCCUACAAAUUAAAAAUAAAUAUUUUUUCCGUUUAACCCAUUAAAUUGAAUUUGUAAAAUAUAUUUUUUAUAACUAUUUUAUUAUACUUUUUUUACAAAAAUUAGAAAUCAUGGUUAUUUUUUAAUAAAAUUGUGUAUUUAGUUAGGAUUUAAUAAUUUUUUACAUGAACAAAUGAGACAUAUCAUAAAUAAUACUAAAUUUAAGUGCAUUAGUGACACAAAAUUAGACUAAAAUUUUGCAAUCAAUUAAAUAUUAGAAAUGCUUAUAACUUAUGUACCUACCUAGAAUUUUUUUUAAAAUUGGAUUUUUAUCAAAUAUUUAUUCUAUUCCCAAUUAUUAUUAUUAUAAAAUUGAAUUUUUUAUUUUGAUUUGGAUUUAGUUAUAAUUUCUUAUUAAAUGUAUAAAUAUCUUCUAUAUUAAACAUUAUCAAAACUGUAACAAAUAAUCAAUAAUUCAAAUAUUUUUAUUGUUCAAGAUGCAUUUUUUUGUAUUUUUAAUUAUAAUUAAAAUUUUAAUCAGAAUAAUAAGUAUAAAAAAAAUUAUUGAAGAUUUUGAUCCUUAUAUAAACUCAUAUAAAAUUAUUUUAUAAUAACUUUAGAAGUGCAAUUAUCUAAUUCAAAAUUUAAACAUGGUAAACAAUAUAAAGUUAAAUUUUAAAAUAUUUAUUCAUAUAAGUAUAAAAUUGAUCUUAAUUCAAACUUUCUAAUGAAGUCAAAAUUAAUUUAUCAUUUAAAUAAUAAGAAACAUAUAUAGAUGUUAAAUGAUUUAAAUGAAAAUUUUAAAAAUAUUUAUUAAUUCGAUCAAUUUAAAUUGUUGUUACAUACGCAUCUACCUGGGUAUCCUCUUAGAUCCAUGCCUAAAAGUUGUUAUAUAUUCCAAUUAUAAAGCAAAUUAUAUGUGGGAAAUGAAAAGGAUAAAAUAAUUGAAAAUAAAAUGACGAUAUGUCUUAUAUAAAAAUAAAAAAUGGAACGAUGACAUAGUAUGAUAUAUGUCUUUAUAUAUUAAAAAUUUGACGAAUAGAUAUAUGCAUGUUAACCUUAAAUGAAUCUAUUUUGGUAAAAAAAAAAAAUCUUUCUCUUCAAAUACCAUUAUUAGGUAUUAAACUUUAAGACAACAAUAGAAAAACAUUUUUCUUCAAAUAUUUUGGAUGAAAAAUAAUGUUUUGAUUGAAGUUUUGUACAGGAACUCAUUUGGAUGAAAAAAAUAGUGUAAUAUAACAUAAAAUAAAAAAUUUUCACUUGUUUAUUGAUAUUUACACAAUUAAUAAAAAAAAAUGAUUAUUGAUUGAAAUGAUAUUUUUAUGUCCACUUAGGGGUGGGAAUAGGCCAGGCUUUGAAAGGCCUGAGCCUAGACUACGAUGAAUUUUUGAGGCCUGAGCCUAGCACGAUGAAUUUUUGAGGCCUGAACCUGACCUAUAGUUUAUAAAAGGCUUUUAUUUUGGCUCGGCCUGACCUUUUUAAAAGUCUAGCCUGACCUGAUAGCCUUUUUAAAAGCCUUCUUUACAUUACAUCUUUAAUAUCCCUUUUGCUCUUAAGUAGACACGUAAUAGGAAAGUUAAAGGAAAAGAAAACGUUAACAGAAAUAGGAAAGCCAAUAAAAAUAAUGAGAAAUAUAAAGGGGCACAUGAUUUACACCUAAAUUGUAAUUAAAGUCUUACUUGAUUAUAAGAAUAGAAAUUAUGGAACAGUAAUGUGUAAUCAAAGUCUGAUAGUUUAAAAAAAAAUUAAUUGUACCAAAAAAAUAACAUAAGUAUAUAUUGGUACCCAAAAAAUAACAUAAGUAUAUAUACAUAUAUAUAGGUCGGCUUAUCAGGCUUAUAAGAUUUUUUAAUAAGCCUAAGCCUGAUCUAUUUAAUUUAAUAGGUUUUUAAAAAAGUUCGAGCCUAACCUUUUAAUUAAAUAGGCCAGUUCAAGCCAGAUUUUAUGUAGGUCAGGUCGUAGGCCCUUGUAGGCCGGCCUGACCUAUUCCCACCCUACCACUAAUUACUAUUGAUGUUAAUGUUUCUAAUAUUUUGGUUUUAUUCAAUUUUUCUAAUCAAUUAUUUUUUUUGUUGACCUUUUCAUUUCACCGUAACAUCCAUGAACAUAUAUCAUAUGUUAUUUUUCAUAUUCUAAUUAAGAAAACAUCAUAGAGAAAGAGAGGAGGUCUUAUUUCUUAAGUGUAUUUCCCAAAUUUCCAACUUCUUGGAUAUUCUCUUACUUGAUAGGAUUUUUUAACCCGAUAUAAUAUAUUGCAUGCAAAUUUGUUUGAUACCCUUACUUUGUUCACUUAAUGAAAUAUUUAAUUAAGCAAGUUUAGCGCAUUUAGUCAGAUAGUAUGUUUAAAUUUGAUGAUUUAAUUAUUAUGUCCAAAGAAUGGUAUUCAUUUCUUGGUGGUAGCUCUUAAGUUAUGUCCGAUCUUGGUUAAUUAAUGAAAAGUUUAGUCUGUCUAGUCAAUUUCAGUGGUUAAAAUACCGUACAUGUAUAUUUAAGUCGGCAAAUUUACGCAAAGGGGUCACAUUUAGAAACUAUUUAUGCAAAGGGGUCUGUUUUCUAAGUAUUUACGGAGGGGGUCAAUUUUUGCAUAGAAGCCGCCAAUGAUAAUGACGAGAAAGCAUGAGCCGCCAUUGUCAUUGGCGAUACAUGGCUGACGUGGAAGGUGCCGCCAGUGGCACUGGCGAUACUGGCUGACGUGGAGGGUGCCGCUUUCUCCAUUGGUGAGACACGCCACACAUAGGGUCUCGCCUCUCCCAUUGGCGAGACACCUUCACGUUGCAGGCUCACACUGUUAUAGCUUGCCUAGGGUCACACCUUCACGUUACAGCUUGCCCAGGGUCAGUCACAUCAGUGUUUAGGGUUGCAGCCUUAUGUAGGCUAGGUUACAGCUUGGACCUGAAAAUGCAGAGUAGCCUUUUGACCGUUGCUUCUUUACAUUUUCUGCUAUAAAAAAAAACCUCCAUCAACGUAAAUACUACACUUCUCCUUCCAAGCUCAGCUUCUCCUUUCUUAAUCUUGAGUCUCCUUUGAGUGUUUCAGUGUGUGCGUGGUGCGCUUCCUUAAAGUUUUGCUGUGUGCUUUCUUUUCCAUAAUUCAUGGUAAGUGAUUUUCUUAAAUAAAAUUUUUAUAUUCUGUUAGGUUAGUUAGUAUUAAUAGGUAUUGUAAGUUUAGGUUAAUUAGCAUUAAUAGGUAUUCUAAGCUUAGGUUAGUAACUAUUUAUGUUCUUAAUUUUUAUGUAUUAAUAGAUAUUUCAAGGUUAGGUUAGUUAGUAUGAAAAUAUUAUUUAGUUAUUGUAUAUAUUCUUAGAUACUAUAUAUAUAUAUAUAUAUAUAUAUAUAUAUAUAUAUAUGAAUGAUACUUUAGUUAAGGCACACUUAAUAUAAGUUUUGUAAUAUUAGACACAAGUUAAUAUUAGCUUUAGAUAUGUAUUUGUAAAUUUUAGGCUCACGUAAAAUUUAUAUAUUCUGGUAAGUAAUUUUUAAAUUAAAUAAGAUAUAUAUUCUGUUGUUAAAUUAUAAAAAUAGUAGGUUAGUUAGUAUUAAUAGGUAUUCUAAGCUUACGUUAAUUAGUAUGAAAAUAUUAUUUGAUUAGUUAGUAUGAAAUUAUUAUUUAGUUGUUGUAUAUAUUCUUAGAUUUUAUAUAUGUGAUAUUAGCUUUUAUAGUAUUAGGUAUAUAUUUACACGCAUGAUACUUUAGCCAAAUAAAUAUAUAUACACGCAUGAUACUUUAGCCAAGGCACACGUAAUAUUAGCUUUUGUAGUAUUAGGCACAAGUUAAUAUUAACUUUAGGUAUAUAUUUAUAAAUUUUAGGCAUACGUAAAUUUUUAGUUUUUGUAAUAUUAAAUACUUCACACGUAAAUAAAUAAUUGUAAUAUUAGACAUUUCACACACGUAAAUUUAUCUUUUUAGUAUUAUAAUUUUGUAUGUUAUAUAUGGAUAGUACAGUUUUAAAUAAAUGAGUUGAUAAGUUAAUAUUAUUUGAGUUAAUUAUUUUUAGUUAGAAUGUUAUAUAUAUUAUUUUUUAGUUUUAGUUUGUAGGUUAAUAUUAUUUGUUUUAGAAAAUUACGUGAUUAAAUAUAUGAUACAUUGUAAAUUAUUAUUAUUUUUGUAUUACACGUUGUUUAAAUAAUUUUUUGCAUUUCAAUAUUUAUUUGUAUUUUAAUUUAUUUGGUAGUCCAUAUUUUAUUUAAUUAUUUAUUUUUUAAUUGUAGAAUAUAUUAUGUUAUUUAUUUAAAUUUGUUUGUGUGUAUGUAUAUGUAGAAUAUAUUUAAAUUUUAUUAUUUGUAUAAUAUAUUUUGUUAUCAAAUAAAUAUAUUUUGUUAUUUAUUUAAAUUUGUCUUCACAUGUAUUUUAAUUUAUCUAUAGAAUAUAUUCAAAAUUGUCCAGUUUUAUUUAUUACAAAUUUAUUUAUAUAUAUUUAAUAACGUUUUUAUAAAUCUGCGUAGUUUAAUUUAUAUUAUCUACAUAUAAUGUAUAAAUUGUUUUGUGAAUUUAUUGUAUUAUAUUUUAUUUUGCAGUAUCAAUGGCAUCUUCAUCGCCAUGUCCAUCACAUAUCAAAAUUAAGUCUAGCCCGAUCGAUGGUGAUGUAUUACGGAUGCAACCUAAGCAUGAUUCAGAACAUGUUUGGAAUGGGGAAGAAGAUCGGAAAUUACAUAUCAGACGAGUUGUCCCCACGUAUCAAGGGGAAGAAAUUCCAGAGCAAAUUUUUCCUUUCCUUCGACAAUCUGGUUUUUACUGGAUUAUGAAGAUGGGAUACUUAAAAAUAAAUGCCUCAUUAAUUAGUGCUUUGAUAGAAAGAUGGAGGCCGGAAACACAUACGUUUCACAUGAGAUGCAGAAAGUGUACUAUUACUCUUCAAGACGUCUCUAUAUUGUUAGGUCUACGUGUGGAUGGUUUACCAUUAAUCGGUCCAACAAAUCUUAAUUGGGCUGAUUUAUGUGAGGAAUUAUUGGGAAUCAGACCACAAGAAGGAGGUGAAAUUAAAGGUAGUGUGGUUAAAUUAAGUUGGUUGGCUCACCAUUUUGCACAAAUAAAUAACCACGACGACGAAGAACAAGUACGAAGGUUUGCCCAUGCAUGGAUACUAAGAUUCAUUGGAGGUGUCUUGUUCGUUGACAAAUAACAAAGUUUCGCUAAGGUACCUUCAAUUUUUAUGUGACUUUGGAGAUUGUAGCACAUAUGCAUGGGGACCUGCCGUACUUGCUUUUCUAUACAGAGAGAUGUGCAGUGCCACCGAUUAUAAAACUAAAUCAAUCUGAGGUAUGUGCAUCUUACUACAAAUGUGGGCAUGGAAACGAUGUCUAACCUUGGCUCCAAAGAGGACUCCUUCUCAAGUAGAAAAUAAACCACUGGGGCACAGGUUAGUCAUUUUUAAAAGCGUCUUUCAUUUGUUGGACCAUUAAUCGGUCCAACAAAUCUUAAUUGGGCUUAUUUAUGUGAGGAAUUAUUGGGAGUCAGACCACAAGAAGGUGAAAUUAAAGGUAGUGUGGUUAAAUUAAGUUGGCUGACUCACCAUUUUGCACAAAUAAAUAACCACGACGACGAAGAACAAGUACGAAGGUUUGUCCGUGCAUGGAUACUAAGAUUCAUUGGAGGUGUCUUGUUCGUUGACAAAAGCAGUAACAAAGUUUCGCUAAGGUACCUUCAAUUUUUAUGUGACUUUGGAGACUGUAGCACAUAUGCAUGGGGACCUUCCGUACUUGCUUUUCUAUACAGAGAGAUGUGCAGUACCACCGAUCAUAAAACUAAAUCAAUCGGAGGUAUGUGCAUCUUACUACAAAUGUGGGCAUGGGAACAAUGUCCAACCUUGGCUCCAAAGAGGACUCCUUCCCAAGUAGAAAAUAAAUCACUGGGGUACAGGUUAGUCAUUUUUAAAAGCGUCUUUCAUUUCAAAAGAAUAAAUGAUUUUAGGGUAUAUUAAAUUUUAAUCUUUGUAGGUGGCUGCGACGUGGAAACCAACAUAUUGACAAUGAUGAUGUGAGAGUUUUUUGUUGCAAGUUGGAUAUUAUGAAACGUCAUGAGGUAAGAACAUGGUAUUGUAUUUGUAAAAUAAAAAAUGAUGUGUUAUUUUACUAAAAUGAUGUCAACUAUGUUGUUAUAUGCAGUUUGUGUGGGAGCCUUACACAACAACUGUUAUAUCAUUGUUGCCUCCCAUUUGUGUAGUCAGAAGUGUCGCGUGGUGCGCGGUGGUGCCACUUAUUUGUUUCCAAGUCAUUGGGUCUGUAAUUCAAAUAAUAAAUUAAAAUAACAAAUAACACAAAAGUAGGAUAAUAUGAACAUAAAAAAUGUACCUACUACGCAAGUCGCAAUUAAAUCUGAAUCAAGCUUCUCAUGGUCUUGUGUCAUAGUCAUAUUUAGACAUGUGUGCGGUCCACCCCAUUGUGUCACUUUUCAUGCAUCAGUUUUUUUAGAUAAAAUUGCCCUCAUAUAAAAAGGGCAAGGAGACUGUGCGCUAUUGUUGGGGCAAUAAACGAUAUAUUUGUGCGAUUUCGUUUCAACAACCUUAAAACUUUGAUGCACCUUCAUCACAUAUUAUUUCAGUAUAUUUUUGACCACAUCUUUACUGUCAAAAUCUAUGCCAACAUAUAAUUCUUGUCCAACAUUAAAAGUCGUUGGCAUGUCCAAACCACAAAUGUCCUCCUCGUUCGGAUGACUCCAAUUGAUAUUAUUAUAAUGUAAAGCAUCAUUUCAAAAUGGAUUUUGAAUUCCUGGUACACCUAAUAAUUUCAAAAAAAAAAUCACGUCAACAAACUACUCGUAUUUAGUUACCAUUAAAUACAAUUCUCAUAAAAAGAUAGAUGUAUUCAACUAAUUUUGUAUUUCAUAAAAUUUACCUUCAAUUGGGUGAACAAUUGAAACUGGUUCAACGAUGUCGAUGACUUCAUCGUCUGUAUCAGAUAUUCCAUCAACACUAUCAUCUUCAUCGAAAGACUCUUCAACGUAUGAGUUAGAUGCAAGAUAAUCAUCAUCAUCAUCUUCAUCAUGUAAAUUGCUUAUAUUUCUUGGUAGUUCCGACUCAUGAUGAGAUGCAUUAUGUCCACAUGACGUAACAGAAUUUGCAGCAUGAAACAUAGAACCACCAGCAACAUCCUUUUCUACGUACAAUUCUAGAACUGACAUUUGUUGUUGUUGAAAACUUUCGAUCAUAGUUUCAACAUCUUCGUCAUCAGAAAUUUACAAUGCAACAUAUUUUCCUGAAACUAAAAAUCUACAACUUAUAGUAGAAAUAAUUUCAUUAUUUUCUAACUUUACCUUAUCUCCAAUUUUUUUUUCAAAGCAUUGAAACUAAUUCCGUGUUUAAUCUGAAUCGCCUUUUUACUGUCUUCAAAUAUUACACCAUCAUUGUCUUCAUAUACUCUUCCGUUGAAAUACAACACUGUAAUAAUUGAAUUCAUGAUAUACCUACAUGAACAAAAUUAAAAAUAAUUAAUCAUAACAACAGUAGUUUUAAAAUAAAUAAGUGUAUUUGCUUGCUUCAUCUACUAACUUAAACUUAAACUUAAAAUUAAACUUAAACUUAAACUACAGAUUAAAAUUUCAUUCUAACUUCAAAAAACUAGAAGGGAAUCAGGUAAUUAUUUGUAAGGCCUGUCCACCCAUGAACAAAGGCUUAUAAAUAAUUAAACAUUAUUAAAAUAACUUCAAAGUAAAAAACCUAAUUACAAAAAUUAAUAAGCUUAAACUUCAUGUUAAAAUUUGUUUCUAAAUAAAACAAUUAUUACUUCAAUUAAAUAUUUUGUGAAUGAUAAAAAUAAAAAAAAAUCUAUUUGCUUCCUCUAUUAAACUUAAACUAGACAUUAAUACGUCAUUCUAACAAAAGAAUUAUUACUCCAAUUAAAUAAUUCAAAAAAAAUUCCUUAACUUCAAAAACUUGAAGAGUCACCUCUAAAUAUUUUUAACUCACAAAUAGCAUCAACAAAAGUUUAUAAGCGGAAGGGUCACGCGUCAAAUUUCUAAGCCACAAAAACCAUGAACAAAGAGGAUUACAAAUAAUUACUCAUAAUAAUUUUAAAAUAAAAAUUCUAAUUCAAAAAAUUAAUACACUUAAACUUUACCUUCAAAUUUUAGUCUAACAAAAAAAAUUAUUACUUCAAUUAAAUAUUUUGUCAAUGAUACAAAUAAAAAUAUUUAUUUGCUUGCUCUAUUAAACUUAAACUACACAUUCAUACUUUAUUCUAAAAAAAAUUACUCUAAUUAAAUAAUUUAUGAAAAAUUCCUCAACUUCAAAAAAAUUUCAGACACAAAAUGGAAGGGUUACACUUAAAAAAAUUUCAGACACAAAAACCAUAAAAAAAGGCUUACAAAUAAUUACUGCUAAUAAUUUUUAAAUAAAAAAUCUAAUUCACAAAAUUAAUACACUUAAAUUUGAGCUUCAAAUUUGAUUCUAACCACAAAAUUUAUUACUUCAAAAUAAAAAAAUUUGUACAUGAUAAAUAAACAAAAUGAAAGAAGGCUUUCUUUAAAUAAAUACAAAAUAUCCUUACUUUAAAUAAAUAGAAGAUAGAAUCAGCAAACUUCAAGCAAAACGAAACGCCUUUCUUUCUCUCUUCACACUACUUUGUUACUCUCUUCAGUGUCAAAUUUUGCAAGUGCUCUAUUUAAAGAAAAUUUACACCAAAGCUGAAGCAUGCAUGUGAUCUGCAACGUAAAUUUACACGCCAUUAAAGCAUGCAUGUGAUCCUAAAACUGUAUGCAUGUGACCCUGCUGCAUGCCUAGCCUGAAAAUCAGCAAUGCCCUAACCUGAUGCCCUAGCCUGUAACCUGCAAUGCAAGAACAGUGCCCUAGCUAGUAGUCUGAUGGGACUUGCAAAUUCACGUCCACGUUGGUCACGCAUGAGCCAAUGGCGGGACUGUCCACAUUGGCACAUGUCCCGCCAUUGGUAUUGGCGGGAUGAGCUGUCUCGUUGGUCUCACAGGAGCCAAUGGCGGGACUGUCCAUGUUGGCACAUGUCCUGCCAUUGGUAUUGGCGGCAUGGUGUGUAUCGCUGUUGGUGCUGGCGGCACCCAGCCACGUCAGCACCAUUCUCGUCAUUGCUAAUGGCGGUAUUAGUGGUAUCGCAAUUGCAGGUGGCGGCUUCCAUGCAAAAACCGACCCCCUCCGUAAAUACUUACAAAAGAGACUCCUUUACGUAAAUAGUUUAUAAAUGUGACCCACUGAGGUAAAUUUGCCUAUUUAAGCCAUAAUAGUCUGCCGUUAUAUAUACUGUAACUCAACAGAGGAUAAAAACUCUGAUCAAAUUAAUUAAAUAACUCAAUAAAAAAAAUUAAUUGAAUAAAUCAUUUAUUUUUUUCAUUUGCCGACCAUUUUUCUUUUGGUACAUUUUGUUAUUUUUAUCACAUUUUUUCCAUUUUUUUCAUUUUCUUAAUUUUUUCCUUCACUCUUAUUAAGUUUAUAGAUUAGGGCUAGCCAGACUCGGUGGAGGGUUAAUGUGCUAAUGAAAUGUGUAAAAACUAACAAGCUAUUUUAUGAAUGGAGCUUACUAAUAACAGUAGCAAAUAGCAUGUUAGGAUUGUCGGUUUGAAUAGUAUUCCAUGAAUGAAUGAGUGGCUAUUAUUAUGAGAGGAUAGCUUUUGGGAUAUUUUCCAUGGCUUGAUUAGAAAGGGUUUUGUUUGUACGCACUGUGUGUCACACGUUUCUAUACGAUGGCCUGGGAUUUUUUUAUUUGUGGCUGUCAACCAUAGUCUUCCCUAGAGUUUGGGUAAAAAUUAAUCCUGCAUUUGCAAGUUCUAAGAAUUGUGGCAGGGUGAGACUGAGCAGAAUAAGGACCUUUAACACUGAUUUGCACUCCCUGAAGACCAAGCUCAUUCAGCCAGGCAAUGAAAAAGGGUCAAAGCUUCAGCCUUUAAUGGAAGAAUAUUUCCAUCAGAACAAAACGUUUUGGCCCUGAAAAACACACCUCUAUUGCAUGCGGGGGUGUAAAAAUUCCUAUUCUCAUUAUAACCCAACAUAAAUUGAAUAGAUUUUUUUUUGAAAUAAUUCAAGAAAAAAGAAAUGCUUUGAUUUAUAAAACAAAUUCAAUUAACAAAAUUAUUUGUACAAAACGAAAUUGGUUAACUAAACUAGUUUUCAUUUGAAUAUUUUAUUUGAAAAAAGAAAAUUUGAAAAUCAGUUUAAAGUUAAUCUGAUCCUUAUAAUUAGUUUAAAAUUAAUUAAAAAUCAGUUUAGAAUUAAUUUUUUUAGAACUAAUUCGAUUCUGAACUAAUUUUUAAAUUAAUUUAAUUAUUUAAAUAUAAAAUUAAACUAAAAUAAUUUAAAAUUAAUUCAAUUUGAGUUUUUUUUUAUCAAACUAGUUAUUGCAUACGGGUGAAGUCUCAUCCCUUAUGCAGAUUUCCACUCCAAACUCACCUUUGGGACCAAAAACAGCACUCUGUUAGGCGCUUUUCCCAUUCGGCAGGUUGCAACUGCUUAUUAGAAGAUAAUUAAGAAUAAUCAAUAGAAUAAGAACAUGAAGAACGAGGGUUUUCCACUCUCUAAAGCCAUUUUUAGCUCUCUGCACAACUGCAAAAGGGGUCUGAACCUUGCCUUCCCAAAUCAUAACAACCUCAAUUAUUUUCUUUUCAUAUUCUAAUUAAGUUCAAUUAAAUCUUUUUUUCACAUUUACUUACCAUAAAUAUAUUUCUGAUAUUGCUCCACCUACUUCCUUUAUAUAUAUAUAUAUAUAUAUAUAUAUAUAUAUAUAUAUAUAUAUAUAUGGAGAUAAAGAUACAUCAGAUAAUCAUAUCAUAUAUCAUGUUAAUGCUUUCUAAUUUGUAUAAAUAAUAUUAUUUUUGAAAUAUUUAUUUUAUAGUAUAAUUUUAAGAAGUAUUUUUACACUUUUAUUCAAAUAAUUUAAUAAACUAUUUAUUUUGUUUCAAUACUUUUAACAAUUUCAAAUUAUAUCACAUACAAACAUUAAUUUACAAAUAAUUUAUACAAUGAAUAUAUGUUAUUUUAAACAUGUUUUUAUGUGUAAUUCCAACAAACAUUUUACAUUGAAUUACUUUCAUAAUUUAAUGUAAUAUUUUUAAAAAUAUUUAGAUAUAUAUCUCAAAACUAUAUCAUUUAAAUUAUUUAUAGACUUAAAUAUGUUUUUAUUCCUAAUAAAUACUUCAUAUGUAUGUUUGUUUCCCAGUAAAACAACAAUUUUAUUUUUUUGCCUUUCAUAUUUUAUUUGUCCUAGUUGAAUUAAUAAAUUUUGUGUUUAUUGUUUGAAAAUAAAAAAAUUUAUUCCCAACUAUUAACAAAUGAAAUUUUUUAUUAAGGAAAAAAAUUAAAAAUUUAACUAAUUGAUAAUAGACUAACAAAAAGUAUCAAGGAUAAAAAAUAAAAUUAUUUUAUUAAGAAUCCAAUAUAAAGAAAAAUUUAUCUAAAAACAAACAUAAAUUUUUUAUAUUUAUUAAGAAUCAAAAUAUAUUCUAAGUCUUAUUAAUUUAUAAACCCACACAACAGACCAAUAGUUAAUUUUUAAUAAUUCUGACAAAAAAAUGAAAAAAUGGCAGCAACUGAUAUUCACAUAAAGCUAGCACAUCAACAUGAAAAUUUUGCCGGUCCCUUUUGUUAUACACAUUCCAAGCUCUAAGCAGAAGAACUGGGUAUUUUGUACUGUUUCGCAUAAUAUUCUUAAUAGAGUUUUGGAAUCAGUUUCUAGUUUGCUUUUGCCACCUUGCAUUUCCAUGUCACUAGCAAAUUUUAAGUGUUCGAUCAACUCUCGGGUCUGCAAAAUAAUACUGAUUAUUUUACAUGCUUUCUGAGACAUGAUUAUUGCAAGAAGAUAAAGAAGAUAUUUUCUAUCAUUAAUAAAUUAUAGGUGGUCCCACCAAGUUCGGAUAAAGAAGAAAGAUUGUAUUAAGUCAUCAGCAGUAAAAAAAAUUAAAAUAUUAAGAAAAAAAUAAUUUUUUUUAUUACAAAACAAAUAUAAAUCUCUGAUAUACAUGAAGAAAAACCAACAUAGUUAGUCUAAUUAAAUUCAAGAUAUCUAACAUCUUACACAUAUUUAAUUUAAUGAAGACUUUAGUGUGUUUAGUCAAUUUUGGUGACUGACUUAUCAUUAAAGAAAUUUAAGAAGCCUAACAUCAUAUAUAUAUAUAGAGAGAGAGUUUAAUGAUAGUACGCCAAUACAUAAUAAUAAUAAUUUAAAAUGUAUGUGUAAAAAGAACAACUUAAAUAGCUCAGCAGAGCAUAAUAAACUCUGAUCAAACUAAUUAAUAACUCAAAUGUACACCAUUAAGUUUAUAUAUUGAGGCCGGCCAGAUUCAGUGCAGGGUUAAUGAAGUGAUGAAAUAAGUAAUAAGCUAUUUUUAUGAACGAUCUUUGCUAGCAAAUACAGUAGCACAUGUUAGGAAUAUCAGUGUGAGCUUUAUUCCAUGAAUGAAUCAGUGGCUAUAAUUCUACUAAGGGUAGCUUUUGGAAUAUUUUCCAUGACUUUUUUUAAUCACUGUGUGUCACGCGUUUGAGUACGAUUGCUUUAAUUUGGGUUGGUGAACAUCUUUUUCUUUGCUGGCCAGUCAACCGUUACCAUAGUCUUCCCUACAAUACUGAUAUUAACAACAGCUGUAUUUUGCUCACUGUCUUGGCACUUGGGAUAUUUUCGGAAAAUAAUGAACCUACUAUAUUUUAGAAUUUAUUUAGGAGAAAGGUUCCUCCAAAACAAACAUGAGUUCUUUAUCUAAUCAUUGUUGGGAUUUUCUAUUUCAAUAAUAAUUAAUAUGAGUUAAUAUUAUAAGAUAAUUCUAUUAAUUAUUUAUUGUUAUUGGAUUUUAUGUUAUGUGAUCAAAUUAAGUAAUCUCGUUAGACAACCAAAUUCGAUAAUAUGGAUUUAAAGGAGCAUAUGUCAGUGUUGGUCCAUUAAGAGAUAAUGAGAACCUUAUUAGAUUAAUACAUUACAAAUCGUCCCCCCAAUACACUAAAUCACCGACACAUAGAUAGUUUCUCUUCUUGAGGGAAUUGAAUAAUACUUUGCCAAAAACGAAAAGGCGGAAACGAGUAACCUUUUGGCUAAACUCAUCUCCAUGAAGUAUAAGGGCAAAAGUUAUAUAAAAAAGUUUUUGCUCAUAUAAUUUUUGUUUUUGUUUAUUAUUAUUAUUAUUAUUAUUAUUAUUAUUAUUAUUAUUAUUAUUAUUGUUGUUGUUGUUGUCGUUGUUGUUGUUUUUUUGUUAAAAAAGGGGAAAACAAAAGGUGCCCUUAGCAAAAGAAACAAAACAAAGAUGCAAUAUUUACUUGGGGUAUUUUAAGUGUAAAUCAAUGAUAGCAUUAAAUAUAAUUUAAGGAUAUGAUAUUUACUUGUCGUAAUUAAUGUUUUAUAUUUUUUUAGUAUCAUGAUGGAAGUUAAUUUAACAUAUCCUUUCCAUUUAUUUGCAUAUCUAGUGAUUUUUUUAAUUAAAUUGAUUGUUACGAUAUAUUGUCAAGGUAAUCCCUAUUGUGAAAAUUAAUUUGAUUAAAAUUACAAAUUUUUGUAUAAAAUCAUUUAUGUGAAUUAUGUUCAGACCAAAGGAAUACACAAUUUGACCAAAUAAUAUUUUAUAUUUGUGAUGAUAAAUGUGUGACAAUUAUAAGGUAUUUUCAUGUGAAUAAUAGUCGGUCCAAAGAAAGACUAUUAUUUGACAGAUUUAUUGUUAAUAUUUGAUCGUUGCAUUAAGAGUACCAAUUACAAAUUAAUUUAUCUAGAAAUUAAUGUUGUGUUAGGUAUCUUGUAAUGGGUGUGUUCCGUAAAAUAUUUACAUGUUUUAUUAUAUAUUUUUUAUAUAACUAAAUUAUAUGUGAAAGUUGUGUAAUUUUAAUACCUCUCAUUUAUUAUAUUAAAUUGUCUUGUAUUUUUUGGUUUAAUUGAUUGAAACAACAUGUUGUCAAAGUAACCUUUGUUGCAUAAGCUGAUUUGAUUGAAUUUACAUGGAUGUUGCAUGAAAUUAUUCAUGCGAAUUGUGCUCGGCCCAAAGGAAAACACAAUUUGGUAGAAUAAUUAUUGCUUGCGAUGGUAAACAUGUGGUGAUUAUAAAUAGUGUGAUUUUCCAUGUGAAUAAUGAAAUGUUCAAAGGCAAUCAUUAUUUGACCGGGGUAAUUAUCAUAUAAGUUUUUCAUGUGAGCAAUGAAGUGUCCAACGACAACUUUUGUUUGACAGGACUUAUCACCAAUGUUUGAUCAAUGCGUUGAGAGUAUCACUUGCAAUUAAUCUUUUUCGAUCCAAAGAUUGAGGAUUAAUGCGCUAGGUAUCAUGUUUGGCUCUUGAAAUUUACCAUAAAUAUUAUUUUUGUAUUGUAUGUGUAUAUUCUCUUCUUUAAUUAUUGUUGCUACUACUAUGAUUUAAAUUACUCACAUUAUUUAAAUCUCAAAUAUGCAUGUAUAAAAUAAUUUGUAUGGGGGUCCUAAGGUGAUAUAUGAUUAAUCUUGGUAUGCAACACUAGAAAAUAGUAAAACACAUUAUGCGUUAAUUGAAGAGAACAAGAAAUUACAUGUUUUCAUAUCAAAAGUCUAGAAGUUUAGAGAUCAUUGAGUAUUAUGACUUUGAUUUUUUCGAAAUGUCUUAAUAGUAAUCACUCCACAUAAGGAUCCACAUUUAAUCGUGUUGGUGGAGUUAAUAUUUAGCUAUGAGACAUCAUACUAGAAUUUAUAACUGCUAAAUUAUUGUAACUCGCUUGCUUGUUGUUGCCAACAUUAAUUAGCCAUCAGAUGUUUAUUGCAACAAUAUCUUAAUGAUAUCAUUAAAGAUUCAACUAAGUCAAAGUUUGUUGACAUAAAAUAUUUGGUUCUUAAAUAAAGAAUUCAAAAAAUAAAGAUUUGUAUAGAACAUAUAGGAACUCAUUUCAUUCUAGCUGAUUUACUUACUAAAGGUAUGACACUUAAAGUUUUUCAUGAGCACAUUGUUCAUAUGGGUGUAAUUCCUGAUAGUACCUUAGUUUAGUGGGAGUCUUACUUAUGUUAUAUAUCUUACAGUUUACAAGCAUGUUGUGUUUGGAUUGAUCUAUAUAAAGAAUAAAGUUUGGAUCAGUUGGAAAUAGACAUGACUAAGAUCACAUUACAUGUAAUUUCCAUGUUAUUUAUCCAUAUUGACCUAUGUCAUUGAAUGUAUUGAUGUGAUGGUCAUUGGGGUCUAGUUACAUUUGUUGUAGUGACAAAAGCCGUGAUGAUUCCAUUAUUGAUACAUGAGAUGAACCAGAUUGUUAAGGUGAAAGUUUAAAAAUAAAUAGCAUACAUAUGCACGCUUAAGGAUUCUUUAUAUAAUUUGUACAAUAUAUAUGUAGCCCAAGUGGGAGAUUGUUGAAAUUUUCUAUUUUAAUAAUUAAUGUGGGUUAAUAUUAUAAGACAAUUACAUUAGUUAUUUAUCAUUAGUGGGUUUUAUUUUAUGUGAUCAAAUCAAGUGAGUCCCUUAGACAACCAAAUAAGAUGAUAUGAACUUAAAUGAACUUAGAAGAUAAUGAGAACCCUAUUAGGUUAACACAUUAUAAGAAGGCUAUGGUCCCCAAUAUACCGAGCCGCUGACACAUAUGGUUUCUCUUUUCCCCACCUGAAGAGUUAUGAAGGUCUUAUUAAAGAAUAAAAAGGUUCCGGUUGAAGAAGAACCAUGAAGCCACCGGUUACAUUGUUAGCAUUCUGUAACAGGUCCUAUGAAGAGCACAUAGAUAAGAAAUCACAUAAAGAUUCAAUUUCCCUUGUGUUUUUUUCAUCAAUCAUGAUGGACCCAAGUAUUCCUAAAACUCUUCCUGAUAAUAUAAGGUAAUGUGUUCCUGAUAUUUAUAUUUUAUUGGUAUUUUAUAAGGAUCCCUGAAAAUUUACAACUAUCACUACCAAAACCAAAACCAGUAUAUCCAAUCUUAAUAUAACUUAGGUUAUCUUAGGAUUGGAGUUGGUAAAUAUUUUUCUCAAUUUUAAUACAAUAAAAAAAUUUAAUACACCAAAUGAAAUAAGAAAAAAUGUUACUUAUAGAAUAAAAAUACUUUUGACCUCUCACAACUUUAACCAACUAUCACUACCAAAACCAAAACCAGUAUAUCCAAUCUUAAUAUAACUUAGGUUAUCUUAGGAUUGGAGUUGGUAAAUAUUUUUCUCAAUUUUAAUACACAAUAAAAAAAUUUAAUACACCAAAUGAAAUAAGAAAAAAUGUUACUUAUAGGAUAAAAAUACUUUUGACCUCUCACAACUUUAACCAAACAUGCAUUUAAAUAUACCAUAACGAUUUUAUCUUACUAGAUGAUUUACAUACAUUUUAGUUACUUUGCUCAUUUAAGUGUAAUAUAUAUAUAUAGAAAUAAAACUGCUUUAUUAGGAAGUUAGGGAAUAAAUUGCACAUUCAGUUCCCAACUUGCUUGUCAUCUUGCAUUUUCAUGCCACCGGCAGAUUUGAAUUCUUCAUUCAACAUUUUCUAUCAUUAAUAAAUUAUAGCCCGUCCCAUAAGGCUCAAUUAAAGUCAAUUAUAAAACCAAUUAUAUGUGGGAAAUGAAAAAGACAAAAUAAUUGGAAAAUAUGUCUUAUUAAAAAAAUUAAAGAAUAGAUGUAGGUUAAAUAGAAGAAAAAUAAUGUUUUGAUUAAAGUUUUGUUGAGAGUCUCAUUUGUUUAAUUAGAAGAAAAAAUAACAUAACAUGCAUAACAUACCAUAAAAUUUUUUGAUGUACCUAUUGAUAUUCACACAAUUAAUAAAAAAUGACUAUUGAUUCAAAUGACAUUUUUAUGUCCACUCAUUACUAUUGAUCUUAAUGUUUUUUAGAUUUUGGCUUCAUUCAUUUUUUUUCUCACCAAUUUUUUUUUUGGCAUCUACCCAAUCUUUUCAUUUCACCAUCACAUCCAUUAACAUAUAUCAUAUCAUGUGUUAUUUUUCAUAUUCUAAUUAAGACUCAUUAAAGCCUAUUAUUUUUUUCUUAAACAAAAAAUAUAUAUUGUAAAUUUAAGAUAUAAAAUAAAAGUAAAAUUAUUAUUAAGAUAUAGUAUUUAUAGUAUAGUAGUAAAAGUACAAAUAUAAUAACAAAAAGAUGAUACAAGAUAAAAUAUCAACAAAAUGACAAAGGAACAAAAAAUGUUUAAACUUUUACAUAUUAAAACUAGACAGUUUAUUAUUUUCUUUACAAUUAAAUCAAAAGUUGUUAAAGCAAUAUAAUAAAUUAUUGGAUGGAAAAAAUUUAUUAUAUUAUUUGUAAUAAACUUGUUAGUAAAAAUACAUAUGUAAAUGGCGUUGUAAAAUACUUAAGAUGUCUGAUUACAUAUUAAUAAAAUUAUUAGAAAGAUUAUUUUGCAUUUACUUUAAACUCCAAUGAAAAAAAAAAGUAAAUUGCACUUGCAUUACCUAUAUUUUACUCCAAUUUUACCUAAUACUCCAAUUUUUAGUUUUUUUGGCAUCACUUUGACUCCCUUUAAUAAAAUGGUGUUAAUUAAUGGUUAUAAUUUUAUGUUGAAUGAUGAAAUUACCAUUUUCUUUUUUUCUACAUUAACACAACCUCACAAUAUUCUUGUGCCUAAUCCUCCUUGACGUCUCAACUUCAACAUCAAAUUCAUCAUCUUCCUCAAAAACCAACACUUUUAUCUACAUUUGUAGGUGCUUUACCUCCACCAGCUCACUAUUGCUAUGUACCACCUUGUACACCUUCCUAGAUGCUCCACUUCCUUGUACACCAGCUCAAUGAUCUUGUUCUUUCAUCGUACUCUUUGCACAUACAUGAGUGAUAUCCCUACAAAUGUCCUAUGAAAUUUGUCCUAAAAAUCUGUCUAAUAUACAAAUUAUGAACAAUUAUGCUGGAUAUCUUACAUAAAGAUAGACAAAUAAUUAGGGAUAUACAUGAUUAUGUACAAAUAAUCUCAUUACUCCCUUCAAGUUGGAGUAUGCAAAUCGCAAAUGUCCAUAUUGUGCAAUAAGUAAAUCGAGUACUUAGUUGGACCAAGUGCUUUGGUGAGUAUAUAAAUCAAGUCUGAGGUCUUAAGAAGGGAUAGAAGUAGGUUAGAUCCUAUGGCAACUUGGUCAGGCUCAUUUAGCAAAAAAAAUCAAACUGAGUUUUUUUUAAAAAACUUGUUUAGUUAAAAAGGCCAGACAUGGUCUUAAGAAAAACUUAUGAGAUUUGAUGGCUUAAUCCAUUUAGCAAUAAUAUAUUUUUAAAUAAAAAUAUUAUUAUUAAUAUGAUAUAUAAUAUUAUAAUCUAAAAUAAAAUUAGAAAUCCUAUUUCCUUAAGUUUUCUCUACGCAAGUAUGAAGUAAUGCAACUAGUGUUCUUAUAAAACAAAAUAAUCUAAAAACAUGUGAUUAGAAUAAAUCGGAAGAGUGAAUAACAUGGUGGCAAAAGUCAAAUUUGAUAUGGCUGAGGUGAUUAUGCACAAAAGAUACCUUAAAAUUAUAUUGACAUUUAAAUUGGUUUAAGGAUCAGUGUACUUAUAUAAUGUCAGGGCCAAACAUAAAAAAUAAGACGGUCACGUAUAAUAGGUUUAUGCUUGGGCUAUAAAGUUAUAAAGUGGGUUAGACUAUGCUUAGGUAAAGUUUGACUCUGUCUAAACCAUUUUCACAUCUAGACAUAAGUAGGUCCAAUGUUGUCAUUUUGAAUUUCAUCAUGAAUAAAAUGACAGUCAACUUCGAUAUGUUUGGUAAGUUCAUGAAAAACUAAGGGAGUGUUUGGUUUGUCUGUUUUUUGUUUUCAUUUUCACUGAAAACAGAAAAUAGUGAUGAAAAUGUGUUUGGUUGGAUUUUUGAAAACAUUUUCAGUGAAAAUAAAAACAGAAAACAACCAGAAAAUGAAAACAAUAAAAUUUCAUUUUCAAUGUUUUCAGUUGAAAACAGGAACUUCAUUUUGGGUAAAAUGAAAAUGAGAUGACAAUGAAUGUAAUUUAAGCAAAUUUAAAAAUACAAAAAAGACAAGAAAUCAAUAUAUCAUAAAUUUUCAGUGUUUUUAUUUCCUAAAAACAAAAAACAAGAAGUCAAACCAAACAUAUUUUCAGAAUUCUAAUCUUUUGAAAAUAAAAACAGUUUUCAGAAAAUGAAAACAGGAAAUGAAAAACAGAAAAUGAAAAUGCAAUCCAAACACACCCUAACUUUUUGGUGGUGAUCACAAUGAAGAUGGAUAGGUUGAGAACGUGAGAUACUAAGGUUGAAAAGAAUUUUCUUUAACCAUUUUUACUCGUAAAUAAUCGUUAGCAUGAAAUGGUAUUCAACUUUAGUGGAUGAGCAUGAAAUCAUGGGUUGCUUUUUUAGUUUUCCACGAAAUGGAAAAGUUUCCCAAAUGAAUAAAGCAUCAUGUGAGAUGUACCGUCCUUCGAUAUAAUAACAACCCGUAAUAAAAAUAUACUCUAAAAUGCCUAUAAGAUAUGGAUUUAGAAAUUUCAUUGGUUCAAAAUACUUCAAAUAUUAUAAUAAAUGAGUCCUUACAUAAUUAAACAAUUGUAUCCUCAAAUAUGGGUAUCUACAAAGUUGAACUAACAAUAAACUAAGUAUUCAAUUCUCCUUCGUCUGAAAAGUUUCUUCAUUGAACUCUGAAAACAACACUUUUAAUGAGAUAAUAAUCCUAUUGAAUAAAACAAUUUCUAAAAGAUUUCGCAAAUAAUGUUCUCAAUCGACGCAAUAACCUAAAAAUCCAAUCAUUGUAUCCGCAAAAUUAAAUUUAAAAUAAUAUAUACAUACUUAUAAACAAUCACAAAUUAUUCACACAAUGAAAUAACACUCCGGUCAAUAAACAUCAACAGUUCACUACAUUCAAUUCUUGAACAAACUAACAAAUAUCACAACACAACAUAGUGAUUCCCAGAAUCAUUAGCCUCAACUAUUUGGUUCCUGAACCAGUGUGGAUCUCAGACUCUUCAAAUGAUCUAUGAGCUCAUAUUCAUGCAAUAAUGUCUCACUACACCAUCCCUAUCAUAGAUGAAGGUGUCAAGAAUCUUUUUCUCAUCCCAUAUGAAGGUAUCUAUAAUCUCAUCUAUAACAUUCCAUUUUUCGUAAAUAAAUUUAAUUUUUUAUUAUUUAAAAAUAAAUAAAAUUGAAAAAAAAUGAUGAGAUUUUUAUAAUUAAAUAAAUAAGGAGAAAUAACUUUAUUAAUUAAAAUAAUGGUUUGAAAGAAAAUAAAAAAAAGAUAUUUGAUUUAUUCAUUUGAUAAAAAAUAAAUUACAGUAUUUCUUUAUAAAAUAAUAAAUAAAGAAAAUAGAGUAAAUAAUAGGUUGAGAGUAUCCUAACUAUAAAUAGAGACAUGUUAUGUCAGUUUUCAGACAAACGAUAGUCUUUACGGUUUCUCUUCCUCUCAAUUUCGUUUUCCCUUUUCCUCCUCUCAAAACUCUCUUUCUUUUUCCCACAUACACUUAAACCUGUCCUAGUAAAAUGACGAUCUCAAACUUGUUAACCGUUGGAUCAUCAAGAAAUUUGAGCAUCAGGUUUGGAACUCAUCUCUGAACAUUCUCACCAUUAGAAUUUGCGAAACAAUGUCAUCAGAGGUGAUAAAGAUUCCCUUUUAUUGUAGCUUUCUCUUUUCCCGUAGAGACCCAAAACCUAUCCUAGUAAAACUACAAUCCCGUAUUCGUUAAUCGUUGGAUCAUUGUAAAAUUUGGACACCAGCUUUGGAAUUCAUUUUCGCAAAUCACCAUUGGGAUGUGCGGAAUAAUGUUUUUGCAGAGAGAAAUUAGUGUCGCACGUUGACAGUAAAAUGGAGGUUAUAAUAUCUUCUCAUUAUCUCUAAUGCUUGGAAACCCUAACAGAGCAAAAAGAGGAAAAACUUGAGGAAUCUUAAGGAAUUGCCAGAGACACCGCUAUCAUUACUGGACUACAUACAUGAGCCCGCUUAGAGGUAAAGGUUGAGUUUAUCGCCAUUGAGAUUAGAAUAAAUAUGUGUAGGAAUUCUUAGGAGAUCAAAUUGGGGUUUAUUUUAGGAUGUUUAUUGUAUUGUAAUUCUUUCUGUAUGAUUAUGUGAACUAUUUGAGGGAUUUUACUCCCUGUGUUGUGAGAAACAUUUUUGUAUGAUUUGUUUGUGUUUUGGAUAAGAUUAGCAUGAUAAAUAGUUACACUAGGAUCAUUAAAUUGUGAUUGAAAUUUUGUAUAAGUGAUAAAUUGAAUAUGUGAUGAAUUGUGAGAUAACACAUUGCUUUGAGAUUAUAACAUUGUUAUUGAGAUUGAGUAUAAGUGCAAAGUUGAAUGUGUUAAUUUGUGAGAUACACGUAAACAUGUGAUGAUGGAUUGUGACAUUAUGAGACGUUAAAUUGUGGACAUGAGAUUUGAUUGUGAAUAAGUAUAUGGUUAACACUUGAUAAGGCAAUACUUGUACUGUGAGCUGUGAAUUAUACAAUAACCUGACCAGUGUUUACCUUGAGAAAAGUGUUUAUGCACAGUGUUAAAGGGAAAAUGUAGGAUUCAUAUUUAGGAACCAAUGUUAAAUUAUAGCACAAUAUGUUGAAUGUGUUUGAAACACGAGUGUGGGGUCGUGGGUAUUAUAUAAUUCAUGAGUAGUAUCUACGUGCAAAAAUGGUUUUAGGGGUGGGACUUGAAUUAGGAAGGUGAGACCCUAACCAAUUCUUCGGAGUCUAGGCCUUGGGGGUAAAGGCACUCGGUUUGAAUGCUCCUUUAAGCCUAUGUUGAUUUCAUAUGGUUGGAGCAUUCAUGUAAAACAGAGUGAACCUGAUUGGUUACCUUAUGAUUUUACUUAGUGAGAGUGACCUGACAUACCCAUUGUAUGGUGUGUCUUGUUAUGUACUUCUAAGUGUCUCAGGUGAUUUUUUACUGACAUGAUACCACAUUACAUAUAGGCUUGAGUUUUAGUAUAAUUGUUGCAUAACACUUGCUAAUUGUUUAUCAUGAAAUUGAAGAGUGUUAUUACAUCUUGACUUGAAUGUGUGAUUCAUAUAUAAUGUGAUAGGUGAUUGAAGAAUGAAAUUUUAAAUGAUCAAGUGGUGAAGUGAUGUGAGUUGUAUUAAGUUGAACUAUGUUAUAAAUAUUUUUAUAAUAUAUUUGGAUUAUGUCUUUAUUUAUUUGUAUUUUUUUAAAUGUGAUAACUUACUCACUGUGUGCUAUUUGUGUUUAGAUCCUGUGAUGAUCUCAAACUUUGGGUUCGUGGGAGCAGAUGACUAGGUGGAUGACUUUAAAUAACAGUGCUAGAGGACGCUGGAACGCAAUGCUCUGAUAGGAUGUGACAUUGGGAAUGAGUUUUUAUUUUAAUUGCAUGAUGCUAUUUUAUUUUAUUUUAUCUCACUUAUUUAACACAAUUUCUUUUGUAAACUUUGACAGUCUUGCUCCGAGCUGAAUAUGUAUUUGUAUAAGUUUUAUUUGACUAUUAAAGCGAAUGUGAGCCUUUUACCCUUUUGAAAUACUUUUAUUUAAAUGUUUUUGAAAACUAUUAAUUAGUUAUGCUUUUUUAUUCCUUUUAUUAUUAGUAUAUAUAUGUGUAAGAUAGAGGGUGUCACAUCAUUGUCAUUCCAGAUGGAGGUAUCUCAUAUCUCUUCUCCAUCUCAAGUAAAAGUAUCUCAUGCAUAUUCAAUUAUCAAAAUAAGAUAUAUACUUUCAGUUUUAGAGUUUAAAAUCUUUGUGCAAAUAAAUGUAAAAGAUUUUUUUACUAUGGUAGGAAAAUCCAGCAUUUACAGUUGGCUUACAUUUAUCUUAUUUUAAGGAGACAAGCUGUUGGAGUUUUCUGCAAGUGAUUUUUUGUCUUUUAAUUGUUGUUUUAUUGCUUGAUAACUAUGGAUAUGAUUAUUAGUUAUAAAUAGAAAUAAAAUAUAAUUUGUAGAUAUGUUGUGUGGUAAAAAUUUAUUUUAAUCUUUGUAUGACAAACCUUGAAUACGGUUUGAAAUUCUAAAUAUAAAGUUGGGUUUAUAAAAAGUAAGUAAAUAGAUAUUAUAAACUUCAGUUUUUAAGUAUCUUGCUAAAUAAGAUUCACGUUAGACCCCUUUCUGUGUUAACAUAUUACAGACUAUGUAUUUGAUUAAAAAUUAUGAAAUCAAGGCAAUAGAUAUGUUUAACGUACUCAAGCAUUCUGAUGUUGUACUAACAAACAUUGUUUUAUUGUUUUUAUUCUCUAAUCAAAUUCCUGGUUGCAGCAAUUUAUUUCCUUUUUCUAUGUGGUUUCUUUGGUAAGGUUGUGGCAAGAAAUUUAUUGCCGGAACUUGAUACAACUUUAUCAGUUAACUGUGUUCUGCCGCUGCCUUUUCUGUUUUCAUGCAAAUAAAUCAUAAACAAAGAGAAGAUUGAAUUAUUUGGUUAAAAUUAUGUUGAAAUUUGAAAACGUCUCACUCUCACCAGAACCGUUUUAUCUAUGACUUGAUGGUUUGCUUUUCUUAAUUCUUAUUUAUGCAAUAUGGGCAGUUUAAAAGCCAUUUCCAUGAAGUUCGAGUUCUCCCUUACUGCAUAUCAAUUGCCUGUGAUAACUAUGAAGUAUGAAUAGUGUCAUCAAAUUUUGCCCGAAUGUAGAUAUGGGGCAGACAUUGCACGAGGGAUUGUUGAGUUACAUGCUGCAGGCAUUGUUUGCAUGAAUAUAAAAACAUCCAAUCUUCUUCUUGAUUCAACUGGCCUUGCUGUGAUUUCUGAUUACUGCUAUUCUGAAGAAGCAUUCCUGUUGGAAGGGCCAACCUGAGCAUGACUCCUCAAACACAUUAUACAGCUCCAGAGGCUUGGGGGCAACUUCUGAAGAAAUCAUUAAAUUUGUUCUGGGAUGAUGCAAUAGGUAUAUCAGCAGAGUCUGAUGCCUGGAGUUUUGGUUGUACACUGGUGGAGAUGGGCACGGGUUUUGUUCCGUACAUGGAUCAACUCAUCAUUCAAUUUUUCUUUUUCUUUGCAUUCUGGUUUUCUAGAGUUGCAUAUCGCAAAUUCUAUGCUUGUGUAGUUGGGCUGGUUUAAGUUCGGAGGAAAUUUAUCAAGCAGUUGUCAAGGCAAAGAAACUGCUUCCACACUAUGCCAGUGUGGUUGGUGGUGGAAUACCUAGUGAUUUGUGGAGGUUGAUUGGAGAGUGCUUGCAGUUCAAGCCAUCUAAAAGGCCUAGUUUAACUGCAAUGUUGGCAAUAUUUCUCCGUCAUUCGCAGGGAAUGCCGCGCAGCCUUCCUGCAAGCCCAAAUAAGUAAGCCCAUUAUAAUUAUCCAUGACUUGUAUCUUCUAUGCUGUUUUUAUGGCAUCUGAUUGAGCAGUCAAAAUGUAGCCUAUUUAUAGUUUUAGAUGUGUGGUGUGGAAAUGAGCCAAAUUUGCAGUUGUCGUAGAUGCCAAACAAUUGACUUGUACAUGUUUUAUAUUUUUGUAAAUACAGUGAUAGAGUUGUCCCCUGUGCAAGAAUUAGAAGUUUCUCAGAAAAACCCAUUCCAUCUUCAUCAAUGUGUGUCUCGGGGAUGUUAGAAGUGUUAGGUCAGUUGGUGCAUCAAAGUCACAAACAAUCUUCCUUGAGCUUGCUUUCAUUUUCAUUUUGCAAUUCAUUCUUUUUCUUUGUACUUUCCGUACAGUGAUCUUCUUUUCAAGGCUGCAUCAGACUAUGGCAGCAACAGCCUAUCUUCUCUGCUGGAAGCUCAAAAUGCUGAUGAACAAACUGCUCUCCACUUAGCUUGUAGAUGUGGCAGUGCAGAACUUGUUGAGGCAAUUUUGGAGUAUGAAGAGGCAAAUGUUGAUGUCUUGGACAAAGAUGGAGAUCCUCCUCUUGCUUAUGCAUUAGCUGCUGGAUCCCCAGAAUGCGUUCGCAGUCUUAUCAAAAGAGGUGCUAAUGUGAGGCCACAAUUAAGAGAUGGCUUUGGCCCAUCUGUUGCUCAUGUUUGUGCACAUCAUGGCCAACCAGAAUGCAUGCGAGUAUGUUUUACUUUAAUCAUAUUCAGGUUCGUCUUUGCAUUUACUAGAGCUAUAUUCAUAUAAAUAUAUGGUAAAAUAACAGGAAUUACUAUUAGCUGGAGCUGAUCCUAAUGCAGUGGAUGAUGAAGGUGAAUCUAUCCUGCAUAGAGCAGUUCCCAAGAAGUGUUGGACAUUUUAGUGUAAUUGAUCUCUUUAUUAUGUUAAAAUAAGAGUGCACGCUUGUUUUAAUGUAAUAACGAGAUGCUCGGUUUAGGCAAAUUUUGGAAGUUACAUGGAAGUCAAAUUUUGGAAGUUACAUGGAAGUUAUUUUUCAAGAAAAGAAAGUUUUUUUAAAAAAGAUAAACUUCCAUCAACCGCCAACCGUUUUAUUUUAAAGGAUAAAACUUCCAUAACUUCCUUCAACCGCCAAAAACCACCUGUUCUUUGAUUAUAAAUAAUCAUCCUGGUUCAGAAAGCAUAACAUGUGAAAAACAUACAAGACCAAAACAAAACUCUUGAAUUAUAAUCUUCUGAUUUUAUCCGAUUGAACAAUUUUGGUUGAACCCCGAAAUUUGAUUCAAUCUGAAAGUGUUUAUACACGACUUCAGAUUUAUCCAGGAUUAUCUCGAUUUUCAAAAUUAACCAACAAAAGAUUGAAUCAAAUCUUUCGAGAUGACGAACGAUAGUUCGAAGAUGACAAGCAAGUUUGCAAAGUUGGACAAGUUUGAAGGGUAGGAUUUCAGAAGAUGGCAGAAGAAGAUGCACUUUCUCUUGACAACAUUGAAUGUGGUGUAUGUGCUGAGUACACCGAUGCCGGUGUAUAUGGAAGGCGAAACUCUGGAUCAAACAAGGAAGCGUUCGAAAUGGGAGAACGACGAUUACAUUUGUCGUGGACAUAUUCUGAACGGUAUGUCUGACUCUCUCUUUGAUAUUUAUCAAAAUGUUGAGUCUGCUAAGGAAUUAUGGGACUCUCUUGAAUCCAAGUAUAUGGCAGAAGAUGCCUCAAGUAACAAAUUCUUAGUUAGUAAUUUCUUUAAUUACAAAAUGAUUGAUUCGAGGCCUGUUAUGGAGCAAUAUAAUGAACUGCUGCGGAUUUUGGGUCAGUUUACUCAACAUGAUUUGAAAAUGGAUGAAUCCAUUGCAGUUUCAUCUAUAAUUGAUAAACUGCCUUCUUCUUGGAAAGACUUCAAGCAUACCUUGAAACAUAAGAAGGAAGAGUUGACUCUGGUUUAACUCGGUAGUCAUUUCAUGAUUGAGGAGUCGCUGAGGGCUCAGGAAAUUGACAAAGUCAAUAAUAAAACCGUAGCAGGUUCCUCUUCCGUUAAUAUGGUAGAGGAAAGUGGAACAGUUAAGCAAAAUUACAAUGCUAAAGGUAACAAAUGAAAAUUUCAAGGAAAUAAGAACAAAGGUCCAAACAAACAGACAAAAUUGUCUUGUUGGAAGUGUGGGAAACCUGGUCAUUUAAAGAGGGAUUGCCGGGUGUUCAAAGGAAAGAACAAGGUUGGUCCAAGUGGGUCUAAUGAUCCUGAAAAGCAACAAGGUCAGAUUGUAGUGAAUAAUUUUAAUUCGAAUACGAAUUCAAAUUAUGUAUCACUAAUAUCUGAUGCAUUCUAUGUGCAGGAUGAUGACGUUGCUUGGUGGUUUGAUUCGGGAGCAACAAGCCAUGUGUGCAAAGAUCGUCGUUGGUUCAAGGAAUUUAGACCAAUCGAUGAUGGCUCUAUUGUGAAGAUGGGCAAUGUUGCAACUGAACCAAUCCUAGGAUUAGGUUGUGUGAAUUUAGUUUUUACUUCCGGAAAAAGUUUGUAUUUGGAUAAUGUCUUAUUUGUACCUGGUAUUCGUAAGAACUUAUUGUCUGGUAUGGUUUUAAAUAAUUGUGGUUUCAAGCAAGUACUUGAAAGUGACAAGUACAUCUUGUCAAGACAUGGUUCGUUUGUUGGAUUUGGUUAUCGUUGUAAUGGAAUGUUUAAAUUAAACAUUGAUGUUCCUUUUGUUCAUGAAUCUGUUUGUAUGGCCUCGUGUAGUUCUAUAACUAAUAUGACAAAAUCAGAAAUUUGGCAUGCUAGAUUAGGACAUGUUCAUUACAAAAGAUUAAAAGAUAUGUCAAAAACAAGUAUGAUUCCUCCUUUUGAUAUGAACAUUGAAAAAUGCAAAACUUGCAUGUUGACCAAGAUCACUAGGAAACCUUUUAAGGAUGUUAAAAGUGAGACUAAAGUCUUAGACCUUAUUCAUAGUGAUUUGUGUGAUUUGCAUGCUACUCCAUCAUUAGGUCAUAAAAAAUAUCUUGUUACUUUUAUUGAUGAUGCAUCAAGGUAUUGUUAUGUAUAUUUAUUAAAUACAAAAGAUGAAGCUCUUGAUAAAUUUAAAAUUUAUAAGAAAGAGGUAGAACUUCAUCAAAAUGGGCUAAUCAAAACUCUUUGUACGGAUAGGGGAGGUGAGUAUUAUGAUCCGGUUUAUUUUCAAUCUACUGGAAUAAUACAUCAAACUACAGCUCCCUAUACACCACAACAGAAUGGUGUAGCCGAAAGGAAGAAUAGAACCUUGAAAGAAAUGGUGAAUUCCAUGUUAUCCUAUUCGGGUUUAAGUGAAGGAUUUUGGGGUGAGGCUAUGUUGACAGCCUGUUACUUGUUGAACCGAAUUCCUAACAAAAGGAAUAAGGUUACCCCAUAUGAACUUUGGCACAAAAAGACACCAAAUUUGAGUUAUCUCAAAAUUUGGGGAUGUAGGGCUGUAGUCAGGCUUACAGAACCUAAAAGGAAAACCAUAGGUGAAAGAGGUAUAGAUUGCAUAUUUAUUGGAUAUGCUGAACAUUCUAAAGCAUAUAGAUUCUAUGUGCUAGAAUCUAAUGAUUCUGUUGCUGUGAACUCGAUUAUAGAGUCACGAGAUGCUAUCUUUGAUGAACAAAGGUUUACAUCUAUACCUAGGCCAAAGGACAUGAAUUCCAUGUCGAAAGUCUCAGUUAAUAUUGAGGAUAUACCUUUAACUAGUACUGAAACUAGAAAGAGUACGAGAGUAAGAAAAGCUAAGUCAUUUGGUGAUGACUUUCAACUCUAUUUGGUUGAAGGGUCAAGGAAUGAUAUUGAAUUUCAAUAUCAAUAUUGCCUUAAUGUUGAGGAAGACCCAAAGACUUUUAGUGAAGCAAUGGCUUCAAGGGAUGCUGUAUUCUGGAAAGAAGCAAUCCAAAGUGAGAUGGAUUCCAUCAUGCAAAAUAAUACCUGGAAAUUGGUUGACUUACCUCCUGGAUGUAAGCCAUUAGGAUGUAAGAUGAUCUUUAGGAGAAAGAUGAAAGUGGAUGGUACUGUUGACAAGUACAAAGCCAGAUUGGUUAUCCAAGGCUUUAGGCAAAAGGAGGGUAUUGAUUUUUUCGAUACAUAUGCUCCUGUUGCUAGGAUAUCCACUAUUAGACUGUUGUUAGCACUUGCUGCUAUCCACAAUCUGAUGAUUCACCAAAUGGAUGUGAAAACUGCAUUCUUAAAUGGUGAAUUGGAUGAAGAGAUAUACAUGAAACAACCUGAAGGGUUUGUUAUGCCAGGAAAUGAAAAUAAGGUGUGUAAACUGAUGAAAUCUCUUUAUGGCUUGAAACAAGCGCCUAAGCAAUGGCAUCAAAAAUUUGAUGAGGUUGUGUUGUCUAGUGGUUUUGUUAUAAACCAAGCAGAUAAAUGUCUAUACAGCAAGUUUGAUACUCAUGGCAAAGGAGUUAUCAUUUGUCUGUAUGUAGACGACAUGUUGAUCUUUGGUACCGACCAAGAUCAAGUUGAUGAAACUAAGGCAUUUUUGUCUUCUAAGUUUGAUAUGAAAGAUAUGGGGGAGGCGGAUGUGAUCUUAGGAAUAAAGAUUAAACGUGGAAACAAUGGUAUUUUCAUCUCUCAAUCACAUUAUAUUGAGAAGAUAUUGGAGAAAUUUAAUUUUAAAGAUUGUUCUCCGGUAAGUACUCUCAUUGAUCCUAACCUGAAGCUAUUACCUAAUAAAGGUGUAGCAUUGUCUCAACUUGAAUACUCAAGGGCGAUAGGAUCACUCAUGUAUGCAAUGAUUAGUACUAGGCCUGAUAUAGCUUAUGUUGUUGCUAAACUCAGUAGGUUUACAAGUAAUCCUAGUUCUCAUCAUUGGCAAGCUAUGAAUAGAGUAUUCAAAUACUUAAAGGGAACCAUUGAUUAUGGUUUGACAUAUACUAGAUUUCCUUCGGUUAUUGAAGGUUACUCUGAUGCAAGUUGGAUAACCAAUAUGGAGGAUUAUUCAUCCACAAGUGGUUGAGUAUUCCUCCUUGGAGGAGGUGCUAUAUCUUGGGCAUCCAAGAAAUAGACCUGCAUUACAAAUUCAACAAUGGAAUCUGAAUUUGUAGCUUUAGCAGCAGCUGGUAAAGAAGCUGAGUGGCUAAGAAAUCUGAUCUAUGAGAUUCCAUUGUGGCCCAAACCUAUACCUCCCAUGUCUAUCAGGUGUGAUAGUCAGGCAACUUUGGCUAAGGCAUAUAGUCAAGUGUAUAAUGGGAAGUCUAGACACUUGGGUGUUAGACACAACAUAGUUCGGGAGUUAAUCAUGCAUGGUGUGAUAUCAGUGGAGUUUGUGAGAACUCAGCAUAAUUUGGCCGAUCAUUUAACCAAAGGGUUAAGUAGAGAUCUCGUGAAAAGGUCGGCUGUGGGAUUAGGAUUAAAGUCCAUCUGAAAUCUCUUAUGUUAAGAUACCCAAUUCCCAUCUAAUAUGACAUUAGGUGCUGAAUUCAAUGUGGAAAGCUUAACAUGUAGAGAUUGGAACACAUCAUCGAAAUUAUCCCAAAAGGAAUGUGUUCGGUUCUGUAAGUUAAGGAGGUUGAAGUAUAACUUCUCAAUGGUUCUUUUGAAAAAUUGCAUUUACAGGUGCAAGAAAGAAAAGGACUACCUAUAUAAGCAUGAAGUUUAGCCGCUUCAAGAAGCUGGGACUUGGCUUUGAUAUGCUUAUGAAGGAUAGGGACACAGGCUAGUAAAACUAGUGUCGAGCAAGAGUAAUGUUAUAAACUAUUGUGCAGAUUAUCUUCAUGUAUUCAUUAUGAAUAGAAAGGGUUCAAUCCUUAGUGACACCCUGAUAUUCGAAUAUUUGAAACGUGUAAUUUGCUAAGAUGAAAUUCAAUCGUCACGAUAUUUCAUCUAUGCAGUAGUUUGUUGUAUGUUAUGACUUUGGUGAUUUGAUCGGUAAUUACACUAAAAUGGGGGAGGUUUGUUGGACAUUUUAGUGUAAUUGAUCUCUUUAUUAUGUUAAAAUAAGAGUGCACGCUUGUUUUAAUGUAAUAACGAGAUGCUCGGUUUAAGCAAAUUUUGGAAGUUACAUGGAAGUCAAAUUUUGGAAGUUACAUGGAAGUUAUUUUUCAAGAAAAGAAAGUUUUUUUAAAAAAGAUAAACUUCCAUCAACCGCCAACCGUUUUAUUUUAAAGGAUAAAACUUCCAUAACUUCCUUCAACCGCCAAAAACCACCUGUUCUUUGAUUAUAAAUAAUCAUCCUGGUUCAGAAAGCAUAACAUGUGAAAAACAUACAAGACCAAAACAAAACUCUUGAAUUAUAAUCUUCUGAUUUUAUCCGAUUGAACAAUUUUGGUUGAACCCCGAAAUUUGAUUCAAUCUGAAAGUGUUUAUACACGACUUCAGAUUUAUCCAGGAUUAUCUCGAUUUUCAAAAUUAACCAACAAGAAGUCCGCUGACUGUGCCCUUGUGAUACUGGAAAAUGGGGGAAAUGGAUCAAUUGCCAUCUUGAAUCCAAAGAAUAUGUCUUAAGUAUAGAUUUCCCAUCAAUUUUCUUCUUAAGCUUAAAAUGUGUUUGCCAAACUUGUCAAUCAGUCUAGGACUCCAGAGGUACAGAAAGAAACGGAUCUUACUCAUCAAUUUUGCAUAUCCAAUGAUCAAUGUGAAACAUGCACUUUAGCUGUCUCAGUCCACUGCAAUGACAGCAUGGCUUUUCUCUAGCAUGGAGCAGCAAACUCAUGUCGAAACAUGCACCUUAGCUGGAUAAAAUUGAUACAAACUACUUCUGUAAUUUCUUAGCUGCUUGUACAAUUGAGUACAAUUUAGGAUAGGAAUUGGAACAGAAUGACAAUAUAUUUCUCUAAAAUCCUUUAAUGUAUAAUGAAUAAUUGCUGCUAAUGCUCAAUAUCUUACAUAAGUGACAUUUAUUCUUAUUAUCUCUUCAUUAUGGUGCGUUCCUUCUGAAUUUUGAUUCCACUGAAAAACUUUCUAAUUUGCUGGUGGACACUAUCUUAUUGAUGCCAAAUUUUGUUUGUGGUCUUCCAUAGUUCUCUCCAAAUUUAGAGGUCAUGGAUCUUACCUUUUCAAUAGAUAGUUCUUUAUUGAUGUAUGUUGUCUGCGGGCUAAACAAACAGGUUGUUGGUUUCCCCCUAGCACUGGCAGACCUCUUUACUGAUUUUUUUUCAUCUUCUGUGCAUUAUCUAGGUUUAAUCAACAGUCCCUUGUCAUUCUGGUUCCUUAUUCUAUUGAGUUUUUAGUGUGAGCUUUUGUCAGCAAAAGGAAAAAAAAAUCAUAUUGUAAUGCUUUAUAUUACAAUAAUUUUAGUAAUCAAGUUUCAGAAUAACCAUAUUUGUAAAUAGAGAUUUUUUAUUUAUUUAUAAAUUACAUAAUAUAUGAAUACUUACAAUAGUAUGAUGAUAUGAUCAUUGUUUUAUUUGACGACCUUUGUAUAGAGAAUAGAUCUACAUGGUUCUUAUUUCUUAUCACUAGUACUAUUUUUACUUUGGAUAGAGUAAUUAUUAAGUUGUUGGUGUUAUAUUCCAUUUGUUUUUGCUCUCAUGCUAGACUAUACUGAUAGAUUAUAGAUAUCAUCAGGAUACUUUGACAAAUGUCUUUGUGAAGCUUGGGUUUUUAUACCUGUAUCCGUUGUUUUGUUUUUCCUCAUGAGUAAGUUGGGUCUGGUCGUAAUAUAUCUAGGGCAAAGGAAUGGUUUCUUAGAUGUAAAAGAUGGUAGUCUAUUCUUUUACUUUGAAUAAACCACAGUAGAAGAUUUCUGCACUGUGAUAUUGCUGAUGGGAAAACUGGAAAGAAAAAAAUCAAUUAUUCCUGUCUGAAUCAACCAUGGCCACCUCUUCUUUGUCCUUAUUUAAGUAGUACAACAACAACAACAACAACAACGCCUUAUCCCACUAGGUGGGGUCGGCUACAUGGAUCAACUUCCGCCAUAAUGUUCUAUCAAGUACCAUACUUCUAUCCAAACCAUUAAUUUCGAGAUCCUUUUUGAUAACCUCUCUUAUAGUCUUUUUGGGUCUUCCUCUGCCUCGAAUUGUUUGUCUUCUCUCCAUCUGGUCUACUCUUCUCACUACAGAGUCUACCGGUCUUCUCUCUACAUGCCCAAACCACCUAAGUCUAUUUUCCACCAUCUUCUCUACAAUAGGCGCUACUCCAACCAUCUCUCUAAUAGCUUCGUUUCUAAUUUUAUCCUGUCGAGUCUUACCACACAUCCACCGCAACAUCCUCAUCUCCGCUACACCUACUUUAUUCUCAUGUUGGCUCUUGACCGCCCAACAUUCUGUUCCGUACAAAAUUGCCGGUCUUACCGCAGUCCGAUAAAACUUUCCCUUUAGCUUGAUCGGUACCUUUGCAUCACAUAACACCCCCGAUGCUUUUCUCCAUUUCAUCCAUCCUGCUUGAAUGCGAUGAUUCACAUCCCCUUCAAUGCUUCUAGGAAACUGAAAGCAUAUGCUGUAGGUCAAUCAUAUAAUAGCAAGUUAAAUACCACUGAAGCUGGUAUUUUAGCUAAUUUUAAAGGAAAUUGCUUCUUUUUAUCAUAAUUCUGGGGGUUAGUUUUUUAGUUCUUGGGUGUUUUAUUUCUUCUCAUAUUUGUUGGAAUUUCUAUAUGGGAUUGCAACAUUUUAAAUGCAUUCUUGUUUCUGUGUGGGUGUUUGAAUAUAGAUAUCAUUUCGCCUCACAUGCAUCUGUGAUCAUCUAGUUUUACACUUUUGAUGUUGCAGACUGCUGCACUUGUGUGUGACAACUUGGAAUGAUAUCUAAAUUCAAACAUGGGAUUGCUGAAGUUGCAACUUCUGAUGAGAUUGCUGAAUCAAUUGACAUGACAUCCCAAGCCCUAUGAGCACUGCUUUGUGGAUGGCUGCUGCCUCCAAGAAAGAUCAUGAAAGUGGUAUGAAUAUCUGGGAUUAUUGGUUGAUACUUGAUAAUGAUUUUAGAAUUCAUAUUGUCUGUUGAUUGGGCUAUUAUAGUUUUUUAUUCAUACCUGUUGUUAUUGCUGUUUUUUUUUAUUCCAAACAAAGUUCAGUGCAUAUUUUCUUCUAGUAGGUAUUCCUAAUUUAUGCUAAUAAUUAAUAAAGCUUCUGUUUUCUAAAAUAGUUAAGUCAUCUGAUUUUGUUUGCUCAUGCAAAAUAUAGAGGAGAGAGAAUAGGUGCAAAUUUUGCUUUCUGCGGAGCAGAUCCAUCUGCUCAACAUUCACAGCAUGGGCGGACAGCUUUGCAUACAGCUGUUAUGAUUGACGAUGUUAAAUUGGUUAAGGUGAGUAAACCAGAUUCUUGAUUAGAAUGAUUAAAUAUCCAUCAAUAUUCAAUAUCAUGUUGGAAUAUGAAGUAUGUGCCUUUUGUAUCUGAUGUUAACUAACUUCUUUUUUUUGGUGUUGAGUAGGUUAUUCUUGCUGCUGGUGUUGAUGUGAACAUUCGUAAUGUGCACAAUGGCAUUCCUCUUCACAUAGCCUUAGCUAGGGGUGCUAAGUCAUGUGUUGAACUACUUCUAUGUAUUGGGGCAGAUUGCAAUUUGCAGGUUUUAAUUCAAGUUCUGAAUUUACUCUGUUUAACUACAGCAUUACACUAAGUGUUAUACUACUGUUGGUUCUUUAUAUAAGAAACAAAUAAUUAAUUCAUCAAGACCAAUCAAAGUAGUUUAGUUAAUUUUAAUUAAUAAUGUCAUAAAUUAAAAUUUGAUUCCAAAAGUAAAUAUAAAGGCAAAGUUUCAUAUCUCUUAUUAUUGUAUUGUUUCAAAACGAAUAUAUGGUGCUUUGAUCUUAUUUCUUUUUUCCUCUUGAUCUCUCUGAUACAUUAUAAAAUGAUUUUUCUAUUUGAUUAUAGUAGAUUUGGAAUUGAACUUCAUCAUAUGACUGAUUGAUUGCUGAGUUCAGUCUCCAGUUCACUGUAGUCAGCCACUUCGUCACAGAGUAAAUUAAGCCUAAUGAUAAUUUAUAUGGUUAUAAAUGGUUGGGGGACUGACUAAUCUAAGGGACAUGAUUCUUAUUAGAACUCAAAAAGUUACAUAUGCUGUUGAAAAUGUAGAAUGGAAUAUUGAAGUCUCUCUAAGUUUAUACAAUUGUCAUCUGUUUGGGAAUAUUUGAGAUCUAAUGAUAUAGUUGAAACUUGAAAGUUUAGUGUUUGCUUCCAUUGCAGGCAUUUAAUCUGUCAGACAAAUUGCAAUUUAACAAUUUGAGGUUUAUCCUCUUCAAAAAGUUAGUACAUAAUAUCUCAAACUAAGAGUUGGUUCAUAACAUUUUAUGGUGCACUCUAAAAUUGACAACUAGGCAGUUACAAGUAGCACCUGACUGGAACUAAAAUCUUCUCAAUGACAGUUUUUAGAUUGCACCGAACUUCUGGAGGAUGAAGUUUUACAAAUGAAACCUCACCAUUCAUUUUAACUCCUCAAUAGUGAGCCAGAGUUCAGGGGUUGUUAAAGUGUUACUAGCGUAACUUCUGUACCAACACUGAAAAGUGCAUAAACUUUAAAUCUACCUUUUAUCCUAAACAGUAAGUAGGCAUUAGUUUUGAUUUACUGUUGUCUUUAUCAUAUCUAUCUUUUACAUUUUAGGCUGGCUUGUGUACAUGCACAAGGAUAAACAGGGUGGAAUAUGUUUUUUUAACAAAAAAUUGUUACAUGCUAUAAAUAUUUGAAAGUUGACAUUCUAGUGUCCGCCUAUUGUCUGAAAUAAGUUUUGCUAUUAUGUUUCUAAUUUAAAGUUCUAAGCUGUUUAUUUUGUCUCAGGAUGAUGAUGGUAACACUGCUCUCCAUAUAGCAGCAUGAACAGCAAAAAUGAUACGUGAAAAUCUUGAUUGGCUCAUUGUAUGCUUGGGAAUCCUAAUGCUGAUAGUCAGAAACUACUGGCAAGUUGCAGCUCUGUGCACUCAUUCUCAUUAGAUUUUGAUUACAUUUUUUUUCAUCUUUUAACCAUCUGAAAAACUUUUGUCCAUCCUUUUAGAAAACUUUGGCAACUUUCAUUUUUCCAUUCCAAAAGAAAGUCCCUCCUAUGACUUAUAGAGUUAUGUUUUAUUACAGUGGCAAGACUCUAGGUGACAUCUUGGAUGUCCUUCCCCGAGAAUGGAUAUCAGAAGAUCUGAUGGAGGCACUCAUGAAGAAAGGAGUUUGUCUCUCUCCUGCAAUGUAAGGCAACGACAUUUUAUUAUUAUUUUUUUUAUUUACUGUUCUUGAAAUAUCUUCAUUGUAUGUCUUAAAAUAUUUUAGAAUAUCGUAGGAAAUCUUUGAAUUUUGUCAUAUCAAUUACCUCUCGAAUAUAGGAAGAAAUUUUAGCUGUUUCCUAACUUCAUUAUGUUUUUAAUUAUUUUCCUUAUUUAAGUAGGGUUAGGAGUUUAUUGUCUUAGUGUGCUUUUUGCACUUGUAGCAUAGAACUACACCUGUAAGUGACCUAAUUCAUAGUAUAAAUAAGUGCCAGUGUCUGUAAUCUAAUGGAAUACUAUCAAGAACCUUCACUGAGAAAACAAUACAAUUUAGCUCCUUCUUUUUCUCUUUCCCUCCUUUCCUACCUUAAGCCCCAUAAAUUCAAUAGAUGUGAUAUCAUAUUUAUUUUCUAACCACAUCCAACUAUUUUUUUAUAAUUUUUGUUUAUUGUUUUAGAUUUGAAUUGGGAGACUGGGUGAAGUUUAGAAAAACUUCCAUAACUCCAACAAAUGGGUGGGAAGGUGAUCGGCAGAAGCAGGUGGGCUUUUUGCAGAGAGUUCCAGACAAAGAUAAUCUCAUUGCUUCAUUUUGUUCUGGAGAGUAUUAUAGUGUUUUGGCCAAUAAAGUUGUAAAAGUCGUUCCAUUAGACAGGGGACAACAUGUGCAGCUUAAAGAGGAUGUAAAAAAGCCAAGGUUUCUUUCUGCAUAAAUCUUAUAUGAAAUAUAAGUGAGGAAAAGUAUGUGUGAAUUUUCAUCAGUACAUGCAUAUGUUUAUAUUAUGUACAGUAUGAAUUACAAGAGGAACCAUCUUCUAAAUCAGAACUAAUUAGCCCUGGCACCACUCAUCCAUGAGUCAGUAACAUCCAACUAAGCAUUAUAUAAUAUAAUGGCUUCUUUGUGUCCAUGCCUCUGUUGGAGGGAUUUCUAUGAUCCUUUAAAAUAUCUAAAUAGAUUGGAGAGGUCAUAUUUGGAUCCAAUUGCAAGGUACGAGACUUGAGUCCCACAGUAGAAGUGUGGGAUUAGAAUUCUGUUUGAGUCCAGCUUCUCUUAUUAAGGAGAAGAGAAACCCAAAAUAAAUUAGGCCAAGCACUUCCUAAAACAUCAUAUGAUGUCUGGAAAUGAUGUAUAUUUGGCCUUUGUUCUUAUUGCAGAUCAUUUGUGUUAGUCCAACAUGUAUUGCAGGCAGUCUUUACUUUCCAGAUAGUGAUCAUGAGUUGUAAACUAACAAGUAUUACAACACAACUUAGUGAUUUCUAUGAUCACUAGACUCAACUUUUUGGUUUUUAGAACGGAUGUGCAUCUCAAAUUCUUUAAAGGAUCUAUGAGUUUAUAUCCAUGCAAUGACAUCUCACUGUCUACCUCAUCAUAGAUGAAGGUGUCAAGAAUCUCUUUCCCAUCCCAUAUGAAGGUAUCUAUAAUCUCAUCCUCAUCUCAGAUGGAGAUAUCUCAUAUCUUUCUCUCAUCCCAAAUGAAAAUAUCUUUUGGAUAUUCAAUUUUCAAUAAAAUAUACAUUGUCACCACUUCCUAAAAGAUGACUAAUAAAUUACAAAGUCAUACCCCAAAUUAUAACAUCAUGAGAGUCAAUUAAUAAUUAACUAUGAAAUAAAACACACACACAAUAUUAAAUAUAUUUUAGUUGAUAUAUAUGAUAGCUAAACACAAAACUCAAGCAAACUUAUUCAUGAAUUUUUAAAUAAAUUCCAAGAUUAAAUAUGUAACCAAUGAAGAUUUGUACAUUAUAAUACCCCUUUUGUAAAAUUAAAUCAAACCCCACGAAUAGUAACAAUUACAUGUGAAUAUGGUUAUAUCAGACCCUUAAAUAAUGUCAUGCAAUGAUACGACGGAACCUAAAUUUUGCAUCAUCAAUGGAUUAAUUGACACAAAUAUCAAUGUAUCAAUUUAUCGAUUUAUCAUUGGUAAACUCAAAAAGAUGUAUUUCUAAAAUCUAUAUCAUGAAAGUUUAGAAAAAGAAGGUCAUUUUACUCACUUCUUGAAACACAUAGUAAUUCACGCGUUUCACUUAUUAUUCUUCUUCUACUGGGACAACAAGAUUCUUUUUGUUUCUUCUUUCUUCUCAAUCCUAUAUAAUUUACUAAUUUUUUAUUUUCUAAGAGACUGUCUAUAAAACUUUAGAAGAAGAGAAUUAUUUAUUCCUAUAUAAUACAAGGAUAUAUAAUUUAAGAUUAGGUCACAUGAGAUAUAUUCUUAGUAGAUUUGGCUAAUCAAAUCUUUCUUUUUUUUCCUACUUAUUAUCUUGAUUUACCUGAUUAUUAAAAUUAUCUAAUAUUUUAUUUUCUUUCAAGAUAUAUUAAGAUAAACCAUGGUAAAAUUUAAAUCAUUGUCAAUUAUCACAAUUUUACAUGUAACAAAUAUCUUAUCCAAACUAGAUAUACAAUGCUAUAUUAUUAAUAGAAUAAUUAUUUUUACAAUAAUAAUAAUCUUUUUAAUCCUCUUAAUUAGGAUAUGAAAGAGUCACGCUUUCUUUUAUAAUUAUAAAAUAAUCUCAACAAUUUUUAUAUUAACUGACUAAUCUUUUUUAUUUAUAAAACUCAAUAAAGUACUUAAAAGAUACAUAAUCUUUUUAUUCAAUAUUUCAAAGAUAUAUAUAUAUAUAUAUAUAUAUAUAUAUAUAUAUAUAUAUAUAUAUAUUAUCAUAAUUAUUUUAAUUAAAAUUAAUAACAAUUAUUAUAUUAAAAUUUUAGGAUGUUACAUGAGAAUGAGAAGAUAUGUAAGUAUGGAGACGACUUCCCCAUUCUGAAUUACACUAGGCCGUCAAUUGCAAAUCAAAAUUUCUACUCAAGAGCACACACCUUGUUCUGGAUUCCCUACUACUCACAUCAGCCUCCUAAUACUCUUGUCUAGGUUGAUGCAUGAACUGAGACAAUAUGUAAACACAAUAAGACAAUUUUGGUAUAGUUAAACAAAGGUAAAUAAGGCGUCCAACUAUCCGCCUAUAUUAAUCAAGAUGAGAAAAUUCUGAUCCUUCAACAAUACCCAAACCAUGAUUCUGCUCCAUGGGACUAUUUGAUGAUUUUGUUUCAAAAAAAUCUUGUUUCUCUUAUGAUACUCAGAACAGUCAAUUGUAUCAAAUAAAAGAAAGAAGAUAACUCUUCAAUUAUAACAAUUUUAUACAAAAAAUUAAAAAUAUAUAAAAUUUACUUUUUAAGUUGCUUCUAUAAAAAACUAUUAUAACACGUAGAUUUUGUUCUUCACAAAAUCAAGGUCAAGAACCAAUAAAUGUUGAACAUUGACAUUUUCUGCUUCUCUUGCUUAAGUUUUUUUUUUUUUUGGUGAAUUUUUCUCUUGCUUAAGUUUUUUUUUUUUUUGGAUGAAUUUUUCUCUUGGUUAAGUAGGAGGCAUCUAAGUGACAAAGACGCGUUUUCUAUUUCAAGAGUCUUGUUUGGUAUACAAAUUAAAGUCUUUUAUUCUGUAAUCAAUUUAUAGUAAAAAUAUCUGAUUAAUUUUUAUGAAGUUUUAUUUAACGUCCCUUUACUUCAAAAUCACAUGUUAAGAGGAUAGUAAAUGAAUGGGUUUUUUUUAAGUGAAUGCAUCUCUCUCUUACUUUUUUUUUCAAUUUAUACUUUGUAAUUUAAUUCCCAAUAUACACAUUCUCUUUUUUUUGUUUUUUUUUUAAUUUAAAAAUUAUAAAAUAUAAAUAUUAUAUUAUAUAAUUUUUUAAUUGGUUUUAAAAUUAAUUAUUUAUUAAAUUAAAUUUUAUAAUUUUGUUUUUUAAUUUUUUAAAAUAAAAUAAUAUUAUUAAAUAUAAUUAUUUUUAUUUUAUUAUUUAAUUAACUUAACAUAUUUUUAGGUGAAUAUUUUUAUUUAAAAUCUGAAUUUUAUAAUAUAAUUAUAUUACUAAAUAUAAUUAGUUUGUUUAUGUCAUUAGAUUUAAUUAAAAAUGAGAAGACUUUUUGUUCAACAAUUUAUUUAUAGAAAAACAUUAUAUUGCAUUAUCAAUAAAAUACUUAAACAAUUACACUUGACUAAGAAAAAACUUAAAUGAAGAUAUAUUAGGACAAUUGUUUCUGUUAUGAGCAUGUUGCCGACAAAUUCCACAUUUUUUACUACUUUCUCAUUCAUUUUUCAUCUCGGUAGGAAUGCGAGUCGAGACGGGACGACCAUUUGCAGUCCUCUUUCUCCCUUGAUCAUAACCCACUGUAUUUUUUUAACGUGUUUCAUUAUUUUUUACUGUGUUUUUUAGUUUGUUUUAAUUCUACUAACUAAUUUUCUUAUUUUUUAAAUUAACGAACAUAACAAACUAAAUAUAAACAGCACAUAAAUUUAACUACAAAAGUACAUACAACUUAACUAAAAAAUUGUGGUUUUUUUUCCGUGAAUACACCCUCUCUAUCCUGCUUUUACUCAAUCUACACUACAUUGUAAUUUAAUUCCCAAUCUACACACUCUCUCCUUUUUGUUUUUUUUUUAAUUUAAAAUAUUAUAAAAUAUAAAUAUUAUAUUAUAUAAUUUUUUAAUUGGUUUUAAAAUUACUAAUUUAUUAAAUUAAAUUUUAUAAUUUUGUUUUUUAUUUUUUUAAAGAAAAAUAUACAGAUAAAGAAAAAUAAAAAAUUUGGGUAAAAUUAGAGUAUAAUUUUUUGGUUUUUUUUUCCGCCAAUACACUCUGUCUCUCUUGCUUUUUCCCAAUCUACACUACCUUACAAUUUAAUUUUCAAUAUAUACUACUUCGAAAUUUGUGCUUUAAAAGUGGUCAAUCUACACUAGUUUGCAAAUCAACGUGGCCAAGGGACUACUCAGAACAAACAAGUUAUAUAGCUAUGCCAUCUAUACCCAACUCUCUGUCCUUUUUUGUUUUUUUUUUUAAAAAAUUUUUAAAUAUUAUAAAAAAUAAAUAUUAUAUUAUAUAAUUUUUUUAAUUAUUUUUAAAAUUACUUAUUUAUUAAAUUAAAUUUUAUAAUUUUGUUUUUUAAUUUUUUUUUAAAGAAAAUGGUAUUAUUAAACUAACAAGUAUUCUUGAAGUUUUUAAACUUUAUACAAGAAUCCUGCUCUGAUACCACUUGUUGGACAUGUGGCCUCAGUUAUCUUAAGAAGAGGUGAAUUAAUUUCCCACUAACAAACUUUUAACUCCCUUCUAAAUGAGAUAGACUCAGAAUGCAGAAGGAGCAACAAUCAAUUUAAUAAUGUUCUUUAAACAUGGAAGACAAAAUUGAUUAUAACAAAAUAAAUGAGAUAAGGGAAGAGAGAAUGCAAACUCAGUUUUAUACUGGUUUGGCAAAGUCCGUUGCCUACGUCCAGUACUCAAGCAACCCAUUUGAGAUUUUCCACUAUCUUUGUAAAAAUCCUUUACAAAGUUUGAACCACACAGGGACAACCAUUCCCUUGUGUUCAGCAUUCCUUACAACUUAAGAGACCCUCGGUCCCUAAAUCAAUUACAUUGAAUAAGAAGAAAGAAGAGGAAUUCUCUCUUUAAAAGAAGGAUAUUACAAUUUAAGAUCAUGUAAGAAUCCUUAUAAAUUUUGCAAGUGUUUGGCCAAGGAUUUCUUUUGAGAGAGCAUUUAGAAAUUAAUUCACCACUUCUUAAGAUAACUAAGGCCACAUGUCCAACAAUAACUUUCACCUACCAUUGACAAAUUUAGAAGUGAAACAAGCUCCCAUGUGUCGUUCUUCUUGAUUGCCUUUAUUUCUUCAUCUAUAGCAAUUUUCCAAUUCUUGUUCUCAAUGGUUUCAUGGAAGCUCAUGGGUUCGCAAUCAACAAAUAGACAAAAAAGAGUAAGAUUAUCUUGAUUUUAGGUUACCUCAUAAAUUUCUUGUAAGCUCUUGAAGCAUGGAACUAUUUAACUAGAUCUUUCAUCUUCUUGAGUAUUUGCAAUUGGUGAAGUUGAUGGGAUACUAGGAUCCUUUAUUACUUCUUUGAAACACAAAAAAAGUUGUAGGUUCCAUCAUGUGGUCCCUAAUCCCAUUCUCCUUCUUCGUUGAAAUUGACAUCUUGAGUGAUGAUUGUAUUCCCCGAAUUAGGAUUGUAGAGCCUGUAGCCUUUGGAAUUUGAGUCAUAACUAAUGAAGAUGUACUUCUUACUUUUGUCAUCCAACUUGCUUAUUUUCUCAUCUAGUACGUGCUCAUGGGAAAUGCUUCCAAAGACUCUUGGAUGUGAAAUGUCGGGGUUCUUUCCACUCCAUGCUUCUUGUGGUGUUUUUUCCCAUAAACUUAUUGUUGGAGACUGGUUGGAAAGAUAAACUAUACAAGUCACUCCUUCUAUCAAAAAUUCCUUUGGAAGUAUUUUACUCUCGAGCAUGCUCCUCGCCAUGUCUAAUAUUAUUCUAUUCUUCCUUUCUACGACUCCAUUUUGCUUGGGAGAUCUCGGUUCUAUUAAGGGUCAUUGAAUUUCAUGAUCUUCAGAAUACUUUUGAAAUUCAUCCAAUGUAAAUUCUCCACCGUGAUCGAAUCUCAUGGCUUUGAUCUCAAGGCCAUUUUCCUUCUCAACAAGGGCUUUGAACUUUUUGAAAUUCUCAAACACCUCUUAUUUAUGCUUCAGAAAAAGUACUAUGAUUUUCUUGAAAAAUCAUCAAUAAAGAAAAGGAAAUAAUUGCUCCUUCCAAGUGAGCUUGUCUUGAUAGGACUACACACAUCUAUAUGCAUAAGUUCCAAUAAUUUUUUAGCUCUUGAGUUAGACUCCUUUGAAAUGUUUUUCUUGAAUUGCUUACCAAGUAGGCAUCCUUCGCACACUUGAUCAGGGUUACUAUUGCAAGACAAUCCUCUCACUAUUUCUUUCUUGGAGAGCAACUCUAAUUAAUCCUUCAAAAUUGAGAUGCCCAAAUUGAAUAUGCCAAAGCCAAGAUGCAUCCUUGUAGCACAUCUCAAGAUAUUUUGCGACAUCAUUUUGAAUGUUGAGCAAAAUCAUUUUAUUUCUUGACAUUGUCACCUUAGCAAUCAAAUUACUUGCAUUGUCUCUUAUAGAAAGGUUAUUGUCUUUUGAGCGAAUAUCAUAACCUUUCUCUAAGAAUUGCCCCAAGCUUUAGAUAUUACUUUUCAUAUUCGGCACAUAAUAAACAUUUGAGAUGAAUUGAUGCUCACCAUUCUUCAAACGGAUAAGAAUAUUACCUUCCUUUCACUUCUAGCUUGAAUUCAUCUCCAAAGGCCACAUUUUCGUUCAUCGAUUCACCAAGCUCCACCAACAUGAUCUUUUUACUACCCAUAUGAUUGCUUGCACCAGUGUCUAGGUACCAUUUAUUGUCUUUUCUUCUUUCAUCAGUCGUGCAAGUCAUCAAUAAAGGAUCACCUUCUUUACUUUGUUCUUCAACGUAGUUUUCCUUUUCUUCAACUCUAUCAUUGCUAGGAGCUCUACAUUUAGAAGCAUAAGGACCAAACUUGCCACAAUUGUAAAAUUUCACAUUUGACUUGUCAUACCUUGAUCUUGAGUUGUCUUGGCCAUGACCUCUUGUUGAGAUUUCUCCUCUUUGAAAUUUAUUGAGCUUUGCCCAUGGCCCUGUCCUUGUCCAUGACCUUGUCCUCUUCCUUGAUCUUCACUACAACCUCAUCCUUGUUGGCUUCUAUUAUUUUGGCUACUUUCUUCGCUGGUUGAAUAAACUUGUGUCUGAAGUAGUUGUUCCAUGAUCCCUUCCUUUAUUUUAUAAGCUUGUAAUGAGCCCAAAAUUUGCUCAAUGGUUAUAGCCUACAAAUCUUUUGUUUCAUCGAUGAUGGUGACAAUAUGUUCGAACUUUGGAUCUAACGGUCUAAGAAUUUUAUCCAUAAUUUUUAGAUAAUAAAUAUUUUCACCAUUUCUCUUAAGUUGAUUGGUGAUUGUUAAAAUUAUAGAGAAAUAGUCAAAGAUGACUUCAUUUUAUUUCAUAUGAAACAUUUCAAACUUGGCUCUCAAUGUUUGAAAACAUACCUUCUUGACUGGAUUCACUUCCUUGUAUAUGGUUUGAAGCGUCUUUUAUGCUUCUUUUGCCAAAUUUCCUUUUGAAACCUUCUCAAAAGCAUUGUCAUCUAAUCCUUGAUAGAUUAGAUAGAAAGCCUUCUUGUCUCUCUUUCUUGAGUCUCUCAAACCAUCCCUUUGAUUUUGAGAGAGACUAUCCUUAUUCCCUGGCUCGGUAUGGCCUUUCUCUAUUAUCUCUCAAACAUCUUGUGUGCCAAGGAUAGCCUUCAUCUUCAUGCUCUUAUUUUCAUAGUUGUUCUUGUUGAGCAUUGGAACUUGGAAUGGAACCAUGCCGCUACUUGCCAUCUCCUUAUAAAGGACCUUUUAGCUUUGAUGCCUAUUUGUUGAAAUGAAAUUUUUAGUAGUGUAAGAAAUAUUUGAGAAUGGGAGAGAUUAGACAUUUUAGAAGAAGAUACUAUUUGUAUAAAUGAUUCUUCAUUUUUGGCUUGAUUUGAUACAAACUCUAAGACAUCACCCCUAUUUAUAUUAGAGGCUCCUCCUAAACCAAUGGUUAGGAUUUUGUUAACACACACUGAAUUUAAUGACUGCAAAUAAUUCUCUAUAACUUUCUUCGUAGAUACAAUCUUACUCACAAAUUAUAGAUCAUUCUAUAUGCUACUUUAGAAUUAUCUUUUAAAAUAGAUUUCUCUAGAACAUUCUUGUAGAAUUUGGCCUAACGAUGUUUCUAGAAAUUGGGCUUUUAGACUAAUAAGGCUCAAAAUCAAGUUUAUAUUUCAACAUCUCAUGGGUGAAUACAUAUACUAAAUAUUCUCCAUCGGGGGUUUGUCUUUGAUGGAAACUUGAGAAGAAGCAUCAAUGAGUUGGUUGGAUAACAAAGGGAUUUGCAUUCCAUUUGAGAUCAUAGAUUGGGUUAUGGAAGAGUGUGUAUAAAUGGCAUCAUAGAAUAUGGUGGGGACGUCAUUUCUCUCGGUGACCUAAAUGAGUUGGAUGUGAGAAGAGUGUUUGGGGAAUUAAAUAGUGGUGGUGUUGGAAAGAAAAAAGAAGUUGUUGAAAUUAACAGAGUGGCCAUCAUUGAGUUGAAGUUCUUGAUUAGGGGUGGGUAGUUGUUGAAUUGGGAAUAGAGGGAAUAAAUGUCAAAGGCAGCUAUGCCAAGUGUGGUGAACAUUCAUACAAAGUUUUAUUCUUCAUUGUUCAAACUUAAGAUCUAAUUUGUCCCAAUUUUUUCUUUUAAAUUUUUCUUUAAUUCUUGUAUUUUUUUUUUUGGAAUUUAUGACAAUUUUUAACUCCCAUAAAUUGCAUUUUAAAAUUUAAAUUAAAAAAUUUCAUGUAGGUUUGGAUUUAUUCAAACUUAAUUCCAAGCCAAAAAGUAGUACAUUAGAUUUUUACAGGGACAAGAAAAAAAUUGCAAGGACUAAAUCUGAACUACGGUAACUUUUCAGGAUGAAAAAUAUAUUUUAACCUUAUAUUUUCCUAUCAAGUAGUGCUGGUGAAGUGUCAUCUUGUUUUACUUUCUUCUUUAUAUAAAAUCACACUUUAUGUGUAACAUGCAGAAAUCAUGAAAUUGUUGUGGGAAGAUAAAAUUUGAGCCAUAAAAGAGUUGAAUGUCGUUAUUUCAUACGCAUACUACAUGAUGAUGGUGUUUGUUGGAUAAAUUAUGGUGAUGAUGAUUGAUUCACUCAUAAUGAUGAUGGUGUUUAAUGAUUGAAUCUUGAUAUGAUAUUGAUGAGGUGGUGAUUGUUAUGAUUUUCUUUGUUAUGUGGAUUAUGAGACUUAUGCUCUAUGUAUGAUUUUAACAUAUUAUGGUAUAUAUGUGACGAUGGUAGAUUAGGCAUGCUUUAAUUGUGAAGUUUUAUCUUAUUUUAAUAUACUCCUUUAGUCUUUAAACACAAGAACUAUGACAUUUAUUUAAAGUUUAACAAUUAAAUUAAACAAAUAAUAUAAAAUAAUCAUAUUAAAUAUUAAUUACAUGAACCAAAUAAAAAUCCUUUAUAUUCAUCCGUUGCAUGAGUAAUCAAAUUAGGACAUAUUUAUUUGAGUGAUGUUUAUAUAAUCAUCAAAAUUUUAAUGUAAAGAGACUCUUAGAUAUUUAUAAUUAAAUUAAUGAAUACAAUUUUAUUAGAAUGAUGUUUUUAUUUCUUUUUAUAUCAAAACAUCCUCAUAUUUUUAAUGAGUCUAUAAAAAAUUAUACCUUUUAAUCAAUAAUAUAUUCUUUUAAUGUUGCAUUAAUUCAUCUUUAUAUUCAUUUAUGUCACUCGGGUAAUUAUAUUAGGACAAAUUCAUUUGGAUGAUUAAUUUUUUUAAUAAUCAUUGGGUUUUAUUUAUGUUUAAAGAAUCUUAAAUAUUUAUAUUUAAAUUUAAUUCAUACAACUCUUAUAUGAAUGAUAUCUAAAUUUCUUUUUAUAUCAAAACAUCAUUCUUUUUUUAAUUUGAAAUUGUAAAAAUUAUAUUUUAUAAAUUAUUAUAUAUUAUAUUUAUAUUACCCUAAUUUAUAUCUUUAUUUAUCAUGCGUAUCCAUUCAAAAUCAAAUUUAUUUGGAUGAUUAUAUAUAUAUAUAUAUAUAUAUAUAUAUAUAUAUAUAUAAAUAAUCAUUUGGGUUUUUUUAUUGCAAGAGUCUUACAUAUUUCAUAUUUUAAUUUAUGUUUCUUUUUAUAUUAAAACACCUUUCAUUUUUUCAAUUUAAUGUAUAAAAAAUUAUAUUUUUAAACUAUUAUAUAUUUUAUUUAUGACAUGUUAAUCCAUGUUUAUAUUCGUGUAUUAUAUCGGUGACCAUAUUAUAAUCAAAGAUCCCUUGAAGUUGAUACAAUAUUCCAUUAUUCCAUUAUAUUCAUGGAUGAAAAAAAAAAUAUCUUAAAGAUGUUAUUAGUUCAAAUUCACAAGCUUAAGAAGUAAUAUUUUUAACUAUAAAAGUAGUAGUUGUAAUAGUAAUUAUAAGAUAAGUAUAUUUAAAUAUACUUAUUUAGUGACCCAAAAUUUUAGAUGACUCAUUGGUGAAUAUUUCAAAACUAAUAAAGAUUGAAACUAUUUACAACCAAACACAUGUAUAAAUGCUUUUUUGAUUUCAAUAUUAAGCUAAAUGGCAUCAUUGGUGAAAAACAAUAUUUCGCGAGUAUAGAAUUUCAUGUUGUAACAAAUAAAUUCCACAAUUACACAAGGAAAACUUAAGAGAUAACAUCACUUUUAACUAUAGCAAACUUUUAUGAUAUAAGAAAAACAAUUAUCUCAUUAGAAGUAAACUCUUCAUAUGGUUAAGCAAUAUAUUUUUUUGGGGUGGUUGGGAAGCUUAUCUUUUCUUUAAAGAAAACUUUAAUUACACGUCAAUUGUUAAAACAUGAUUCAAAAGAUUGAUAUACCAUUGGUUUUUAUUAAAAAGGAAUUAAAUUUCAUUUGUCUAUAAAUUUAAAGUUUUUUUUAUUUCUAUUGUUAAAUAUGAAAAUUUUAUAACAAGAUAUUGAUCUCGAUAAUUCAUAUUUUUAUCCAUCCGUUGCAUAGGUAAUCAUAUUAGGACAAAUUCAUUUGAGUGAUUUUCUUAUAAUCAUUGAUUUUUUUAAUAUCAAGAUACUCUUAGAUAUUUAUAUUUAAAUUAAUGUAUAAAUUGUUUAUAAGAAUGAUGCUUAUAUUUCUUUUUAUAUUAAAACAUCCUUCAUAUUUUUAAUAUGAAUCUAUAAAAAGUUAUACUUUUUAAACAAUUAUAUAUUCUUCUUUUGUUGCAUCAAUUCAUCUUUAUAUUUUUUAUGCACCCGGGUAAUCAUACUAGAACAAACUCAUUUUGAUGAUUAUUUUUUUUAAUAAUCAUUGUGUUUUUUUAUAUUAAGAAACUAUAAAAUAUUUAUAUUUAAAUUAAUUCAUACAAGUUUUAUAUGAAUGAUGUCUAAUUUUUUUUUAUAUCAAAGCAUCAUUUUUUUUAAUUUGAAAUUAUAAAAAUUAUAUUUUAUAAACUAUUAUAUAUUAUAUUUAUGUUAGCCUAAUUCAUAUUUAUAUUUAUCUAUCAACACAAGUAUCAUAUAAAAUCAUUUGGACUUUUUAUUACAAGAGUCUUAGAUAUUUAACAUAUUUUAAUUUAUAUUUAUUUUUAUAUUAAAACACCUUUCAUUUUCUUUUCAAAUUGAAAGUAUAAAAAAUUGUAUUUUUAAAAUUAUUAUAUAAUCUAUUUAUGUUACGUUGAUUCAUAUUUGUAUCCAUCUAUCACUGGGUAAUCAUAUACUAAGAAAAAUUCGUUGGGAUGUUUAAAUUUUUUUGUAUCAAAACAUUUUCUUAAUUUGGUUAUAUAAAAAAUUAUAUUUUAAAACUAUUAUUUAUUUUAUUUUUAUCAUGUUAAUCCAUAUUUGUAUUCGUGUAUUACAUAAGUAAUCAUAUUAGAGUUUAUCGAUUUGAAUAAAAAAUUUAUAAUCAAAGAUCUAUAGAAGUCAAUACAAUAUUUCAUUAUAUCCAUGAAUGAAAAAAAAAUAUAUCUUAAAAAAGUUAUUAGUUAAAAUUCACAAGCCUAAAAAAUAAUAUUUUUAAUUAUAAAAGUAGUAGUUAUAAAAGUAAUUAUAAGAUAAGUAUAUUUAAAUAUACUCAUUUUAUUGACCCACAAUUUUAGAUGAGUUCAUUGAUGAAUAUUUUAAAAUUAACAAAGAAUGAAACUAUUUACAAAUAAAUACUUAUAUAUAAUUUUUUUGGAUUUAAUUAUUAAGAUAAAUAAUGUCAUUUAAGAGAUAACAUCACUUUUAACUAUUGAGUAUAGACUUUCAUGUUAUAACAAAUAAAUUUCAUAUUACACAAAUAAAAUUUAAGAGAUAAUAUCACUUUUUAUUAUAAUAUACUUUUAUUAUAUAAGAAAUACAAUUAUCUCUUUAAAAGUAAACUCUUCACAUUAUUACACAAGCAUCUCUUCUAUCCCUAAAAUAAGAUGUACAUCGUACAGUUGGAAUGUGGGCAAUCUUUGGCCAGUCUUGGCCUCCUGGGUUCUGGCAACGCUGCUCGAGGUUGGGGCAGGCUAUGAUAAAAAGAUUUGAAAUGGAAUUGGAAAGACCCUCCUCUGGUAGCUGUUGGAGGUUGGGGCAGUUAAUAAUCCAAAGAUUUGAAAUGGAAUUGGGAAGACCCUCCUCUGGUAGCUGUUGGAGGUUGGGGCAGCCAUCAAGAAUCAAUUUCUUGAGAGAGGAGAGCUGACAGAGCCCCUUGUAGUCCAGUUUUUUUAGAUUUGGAAAACCAUAUAUGCUUAGAUUAAUAAGAGAGAGUGGCAGUAAACCUUCAUCAGGAAAAGAUUCCGCAUCCAGCUUUCCUAUCCCCAAGCUUUCCAGAGAGGGAUUGUCUCCCAAAGCCCCUUUCAGUGAGGCCAUGAGUCCGGAGGAGCAUCUUAUGAGUCCGGAUGAGCAUUUAUAGAGUUCAAUCUUUUUUAGAUUUGAUGGCAAACCUCCUUCAGGGAACGACUCAACUCUUGGACAAUCUUUUAUUACUAGCUCCUUCAGAGAUGGAAGCAGCAUAUGCAUGCUUCCAGGCAAUGAUUCUAACUGAGGGCACUUACCGAAUGCCAGAACUUCAAGAUGAUUAUGGGUCUGAUCCUGUGUAAUCAUCAGUAGAUUACGAAAGCCACUGAGACGAAGGGUCCUGAGUGCUGGGAAGAAAUCUAGCGGAAAAGUCUUUUGAGAGUCAAAUCCAUUAUCACUCAUUUCACAAUCGCAAAACAUUUCAUAUUUCGGGCAACAAUAAAUAUUCAGUUCUUUCAAAGUAUCAGACUUUUCCAGCAACGAUGCUUUCAUGCUGUGUCCGCCCAUUCUGAGCUUUUCCAAAGAAGCCCAGUCAAGUUGCAGUUGCAGCUUUCCAGUGUCUUUCAGGUCUAGUACUAGAGCCCUGGGAGCUGAAGCCUCAAGUUGUUUGCACUCACUAAUUUCUAGCUCCUUUAAAGGAAGAAGUUGCUCUGGGAGGUCACCUUUCAGCUUUGGACAUUUGCUUAUAUCAAGAUAUUGAAGACAUGGAAAAGCACCUCUCACAGCUUCACAUUCCCAUUUUUCCCAUGCUUUCAUAGAGGAGAACUUCAAUGUUUCCAACGAUGGAAAUGAAGAGGAGCUAUUCCCAUGAAAAUCAGCACCAAUGCUCACUAUCCCAUCAAGACUUGAAAUCUCAAGUUUCUUGAGAAAUGGCAAAAGUCCAAGGGAAGGCAAAUGUUGGCAAGAUUGACAGUUUCUCAACUCUAAGGACACCACAUUUGAUAAAGAAUUAUUGGAUAACCAAUUAGGGAAUUGUUUACCACCAUAGUUCCUGAUUGACAACUUCUCCAGGUGUUUGGAAGGUUGUAGAUUCUCAAUUACAAUUACAUCCCUUUCUUUGGCAGAAUCAUCAGGGUUCCGGUGCGAAUUCCAUUCAAACUCUAGUUCCACAAGGCGUGUUUUAUUUUUCAAAUCUGCAGCUAAUGCAUCUGAGGGAUUCUCAAUAUUCUGCAGCUCCCUAAAUGAUAAUCCUUUAUGAACAAGAUUGAGCUCUCCUAAUUGCUGAAUAGUGAACUUGCUACUUUUACCAACAUGAAACGAACUCAUGGAUACUUGAAGAUUCUUCAACUUUCCCAGAUGUGGUGGCACCUUUAUAAUUUCAGUAUUUACAAAUUCAAGGCGAUGCAAAUUGGUGAGUUCAUGCAAAUUCGAGGGCAGCUCCUUCAAAUAUUCACAACUAUUCAGCUUCAGUAUUUGCAAGUUGGAGAGUGAACAUGUUGAGUCAGGUAGUUUUGUUAUGUGAGUACUGGAAAGGUCUAAAGAACGAAGAUGUUUAAGAUUGCCUACAGAGUUGGGCACUUCUGUAAGGUAAUGACAUGAAGACAAAGACAAAACACCCAAAUUGGCGAGUUUAUGCAAAUUCGAGGGCAGCUCCUUCAAAGAUCUACAAUCAUCCAGCUUCAGUAUUUGCAAGUUGUAGAGUGAACAUGUGGAUUCAGGUAGUUUUUUAAUGCCAGUAUGGGAAAGGUCUAAAGAACGAAGAUGUUUAAGAUCGCCUAUAGAGUUGGGCACUUCUGUAAGGUAAUGACAUGAAGACAAAGAUAAAACACCCAAAUUGGUGAGUUCAUGCAAAUUCGAGGGCAGCUCCUUCAAAGAUUCACAACUAUUCAGCUUCAGUAUUUGUAAGUUGUAGAGUGAACAUGUGGAUUCAGGUAGUUUUUUAAUGCCAGUAUGGGAAAGGUCUAACGAACGAAGAUGUUUAAAAUUGCAAACAGAGUCAGGCAGCUCUUCAAUGUCUAAACAGUGAGACAGAGAUAAGACGCGUAAGAACUUUAACUUGGAGAACAAUUCAUGUAUCGACAUCUUGCAAUUCCAAGGCCAGUGGCUUGUUGGCAUAAAUGUACGCAAUUUUUUAGUAUCACAUGAAGUUCCAAACUCAUCAAAAUAUCGUUCGGUAAUCAUUGAAACUGAAAAAUGACGGGUUGUUUUUUGUGUACAUUUUGCUUGAUCAACUCUCAACCUGAAAUAGCUGUCCCCACAAACAUAUUUUGCCAAAUCAUUUAGAAGGUCAUGCAUGACAAAUACUUCUCUAUAUUCGCUUAAUUGUUGAAAGAAGGACCUUGAUAGUAAAUCAUUGAAGUACAGCUGGCCAACUUCUUCUGGACUCUUACUGCCUUGAUGGCAGUUUAGGAAAUUUUCAGCCAUCCACAACUGAAUUAAACACUCCCUGUGAAACUCAUAAUCCUUGGGGAAUAAAGCACAGUAAGCAAAGCAUGUCUUGAGAUGGAGAGGAAGGUGGUGAUAGCUCAAUGCUAAAGCAGGAACAAUACCACUGUCCUUUAAUUCCCAUAUUUCACUUUGGAACACGCUUUCCCAUUCCCAGGCAAAUGGUUUGUUGUGUAAUAGACUUCCCAUUGACUUCAAGGCCAGAGGAAGUCCUUUACAUUUUUUAACAAUCUUCCUACCAAUCACUGGGCAUCCUGGAUCUCGUGGAAGAUUAUCAUCUCUGAAUGCAUGUUUUGCGAACAAUUGCCAGCAAUAAUCUUCUUGUAAUUGCUCCAGCUUGUGUUCUUUUGACCUCAUGGCAGAAGCAACUUCCUCACUGCGUGUUGUGACAAGGAUCCUACUUCCCUGAGCUCCACAAACAAGAGCAUUCAGCACAGCUUCCCAUUUAGGCCUGCUUUCGUUCCAAACGUCAUCCAAAACGAGGAGAAAUUUUUUAUCUGCCAAUUUUUCUUUUAGUCUUCUCUGAACUAUUUCUAGCUCUCUACCAUCAUCAGUCGAAUCAGUAAUCGUGUCAAGAAUUGCUCUUGAUACGUUGAAAACAUCAAAUUCCUCUGAAACACAGAUCCAAGCUUUGACAUCAAACUUACUCACUAUUCUUGGGUCAUUGUAUACAAGUUGGGCAAGCGUGGUCUUACCCAACCCGCCCAUGCCCACGAUAGAAAGUAUUGAUAGCUUUUCAUCAGUGUCAGAAGUGAUCCAGUCCAAGAUCAAUUUUUUGUCAUCAUCUCUGCCAUAAAUAUCACUUUCUACCACCGAAGAUGUUGAUGGCAAUUUCUCUAACACUUUACUACCCGAUCCUGAUCCAACCCCAACACCACUAGUCCUUGUCAAACCUAGAUAACCACCUCGGCUUUCAAGAUCAUCCAGGUCUUCAAGGAUUUGUUCCAUCCUUGAUUCAAUUUCCUUGUCAAAAGAGCUCAAAGAAGAAGGUCUGAAGAAAUUGCUCACCUGGUUAAGAAUGGGCUGGGAUUCAGCUUCUACUUGGCAUUUGGAGAGUUCAUAGUCUAUAUCAGCCAAGAGAUCCUCUGCUUCAAACACUACAUCUUUGGCCUUAAAAAGCCAAUCUCUGACACGAGCAUCUCUGAACUGCUUAAGUUCAGCAUCAUCAGCAAGAACAUCGAUGGCUAGUAGCUUCACCUUGAUUUUGCUCAGCAGCUUCUUAUUGAGUUUUCUUCCACGAAAGUAGUCCACAAAACGAGAAGCCAAACUGUCAAUUGUCUUCUCAACGAAAGUAGAAACAAGAGCACCAGCAACCAUUUCUGCUGCCAUGGUAGGAAUGAAAGUAGAUGAAUGAAAAUGAGUAAUUUGAAAAGAGCAGUUUAUGCCAAUGACUAAGUGCAGGGAACGAUCAAAAUAUUUUGGUGAAAUGAGUAAUAAGAUAUUCUAUGAAUGAUGGUUGGCUUUACUUGAAGAAGGUUGCCGAAAAAUGAACAUUUUUUUCUUUGAUGACCAAUAACUGCUGAGUCUUCCGGAUAAGACAAACAAUGACACCUGCAUUCCUCCCUUCAUAUUCAUUAAAUUAUCAAGUUAUACAUCAUUGUACUUUUAUAUUUAGGAAACAACAUAGAAAAAGAGAGGAGGUCUUAUUUCUUAACUGUAUUUCCCAAAUUUCCAACUUCUUGAAUAUUCUUUGACUUGAUAAGGAUUUCUUAAUCCGAUAUAAUAUAUUGCAUGCAAAUUUGUUUGAUAUUCUUAGUUUAUUCACUUAAUGAAAGAUUUAAUUAAGCAAGUUUAGCACAUUUAGUCAGAUAGUAUGUUUAAAUUUGAUGAUUUAAUUAUUAUGUCUAAAGAAUGAUAUUAAUUUCUUGAUAGUUGGUAGCUCUUAAGUUAUGUCUGAUAUUGGUUAAUUAAUGAAAACUUUAGUAUGUCUAGUCAAUUUCAGUAGCUAAAAUAUCGUACAUGUAUAUUUAAGCCAUAAUAGCAUGCCGUUAUAUAUAUAUCGUAACUCAACAAAGGAUAGAAACUCUGAUCGAAUUAAUUAAAUAACUCAAUAAAAAAAACUAAUUGAAUAAAUCAUUUAUUUUUUUUCAUUUUCCGACCAUUUUUCUUUUGGUGCAUUUUGUUAUUUUUAUCACAUUUUUUCCAUCCUUUUUUCAUUUUCUUAAUUUUUCGUUCACUCUUAUUAAGUUUAUAAAUUAGGGCUGGCCAAACUCAUGGAGGGUUAAUGUACUGAUGAAAUGUGUAAAAACUAGCAAGCUAUUUUAUGAAUGAAUGAGUGGCUCUUAUUCUGAAAGGGUAAAACUUUUGGGAUAUUUUCCAUGACUUGAUUAGAAAGGGUUUUGUUUGUACGUACUGUGUGUCACACAUUUCUGUACGAUGGCCUGAGAUUUUUUUAUUUGUGGCUGUCAACCAUAGUCUUCCCUAGAAAGAAAAAAAAAUUUAACUGAAAGUUUGGGUAAAAACUAAUCCUGCAUUUGCAAGUUCUAAGAAUUGUGGAAGGGUGAGACUGAGCAGAAUAAGGACCUUUAACACUGAUUUGCACACCCUCAAGACCAAGCUCAUUCAUGCAGGGUCGAUGUACUGAUGAAAUAAGUAAUAAGCUAUUUUUAUAAACAAACUUUCCUAGCAAAUACAAUAGCAUGCAUUUUUUUAUUUUUUAACCCGCAAAUAUUUAGUUGUUAAUAAGUUAAUUUUUUUUAGUGAGAGACUUGAAUUCAUAAGCAUGCAUGUAAUGUAGGUGUGAGCUGUAUUCCACGAAUGAAUGAGUGGCUAUGAUUCUGCAAAUGGUAGCUUUUAGGAUAUUUUCCAUGACUUAUUAUUCCAAAGGUUGUGUCUCACGCGCGUUUCUGUACGGUUGCUUUAAUUUGGGUUGGUGAACAUCUUUAAUUUUCUCUGAUGGCCCGUCAAUCAUAGAGUCUUCCCUACAAUACUUACAUUAACAGCAGCUAGCUGUGUUUUUCCAGGAAUGAAUGAGUCACUGAUUCUGCUCAGUGUCUUGGCUCUUGGGAUAUUUUCCGAAAAUACUGAACCUACUAUAUUAUAGAAUUUAGGAUUAAACAUAAAAACAAAAAAUGUUUAAACUUUUAGAUAUUAAAACUAAACAGUUUAUUAUUUUCUUUACAAUUAAAUCAAAAGUUGUUGAAGUAAUAUAAUAAAUUAUCAAAAUAAUUAGAUGGGUGAUAUUGUUAUAACUUGAACAUGAAUACUAAAAUUUUACACUCAUUUUCUCAAAAUCAUUAAAACAUAGUUUGUAUGUGAUUAUUUACUAAUAUUUUUUCUCCAAUAAUAAUCAUCACCCGUAUUGAGUAAGAGAAAUUAAUAUUUAUGAAAUGGAAUAAGAUUGUAGAAGAAUGAUUGUUUUAUAUAAAAAUAGAAAUAAUAUGAUAUUAGAUUGUUUGAAAAAAAUGACAAAAAAAUCUAGAUGAAAUUAAACCCAACAAUUAUAAUUAAAAGAAGAUAAAUUAAACAAUGAAUAAAUCGAAGACUAAUGUAUAUAAAACACGAAGUAAACCAUGAAUAAAAUACAAACCAAACCCAAAAAUUGUAAUUGAAAGAAAAAAAGGAAAGUCGCCUAAAUUAUAAAUAAUGUAGGAUCACCUAAACUCACCUAAAAAGAAAAAAGAAAACUCACCUAAAGCAAACAUGAGUACUGUAUCUAAUGACUACCAAAACCAUAUCCAAUAUUAAUAUAACUUAGGUUAUCUUAGGAUUCGAGUUGGUAAAUAUUUUUCUAAAUUUUAAUGCACAAUAACAAAUUUUAAAACACCAAAUGAAAUAAGAAAAAAAUGUUGAUUAUAGAAUAAAAAUACUUUUGACCUCUCACAACUUUAACCAAACAUGCAUUUAAAUAUAUCAUAACGAUCUUAUCUUACUUAACGAUGAUUUACAUACAUUUUAUUUACUUUGCUCAUUCAAGUACAAUAUAUAGAAAUAAAACUGCUUUAUUGGGAAGGUAGGGAAUAAAUUGCACAUUCAGUUCCAUGUUUGCUUGUCAUCUUGCAUUUUCAUGCUACUAGCAGAUUUCAAGUCUUCAAUCAACUCUCGGGUCUGUAAAACUAAUGAAAAUCAUAUGGCCUAAUCAUAAAAGUAUACAUUUUAAAGGAUAAUUAGUAUAAAUAGAAUUUAAUUUUCUUAUAUAUAUAUAUAUAUAUAUAAUUAGAAUUUACUUUUCUUACAUAUAUACUUAUUAUUAUAAAGAAUAGCUUUAUCCUAUAUAUGAUUCUCUAAUAAAAAUCUGUGAGAACAUUACAAAUUGAUAAAAUAAUUUAUAAAUCUUUAUUUUUCAUUUAUUAUUCCAUCCAACAAUAUGAUUUAUCAUAAUAAAAAAAAUUAAUCAACGUCUCACACUAUAUUAAUUUAAUUCUUAUAUAAAAAUUACCUCUUUCUCUAAUAAGAAUAUUCCAGAACAUCACAAAUUAUUAAAAUAUUUUAUAAUUUUUUAUUUUUAAUUCAUACUUCAAUCCAAUAAUAUGAUUUAUCUUAAUAAAAAAAAUCAAUAUAACGUUUCACACUCUACACUAAUUCAAUUCUUAAAUUAAAUUUUGUAAUUAUUAGAUAAAUUAAGGUUAUCUUUAAAUACCAAUUAAAUUAGUAAAUGAAACAAUUGUCUGAAAUGUGAUUUAAUGAUACUUUAAUAAGCAUUAAAUAUCAAUCAAAUGAUCCAAUUUAAAUUACAUGAAUAAAAUUUAUUGUUACAUUAAAUUCUAUUAGAAACACUAUUUUUAAAUAUCAUAAUUUCAAUUUUUAAAAUAUUUAUCAUUGAAAAUAUAAAAUUGAUCCUAAUUCAAUUUUUUAAUUAAUUUAUACUAAUUGUAUUUACGUCAAACUUAAUUUAUGAUAAUAAAAACCAAUUAGAAAGUUUUUAAUAUUAUAUUGAAUUUGAAUAAAUCAAUUUUGAUGAGUAAUAUUUUGUUGUUUCUAAUGCUGAAAACUUUUAAAUUUUCUAUCCUACAAAUCAAAAAUAAAUUCUUUCCGUUUAACACAUUAAAUUGAAUUUGUAAAAUAUAUUUUUUAUAACUAUUUUAUUAUACUUUUUUAGAAAAAUUAGAAAUCAUGGUUAUUUUUUAAUAAAAUUGUGUAUUGAGUUAGGAUUUAAUAAUUUUUUACAUGAACAAAUGAGACAUAUCAUAAAUAAUACUAAAUUUAAGUGCAUUAGUGACACAAAAUUAGACUAAAAUUUUGCAAUCAAUAAAAUAUUAGAAAUGCUUAUAACUUAUGUACCUACCUAGAAAUUUUUUAAAAAAUUGGAUUUUUAUCAAAUAUUUAUUCUAUUCCCAAUUAUUAUUAUUAUUAUUAUUAUUAUUAUUAUAAAAUUGAAUUUUUUAUUUUGAUUUUGAUUUAGUUAUAAUUUCUUAUUAAAAGUAUAAAUAUCUUCUAUAUUAAACAUUAUCAAAACUGUAACAAAUAAUCAAUAAUUCAAAUAUUUUUAUUGUUCAAGAUGCAUUUUUUUGUAUUUUUAAUUAAAAUUUAAAUUUUAAUCAGAAUAAUAAGUAUAAAACAAAUUAUUGAAGAUUUUGACCCUUAUAUAAACUUAUAUAAAAUAAUUUUAUAAUAACUUUAAAAGUGCAAUUAUCUAAUUCAAAAUUUAAACAUGGUAAACAAUAUAAAGUUAAAUUUUAAAAUAUUUAUUCAUAUAAGUAUAAAAUUGAUCUUAAUUCAAACUUUCUAAUGAAGUCAAAAUUAAUUUAUCAUUUAAAUAAUAAGAAACAUAUAUAGAUGUUUAAUGAUUUAAAUGAAAAUUUUAAAAAUAUUUAUUAAUUCGAUCAAUUUAAAUUGUUGUUACAUACGCAUUUACCUGGGUAUCCUUUUAGAUCCAUGCCUAAAAGUUGUUAUAUAUUCCAAUUAUAAAGCAAAUUAUAUGUGGGAAAUGAAAAAGAUAAAAUAAUUGAAAAUAAAAUGACGAUAUGUCUUAUAUAAAAAUAAAAAAUGGAACGAUGACAUAGUAUGAUAUAUGUAUUUAUAUAUUAAAAAUUUGACGAAUAGAUGUAUGCAUGUUAACCUUAAAUGAAUCUAUUUUGAUAAAAAAAAUGAAAAUCUUUCUCUUCAAAUACCAUUAUUAGGUAUUAAACUUUAAGACAACAAUAGAAAAACAUUUUUCUUCAAAUAUUUUGGAUGAAAAAUAAUGUUUUGAUUGAAGUUUUCUACAGGGUCUCAUUUGGAUGAAAAAAUAGUGUAAUAUAACAUAAAAUCAGAAGUUUUCAUGUGUUUAUUGAUAUUUACACAAUUAAUCGAAAAAAUGAUUAUUGAUUGAAAUGAUAUUUUUAUGUCCACUAAUUACUAUUGAUGUUAAUGUUUUUGAUAUUUUGGUUUCAUUCAAUUUUUCUAAUCAAUUAUUUUUCUGUUGACCUUUUUAUUUCACCGUCAUAUCCCAUUAACAUAUAUCAUGUUAUUUUUCAUAUUCUAAUUAAGAAAACAACAUAGAGAAAGAGAGGAGGUCUUAUUUCUUAAGUGUAUUUCCCAAAUUUCCAACUUCUUGGAUAUUCUCUCACUUGAUAGGAUUUCUUAACCCGAUAUAAUAUAUUGCAUGCAAAUAUGUUUGAUACCCUUACUUUAUUCACUUAAUGAAAUAUUUAAUUAAGCAAGUUUAGCACAAUUAGUCCGAUAGUAUGUUUAAAUUUGAUGAUUUAAUUAUUAUGUCCAAAGAAUGGUAUUAAUUUGUUGGUAGUUGGUAGCUCUUAAGUUAUGUCCGAUCUUGGUUAAUUAAUGAAAAGUUUAGUCUGUCUAGUCAAUUUCAGUGGUUAAAAUAUUUAAGUCAUAAUAGCGUGCCAUUAUGACUUAUAUAAAUCAUGUACUGCAACUCAACAGAGGAUAGAAACUCUGAUCGAAUUGAUUAAAUAACUCAAUAAAAAAAACUAAUUGAAUAAAUCAUUUAUUUUUUUUCAUUUUCCGACCAUUUUUCGUUUGGAACAUUUUGUUAUUUUUAUCACAUUUUUUCCAUUUUUUUCAUUUUCUUAAUUUUUUCGUUCACUCUUAUUAAGUUUAUAGAUUAGGGCUGGCCGGACUCAGUGGAGGGUUAAUGUACUGAUGAAACGUGUAAAAACUAACAAGCUAUUUUAUGAAUGGACCUUACUAAAAACAGUAGCAAAUUUUUAUUUGUGGCUGUCAACCAUAGUCUUCCCUAGAGUUUGGGUAAAAAUUAAUCCUGCAUUUGCAAGUUCUAAGAAUAAGGACCUUUAACACUGAUUUGCACUCCCUGAAGACCAAGCUCAUUCAGCCAGGCAAUGAAAAAGGGCCAAAGCUUCAGCCUCUAAUGGAAGAAUAUUUCCAUCAGAACAAAACGUUUUGGCCCUGAAAAACACACCUCUAUUGCAUGCGGGUGUGUAAAAAUUCCUAUUCUCAUUGUAACCCAACAUAAAUUGAAUAGAUUUUUUUUUGAAAUAAUUCAAGAAAAAAGAAAUGCUUUGAUUUAUAAAACAAAUUCAAUUAACAAAAUUAUUUGUACAAAACCAAAUUGGUUAACUAAACUAGUUUUCAUUUGAAUAUUUUAUUUGAAAAAAGAAAAUUUGAAAAUCAGUUUAAAAUUAAUCUGAUCCUUAUAAUUAGUUUAAAAUUAAUUAAAAAUCAAUUUAGAAUCAAUUUUUUAGAACUAAUUCGAUUCUGAAUUAAUUUUUAAAUUAAUUUAAUUAUUUAAAUAUAAAAUUAAACUAAAAUAAUUUAAAAUUAAUUCAAUUUGAGUUUUUUUUUAUCAAACUACUUAUUGCAUACGGGUGAAGUCUGAUCCCUUAUGCAGAUUUCCACUCCAAACUCACCUUUGGGACCAAAAACAGCACUCUGUUAGGCGCUUUUCCCAUUCGGCAGGUUGCAACUGCUUAUUAGAAGAUAAUUAAGAAUAAUCAAUAGAAUAAGAACAUGAAGAACGAGGGUUUUCCACUCUCUAAAGCCAUUUUUAGCUCUCUGCACAACUGCAAAAGGGGUCUGAACCUUGCCUUCCCAAAUCAUAACAACCUCAAUUAUUUUCUUUUCAUAUUCUAAUUAAGUUCAAUUAAAACUUUUUUUCACAUUUACUUACCACAAAUAUAUUUCUGAUAUUGCUCCACCUACUUCCUUUAUAUAUAUAUAUAUAUAUAUAUAUAUAUAUAUAUAUAUUAUAUGGAGAUAAAGAUACAUCACAUAAUCAUAUCAUAUAUCAUGUUAAUGUUUUCUAAUUUGUAUAAAUAAUAUUAUUUUUGAAAUAUUUAUUUUAUAGUAUAAUUUCAAGAAAUAUUUUUACACUUUUAUUCAAAUAAUUUAAUGAACUAUUUAUUUUGUUUCAAUACUUUUAACAAUUUCAAAUUAUAUCACAUACAAACAUUAAUUUACAAAUAAUUUAUACAAUGAAUAUAUGUUAUUUUAAACAUGUUUUUAUGUGUAAUUCCAACAAACAUUUUACAUUGGAUUACUUUCAUAAUUUAAUGUAAUAUUUUUAAAAAUAUUUAGAAAUAUAUCUCAAAAUUAUAUCAUUUAAAUUAUUUAUAGACUUAAAUAUAUUUUUAUUCCUAAUAAAUACUUGAUAUGUAUGUUUGUUUCCUAGUAAAACAAAAAUUUUAUUUUUUGACCUUUCAUAUUUUAUUUGUCCUUGUUGAAUUAAUAAAUUUUGUGUUUAUUGUUUGAGAAAUAAAAAAUAUUUAUUUCCGACUAUUAACAAAUGAAAUUUUUUAUUAAGAACAAAAAUAAAAAAAUUAACUAAUUGAUAAUAGACUAACAGAAAGUAUGAAGGACAAAAAUAAAAUUAUUUUAUUAAGAAUCUAAUGUAAAGAAAAAUUUAUCUAAAAACAAACACAAAUUUUUUAUAUUUAUUGAGUAUCAAAAUAUAUUCUGAGUCUUAUUUAUAAAUCCACACAACGGACCAAUAGCUAUUUUUUAAUAAUUCUGACAAAAAAAAUGAAAAAAUGGCAGCAACUGAUAUUCACAUAAAGCUAGCACAUCAACAUGAAAAUUUUGCCAGUCCCUUUUGUUAUACACAUUCCAAGCUCUAAGCAGAAGAACUGGGUAUUUUGUACUGUUUCGCAUAAUAUUCUUAAUAGAGUUUUGGAAUCAGUUUCUAGUUUGUUUUUGCCACCUUGCAUUUCCAUGUCAUUAGCAAAUUUUAUGUCUUCGAUCAACUUUCGGGUCUGCAAAAUAAUACCGAUUAUUUUACAUGUUUUCUGAGACAUGAUUAUUGCAAGAAGAUAUUUUGUAUCAUUAAUAAAUUAUAGGUGGUCCCACCAAGCUCGGAUAAAGAAGAAAGUUUGUAUUAAGUCAUCAGCAGUAAAAAAAAUUAAAAUAUUAAGAAAAAAUGAUUUUUUUAUUACAAAACAAAUAUAAAUCUCAGAUAUACAUAAAGAAACACCAACAUAGUUAGUCUAAUUAAAUUCAAGAUAUCUAACAUCUUACACAUAUUUAAUUUAAUGAACAUGUGUAAAAAGAACAACUUAAAUAGCUCAACAGAGCAUAACAAACUCUGAUCAAAUUAAUUAAAUAACUCAAAUGUACACCAUUAAGUUUAUAUAUUGAGGCUGGCCAGAUUCAGUGCAGGGUUAAUGAAGUGAUGAAAUAAGUAAUAAGUUAUUUUUAUGAACGAUCUUUGCUAGCAAAUACAGUAGCACAUGUUAGGAAUAUCAGUGUGAGCUUUAUUCCAUGAAUGAAUCAGUGGCUAUAAUUCUACAGAGGGUAGCGUUUGGAAUAUUUUCCAUGACAUUUUUUAAUCACUGUGUGUCACGCGUUUGAGUACGAUUGCUUUAAUUUGGGUUGGUGAACAUCUUUUUCUUUGCUGGCCAGUCAACCGUUACCAUAGUCUUCCCUACAAUACUGAUAUUAACAACAGCUGUAUUUUGCUCACUGUCUUGGCACUUGGGAUAUUUUCGGAAAAUAAUGAACCUACUAUAUUUUAGAAUUUAUUUAGGAGAAAGGUUCCUCCAAAACAAACAUGAGUUCUUUAUCUAAUCAUUGUUUGGAUUUUAUUUCAAUAAUAAUUAAUAUGAGCUAAUAUUAUAAGAUAAUUAUAUUAGUUAUUUAUUGUUAUUGGAUUUUAUGUUAUGUGAUCAAAUUAAGUAAUCUCGGUUAAACAACUAAAUCAGAUGAUACGAAUUUAAAUGAGCAGUGUCAGUGUUGACUCACUAGAAAAUAAUGAGAACCUUAUUAGAUUAACACAUUACAAGAAGGCUAUCGUCCCCCAAAUAUACUGAAUCACCGACACAUAGAUAGUUUCUCUUCUUGAGGGAAUUGAAUAAUACUUUGCCAAAAAUGAAAAGGCGGAAACGAGUAACCUUUUGGCUAAACUCAUCUCCAUGAAGUAUAAGGGCAAAAGUUAUAUAAAAAAGUUUUUGCUCAUAUAAUUUUUGUUUUUGUUUAUUAUUAUUAUUAUUGUUGUUGUUGUUGUUGUUGUCGUCGUCGUCGUUGUUGUUGUUUUUUUGUUUAAAAAGGGGAAACAAAAGGUGCCCUUAGCAAAAGAAACAAAACAAAUAUGCAAUAUUUACUUGGGGUAUUUUAAGUGUAAAUCAAUGAUAGCAUUAAAUAUAAUUUAAGGAUAUGAUAUUUACUUAUCGUAAUUAAUGUUUUAUAUUUUUUUAGUAUCAUGAUGGAAGUUAAUUUAACAUAUCCUUUCCAUUUAUUUGCAUAUCUAGUGAUUUUUUUAAUUAAAUUGAUUGUUACGAUAUAUUGUCAAGGUAAUCCCUAUUGUGAAAAUUAAUUUGAUUAAAAUUACAAAUUUUUGUAUAAAAUCAUUUAUGUGAAUUAUGUUCAGACCAAAGGAAUACACAAUUUGACCAAAUAAUAUUUUAUAUUUGUGAUGAUAAAUGUGUGACAAUUAUAAGGUAUUUUCAUGUGAAUAAUAGUCGGUCCAAAGAAAGACUAUUAUUUGACAGAUUUAUUGUUAAUAUUUGAUCGUUGCAUUAAGAGUACCAAUUACAAAUUAAUUUAUCUAGAAAUUAAUGUUGUGUUAGGUAUCUUGUAAUGGGUGUGUUCUGUAAAAUAUUUACAUGUUUUAUUAUAUAUUUUUUAUAUAACUAAAUUAUAUGUGAAAGUUGUGUAAUUUUAAUACCUCUCAUUUAUUAUAUUAAAUUGUCUUGUAUUUUUUGGUUUAAUUGAUUGAAACAACAUGUUGUCAAAGUAACCUUUGUUGCAUAAGCUGAUUUGAUUGAAUUUACAUGGAUGUUGCAUGAAAUUAUUCAUGCGAAUUGUGCUCGGCCCAAAGGAAAACACAAUUUGGUAGAAUAAUUAUUGCUUGCGAUGGUAAACAUGUGGUGAUUAUAAAUAGUGUGAUUUUCCAUGUGAAUAAUGAAAUGUUCAAAGGCAAUCAUUAUUUGACUGGGGUAAUUAUCAUAUAAGUUUUUCAUGUGAGCAAUGAAGUGUCCAACGACAACUUUUGUUUGACAGGACUUAUCACCAAUGUUUGAUCAAUGCGUUGAGAGUAUCACUUGCAAUUAAUCUUUUUCGAUCCAAAGAUUGAGGAUUAAUGAUGCGCUAGGUAUCAUGUUUGACUCUUGAAAUUUACCAUAAAUAUUAUUUUUGUAUUGUAUGUUUAUAUUCUCUUCUUUAAUUGUUGUUGCUACUACUAUGAUUUAAAUUACUCACAUUAUUUAAAUCUCAAAUAUGCAUGUAUAAAAUAAUUUGUAUGGGGGUCCUAAGGUGAUAUAUGAUUAAUCUUGGUAUGCAACACUAGAAAAUAGUAAAACAAAUUAUGCGUUAAUUGAAGAGAACAAGAAAUUACAUGUUUUCAUAUCAAAAGUCUAGAAGUUUAGAGAUCAUUGAGUAUUAUGACUUUGAUUUUUUCGAAAUGUCUUAAUAGUAAUCACUCCACAUAAGGAUCCACAUUUAAUCGUGUUGGUGGAGUUAAUAUUUAGCUAUGAGACAUCAUACUAGAAUUUAUAACUGCUAAAUUAUUGUAACUCGCUUGCUUGUUGUUGCCAACAUUAAUUAGCCAUCAGAUGUUUAUUGCAACAAUAUCUUAAUGAUAUCAUUAAAGAUUCAACUAAGUCAAAGUUUGUUGACAUAAAAUAUUUGGUUCUUAAAUAAAGAAUUCAAAAAAUAUAGAUUUGUAUAGAACAUAUAGGAACUCAUUUCAUUCUAGCUGAUUUACUUACUAAAGGUAUGACACUUAAAGUUUUUCAUGAGCACAUUGUUCAUAUGGGUGUAAUUCCUGAUAGUACCUUAGUUUAGUGGGAGUCUUACUUAUGUUAUAUAUCUUACAGUUUACAAGCAUGUUGUGUUUGGAUUGAUCUAUAUAAAGAAUAAAGUUUGGAUCAGUUGGAAAUAGACAUGACUAAGAUCACAUUACAUGUAAUUUCCAUGUUAUUUAUCCAUAUUGACCUAUGUCAUUGAAUGUAUUAAUGUGGUGGUCAUUGGGGUCUAGUUACAUUUGUUGUAGUGACAAAAGCUGCGAUGAUUUCAUUAUUGAUACAUGAGAUGAACCAGAUUGUUAAGGUGAAAGUUUAAAAAUAAAUAGCAUACAUAUGCACGCUUAAGGAUUCUUUAUAUAAUUUGUACAAUAUAUAUGUAGCCCAAGUGGGAGAUUGUUGAAAUUUUCUAUUUUAAUAAUUAAUGUGGGUUAAUAUUAUAAGACAAUUACAUUAGUUAUUUAUCAUUAGUGGGUUUUAUUUUAUGUGAUCAAAUCAAGUGAGUCCCUUAGACAACCAAAUCAGAUGAUAUGGACUUAAAUGAACUUAGAAGAUAAUGAGAACCCUAUUAGGUUAACACAUUAUAAGAAGGCUAUNNNNNNNNNNNNNNNNNNNNNNNNNNNNNNNNNNNNNNNNNNNNNNNNNNNNNNNNNNNNNNNNNNNNNNNNNNNNNNNNNNNNNNNNNNNNNNNNNNNNNNNNNNNNNNNNNNNNNNNNNNNNNNNNNNNNNNNNNNNNNNNNNNNNNNNNNNNNNNNNNNNNNNNNNNNNNNNNNNNNNNNNNNNNNNNNNNNNNNNNNNNNNNNNNNNNNNNNNNNNNNNNNNNNNNNNNNNNNNNNNNNNNNNNNNNNNNNNNNNNNNNNNNNNNNNNNNNNNNNNNNNNNNNNNNNNNNNNNNNNNNNNNNNNNNNNNNNNNNNNNNNNNNNNNNNNNNNNNNNNNNNNNNNNNNNNNNNNNNNNNNNNNNNNNNNNNNNNNNNNNNNNNNNNNNNNNNNNNNNNNNNNNNNNNNNNNNNNNNNNNNNNNNNNNNNNNNNNNNNNNNNNNNNNNNNNNNNNNNNNNNNNNNNNNNNNNNNNUGAAAUAUGUUCCUGAUAUUUAUAUUUUAUUGGUAUUUUAUAAGGAUCCCUGAAAAUUUACAACUAUCACUACCAAAACCAAAACCAGUAUAUCCAAUCUUAAUAUAACUUAGGUUAUCUUAGGAUUGGAGUUGGUAAAUAUUUUUCUCAAUUUUAAUACACAAUAAAAAAAUUUAAUACACCAAAUGAAAUAAGAAAAAAUGUUACUUAUAGGAUAAAAAUACUUUUGACCUCUCACAACUUUAACCAAACAUGCAUUUAAAUAUACCAUAACGAUUUUAUCUUACUAGAUGAUUUACAUACAUUUUAGUUACUUUGCUCAUUUAAGUGUAAUAUAUAUAUAUAUAGAAAUAAAACUGCUUUAUUAGGAAGUUAGGGAAUAAAUUGCACAUUCAGUUCCCAACUUGCUUGUCAUCUUGCAUUUUCAUGCCACCGGCAGAUUUGAAUUCUUCAUUCAACAUUUUCUAUCAUUAAUAAAUUAUAGCCCGUCCCAUAAGGCUCAAUUAAAGUCAAUUAUAAAACCAAUUAUAUGUGGGAAAUGAAAAAGACAAAAUAAUUGGAAAAUAUGUCUUAUUAAAAAAAUUAAAGAAUAGAUGUAGGUUAAAUAGAAGAAAAAUAAUGUUUUGAUUAAAGUUUUGUUGAGAGUCUCAUUUGUUUAAUUAGAAGAAAAAAUAACAUAACAUGCAUAACAUACCAUAAAAUUUUUUGAUGUACCUAUUGAUAUUCACACAAUUAAUAAAAAAUGACUAUUGAUUCAAAUGACAUUUUUAUGUCCACUCAUUACUAUUGAUCUUAAUGUUUUUUAGAUUUUGGCUUCAUUCAUUUUUUUUCUCACCAAUUUUUUUUUUGGCAUCUACCCAAUCUUUUCAUUUCACCAUCACAUCCAUUAACAUAUAUCAUAUCAUGUGUUAUUUUUCAUAUUCUAAUUAAGACUCAUUAAAGCCUAUUAUUUUUUUCUUAAACAAAAAAUAUAUAUUGUAAAUUUAAGAUAUAAAAUAAAAGUAAAAUUAUUAUUAAGAUAUAGUAUUUAUAGUAUAGUAGUAAAAGUACAAAUAUAAUAACAAAAAGAUUAUACAAGAUAAAAUAUCAACAAAAUGACAAAGGAACAAAAAAUGUUUAAACUUUUACAUAUUAAAACUAGACAGUUUAUUAUUUUCUUUACAAUUAAAUCAAAAGUUGUUAAAGCAAUAUAAUAAAUUAUUGGAUGGAAAAAAUUUAUUAUAUUAUUUGUAAUUAACUUGUUAGUAAGAAUACAUAUGUAAAUGGCGUUGUAAAAUACUUAAGAAGUCUGAUUACAUAUUAAUAAAAUUAUUGGAAAGAUUAUUUUGCAUUUACUUUAAACUCCAAUGAAAAAAAAAGUAAAUUGCACUUGCAUUACCUAUAUUUUACUCCAAUUUUACCUAAUACUCCAAUUUUUAGUUUUUUUGGCAUCACUUUGACUCCCUUUAAUAAAAUGGUGUUAAUUAAUGGUUAUAAUUUUAUGUUGAAUGAUGAAAUUACCAUUUUCUUUUUUUCUACAUUAACACAACCUCACAAUAUUCUUGUGCCUAAUCCUCCCUGACGUCUCAACUUCAACAUCAAAUUCAUCAUCUUCCUCAAAAACCAACACUUUUAUCUACAUUUGUAGGUGCUUUACCUCCACCAGCUCACUAUUGCUAUGUACCACCUUGUACACCUUCCUAGAUGCUCCACUUCCUUGUACACCAGCUCAAUGAUCUUGUUCUUUCAUCGUACUCUUUGCACAUACAUGAGUGAUAUCCCUACAAAUGUCCUAUGAAAUUUGUCCUAAAAAUCUGUCUAAUAUACAAAUUAUGAACAAUUAUGCUGGAUAUCUUACAUAAAGAUAGACAAAUAAUUAGGGAUAUACAUGAUUAUGUACAAAUAAUCUCAUUACUCCCUUCAAGUUGGAGUAUGCAAAUCGCAAAUGUCCAUAUUGUGCAAUAAGUAAAUCGAGUACUUAGUUGGACCAAGUGCUUUGGUGAGUAUAUAAAUCAAGUCUGAGGUCUUAAGAAGGGAUAGAAGUAGGUUAGAUCCUAUGGCAACUUGGUCAGGCUCAUUUAGCAAAAAAAAUCAAACUGAGUUUUUUUUAAAAAACUUGUUUAGUUAAAAAGGCCAGACAUGGUCUUAAGAAAAACUUAUGAGAUUUGAUGGCUUAAUCCAUUUAGCAAUAAUAUAUUUUUAAAUAAAAAUAUUAUUAUUAAUAUGAUAUAUAAUAUUAUAAUCUAAAAUAAAAUUAGAAAUCCUAUUUCCUUAAGUUUUCUCUACGCAAGUAUGAAGUAAUGCAUCUAGUGUUCUUAUAAAAAAAAAUAAUCUAAAAACAUGUGAUUAGAAUAAAUCGGAAGAGUGAGUAACAUGGUGGCAAAAGUCAAAUUUGAUAUGGCUGAGGUGAUUAUGCACAAAAGAUACCUUAAAAUUAUAUUGGCCUUUAAAUUGGUUUAAGGAUCAGUGUACUUAUAUAAUGUCAGGGCCAAACAUAAAAAAUAAGACGGUCACGUAUAAUAGGUUUAUGCUUGGGCUAUAAAGUUAUAAAGUGGGUUAGACUAUGCUUAGGUAAAGUUUGACUCUGUCUAAACCAUUUUCACAUCUAGACAUAAGUAGGUCCAAUGUUGUCAUUUUGAAUUUCAUCAUGAAUAAAAUGACAGUCAACUUUGAUAUGUUUGGUAAGUUCAUGAAAAACUAAGGGAGUGUUUGGUUUGCCUGUUUUCUGUUUUCAUUUUCACUGAAAACAGAAAAUGGUGAUGAAAAUGUGUUUGGUUGGAUUUUUGAAAACAUUUUCAGUGAAAAUAAAAACAGAAAACAACCAGAAAAUGAAAACAAUAAAAUUUCAUAUUCAAUGUUUUCAGUUGAAAAUAAGAACUUCAUUUUGGGUAAAAUGAAAAUGAGAUGACAAUGAAUGUAAUUUAAGCAAAUUUAAAAAUACAAAAAAGACAAGAAAUCAAUAUAUCAUAAAUUUUCAGUGUUUUUAUUUCCUAAAAACAGAAAACAAGAAGUCAAACCAAACAUAUUUUCAGAAUUCUAAUCUUUUGAAAAUAAAAACAGUUUUCAGAAAAUGAAAACAGGAAAUGAAAAACAGAAAAUGAAAAUGCAAUCCAAACACACCCUAACUUUUUGGUGGUGAUCACAAUGAAGAUGGAUAGGUUGAGAACGUGAGAUACUAAGGUUGAAAAGAAUUUUCUUUAACCAUUUUUACUCGUAAAUAAUCGUUAGCAUGAAAUGGUAUUCAACUUUAGUGGAUGAGCAUGAAAUCAUGGGUUGCUUUUUUAGUUUUCCACGAAAUGGAAAAGUUUCCCAAAUGAAUAAAGCAUCAUGUGAGAUGUACCGUCCUUCGAUAUAAUAACAACCCGUAAUAAAAAUAUACUCUAAAAUGCCUAUAAGAUAUGGAUUUAGAAAUUUCAUUGGUUCAAAAUACUUCAAAUAUUAUAAUAAAUGAGUCCUUACAUAAUUAAACAAUUGUAUCCUCAAAUAUGGGUAUCUACAAAGUUGAACUAACAAUAAACUAAGUAUUCAAUUCUCCUUCGUCUGAAAAGUUUCUUCAUUGAACUCUGAAAACAACACUUUUAAUGAGAUAAUAAUCUUAUUGAAUAAAACAAUUUCUAAAAGAUUUCGCAAAUAAUGUUCUCAACCGACGCAAUAACCUAAAAAUCCAAUCAUUGUAUCCGCAAAAUUAAAUUUAAAAUAAUAUAUACAUACUUAUAAACAAUCACAAAUUAUUCACACAAUGAAAUAACACUCCGGUCAAUAAACAUCAACAGUUCACUACAUUCAAUUCUUGAACAAACUAACAAAUAUCACAACACAACAUAGUGAUUCCCAGAAUCAUUAGCCUCAACUAUUUGGUUCCUGAACCAGUGUGGAUCUCAGACUCUUCAAAUGAUCUAUGAGCUCAUAUUCAUGCAAUAAUGUCUCACUACACCAUCCCCAUCAUAGAUGAAGGUGUCAAGAAUCUUUUUCUCAUCCCAUAUGAAGGUAUCUUUAAUCUCAUCUAUAACAUUCCAUUUUUCGUAAAUAAAUUUAAAUUUUUUUUAUUUAAAAAUAAAUAAAAUUGAAAAAAAAUGAUGAGAUAUUUAUAAUUAAAUAAAUAAGGAGAAAUAACUUUAUUAAUUAAAAUAAUGGUUUGAAAGAAAAUAAAAAAAAGAUAUUUGAUUUAUUCAUUUGAUAAAAAAUAAAUUAGAGUAUUUCUUUAUAAAAUAAUAAAUAAAGAAAAUAGAGUAAAUAAUAGGUUGAGAGUAUCCUAGCUAUAAAUAGAGACAUGCUAUGUCAGUUUUCAGACAAACGAUAGUCUUUGCGGUUUCUCUUCCUCUCAAUUUCGUUUUCCCUUUUCCUCCUCUCAAAACCCUCUUUCUUUUUCCCGCAUACACUUAAACCUGUCCUAGUAAAAUGACGAUCUCAAACUUGUUAACCGUUGGAUCAUCAAGAAAUUUGAGCACCAGGUUUGGAACUCAUCUCUGAACAUUCUCACCAUUAGAAUUUGCGAAACAAUGUCAUCAGAGGUGAUAAAGAUUCCCUUUGUAUUGUAGCUUUCUCUUUUCCCGUAGAGACCCAAAACCUAUCCUAGUAAAACUACAAUCCCGUAUUCGUUAAUCGUUGGAUCAUUGUAAAAUUUGGACACCAGCUUUGGAAUUCAUUUUCGCAAAUCACCAUUGGGAUGUGCAGAAUAAUGUUUUUGCAGAGAGAAAUUAGUGUCGCACGUUGACAGUAAAAUGGAGGUUAUAAUAUCUUCUCAUUAUCUCUAAUGCUUGGAAACCCUAACAGAGCAAAAAGAGGAAAAACUUGAGGAAUCUUAAGGAAUUGCCAGAGACACCGCUAUCAUUACUGGACUACAUACAUGAGCCCACUUAGAGGUAAAGGUUGAGUUUAUCGCCAUUGAGAUUAGAAUAAAUAUGUGUAGGAAUUCUUAGGAGAUCAAAUUGAGGUUUAUUUUAGGAUGUUUAUUGUAUUGUAAUUCUUUCUGUAUGAUUAUGUGAAAUAUUUGAGGGAUUUUACUCCCUGUGUUGUGAGAAACAUUUUUGUAUGAUUUGUUUGUGUUUUGGAUAAGAUUAGCAUGAUAAAUAGUUACACUAGGAUCAUUAAAUUGUGAUUGAAAUUUUGUAUAAGUGAUAAAUUGAAUAUGUGAUGAAUUGUGAGAUAACACAUUGCUUUGAGAUUAUAACAUUGUUAUUGAGAUUGAGUAUAAGUGCAAAGUUGAAUGUGUUAAUUUGUGAGAUACACGUAAACAUGUGAUGAUGGAUUGUGACAUUAUGAGACGUUAAAUUGUGGACAUGAGAUUUGAUUGUGAAUAAGUAUAUGGUUAACACUUGAUAAGGCAAUACUUGUACUGUGAGCUGUGAAUUAUACAAUAACCUGACCAGUGUUUACCUUGAGAAAAGUGUUUAUGCACAGUGUUAAAGGGAAAAUGUAGGAUUCAUAUUUAGGAACCAAUGUUAAAUUAUAGCACAAUAUGUUGAAUGUGUUUGAAACACGAGUGUGGGGUCGUGGAUAUUAUAUAAUUCAUGAGUAGUAUCUACGUGCAAAAAUGGUUUUAGGGGUGGGACUUGAAUUAGGAAGGUGAGACCCUAACCAAUUCUUCGGAGUCUAGGCCUUGGGGGUAAAGGCACUCGGUUUGAAUGCUCCUUUAAGCCUAUGUUGAUUUCAUAUGGUUGGAGCAUUCAUGUAAAAUAGAGUGAACCUGAUUGGUCACCUUAUGAUUUUACUUAGUGAGAGUGACCUGACAUACCCAUUGUAUGAUGUGUCUUGUUAUGUACUUCUAAGUGUCUCAGGGUGGUUUUUUACUGACAUGAUACCACAUUACAUAUAGGCUUGAGUUUUAAUAUAAUUGUUGCAUAACACUUGCUAAUUGUUUAUCAUGAAAUUGAAGAGUGUUAUUACAUCUUGACCUGAAUGUGUGAUUCAUAUAUAAUGUGAUAGGUGAUUGAAGAAUGAAAUUUUAAAUGAUCAAGUGGUGAAGUGAUGUGAGUUGUAUUAAGUUGAACUAUGUUAUAAAUAUUUUUAUAAUAUAUUUGGAUUAUGUCUUUAUUUAUUUGUAUUUUUUUUAAAUGUGAUAACUUACUCACUGUGUGCUAUUUGUGUUUAGAUCCUGUGAUGAUCUCAAACUUUGUGUUCGUGGGAGCAGAUGACUAGGUGGAUGACUUUAAAUAAUAGUGCUAGAGGACGCUGGAACGCAAUGCUCUGAUAGGAUGUGACAUUGGGAAUGAGUUUUUAUUUUAAUUGCAUGAUGUUAUUUUAUUUUAUUUUAUCUCACUUAUUUAACAAAAUUUCUUUUGUAAACUUUGACAGUCUUGCUCUGAAUAUGUAUUUGUAUAAGUUUUAUUUGACUAUUAAAGCGAAUGUGAGCCUUUUACCCUUUUGAAAUACUUUUAUUUAAAUGUUUUUGAAAACUAUUAAUUAGUUAUGCUUUUUUAUUCCUUUUAUUAUUAGUACAUAUAUGUGUAAGAUAGAGGGUGUCACAUCAUUGUCAUUCCAGAUGGAGGUAUCUCAUAUCUCUUCUCCAUCUCAAGUAAAAGUAUCUCAUGCAUAUUCAAUUAUCAAAAUAAGAUAUAUACUUUCAGUUUUAGAGUUUAAAAUCUUUGUGCAAAUAAAUGUAAAAGAUUUUUUUACUAUGGUAGGAAAAUCCAGCAUUUACAGUUGGCUUACAUUUAUCUUAUUUUAAGGAGACAAGCUGUUGGAGUUUUCUGCAAGUGAUUUUUUGUCUUUUAAUUGUUGUUUUAUUGCUUGAUAACUAUGGAUAUGAUUAUUAGUUAUAAAUAGAAAUAAAAUAUAAUUUGUAGAUAUGUUGUGUGGUAAAAAUUUAUUUUAAUCUUUGUAUGACAAACCUUGAAUACGGUUUGAAAUUCUAAAUAUACAGUUGGGUUUAUAAAAAGUAAGUAAAUAGAUAUUAUAAACUUCAGUUUUUAAGUAUCUUGCUAAAUAAGAUUCACGUUAGACCCCUUUCUGUGUUAACAUAUUACAGACUAUGUAUUUGAUUAAAAAUUAUGAAAUUAAGGCAAUAGAUAUGUUUAACGUACUCAAGCAUUCUGAUGUUGUACUAACAAACAUUGUUUUAUUGUUUUUAUUCUCUAAUCAAAUUCCUGGUUGCAGCAAUUUAUUUCCUUUUUCUAUGUGGUUUCUUUGGUAAGGUUGUGGCAAGAAAUUUAUUGCCGGAACUUGAUACAACUUUAUCAGUUAACUGUGUUCUGCCGCUGCCUUUUCUGUUUUCAUGCAAAUAAAUCAUAAACAAAGAGAAGAUUGAAUUAUUUGGUUAAAAUUAUGUUGAAAUUUGAAACGUCUCACUCUCACCAGAACCGUUUUAUCUAUGACUUGAUGGUUUGCUUUUCUUAAUUCUUAUUUAUGCAAUAUGGGCAGUUUAAAAGCCAUUUCCAUGAAGUUCGAGUUCUGCCUUACUGCAUAUCAAUUGCCUGUGAUAACUAUGAAGUAUGAAUAGUGUCAUCAAAUUUUGCCCGAAUGUAGAUAUGGGGCAGACCUUGCACGAGGGAUUGUUGAGUUACAUGCUGCAGGCAUUGUUUGCAUGAAUAUAAAAACAUCCAAUCUUCUUCUUGAUUCAACUGGCCUUGCUGUGAUUUCUGAUUACUGCUAUUCUGAAGAAGCAUUCCUGUUGGAAGGGCCAACCUGAGCAUGACUCCUCAAACACCCACUCAUGUAUAUGGAAUGUACCGUGCUUAGUCCACAUUAUACAGCUCCAGAGGCUUGGGGGCAACUUCUGAAGAAAUCAUUAAAUUUGUUCUGGGAAGAUGCAAUAGGUAUAUCAGCAGAGUCUGAUGCCUGGAGUUUUGGUUGUACACUGGUGGAGAUGGGCACGGGUUUUGUUCCGUACAUGAAUCAACUCAUCAUUCAAUUUUUCUUUUUCUUUGCAUUCUGGUUUUCUAGAGUUGCAUAUCGCAAAUUCUAUGCUUGUGUAGUUGGGCUGGUUUAAGUUCGGAGGAAAUUUAUCAAGCAGUUGUCAAGGCAAAGAAACUGCUUCCACACUAUGCCAGUGUGGUUGGUGGUGGAAUACCUAGUGAUUUGUGGAGGAUGAUUGGAGAGUGCUUGCAGUUCAAGCCAUCUAAAAGGUCUAGUUUUACUGCAAUGUUGGCAAUAUUUCUCCGUCAUUCGCAGGGAAUGCCGCGCAGCCUUCCCCAGAUAAGUAAGCCCAUUAUAAUUAUCCACGACUUGUAUCUUCUAUGCUGGUUUUAUGACAUCUGAUUGAGCAGUCAAAAUGUAGCCUAUUUAUAGUUUUUGAUAUGUGGUGUGGAAAUGAGCCAAAUUUGCAGUUGUCAUAGAUGCCAAACAAUUGACUUGUACAUGUUUUAUAUUUCUGUAAAUACAGUGAUAGAGUUGUCCCCUGUGCAAGAAUUAGAAGUUUCUCAGAAAAACCCAUUCCAUCUUCAUCAAUGUGUGUCUCGGGGAUGUUAGAAGUGUUAGGUCAGUUGGUGCAUCAAAGUCACAAACAAUCUUCCUUGAGCUUGCUUUCAUUUUCAUUUUGCAAUUCAUUCUUUUUCUUUGUACUUUCCGUACAGUGAUCUUCUUUUCAAGGCUGCAUCAGACUAUGGCAGCAACAGCCUAUCUUCUCUGCUGGAAGCUCAAAAUGCUGAUGAACAAACUGCUCUCCACUUAGCUUGUAGAUGUGGCAGUGCAGAACUUGUUGAGGCAAUUUUGGAGUAUGAAGAAGCAAAUGUUGACGUCUUGGACAAAGAUGGAGAUCCUCCUCUUGUUUAUGCAUUAGCUGCUGGAUCCCCAGAAUGCGUUCGCAGUCUUAUCAAAAGAGGUGCUAAUGUGAGGCCACAAUUAAGAGAUGGCUUUGGCCCAUCUGUUGCUCAUGUUUGUGCACAUCAUGGCCAACCAGAAUGCAUGCGAGUAUGUUUUACUUUAAUCAUAUUCAGGUUCGUCUUUGCAUUUACUAGAGCUAUAUUCAUAUAAAUAUAUGGUAAAAUAACAGGAAUUACUAUUAGCUGGAGCUGAUCCUAAUGCAGUGGAUGAUGAAGGUGAAUCUAUCCUGCAUAGAGCAGUUCCCAAGAAGUCCGCUGACUGUGCCCUUGUGAUACUGGAAAAUGGAUCAAUUGCCAUCUUGAAUCCAAAUAAUAUGUCUUAAGUAUAGAUUUCCCAUCAAUUUUCUUCUUAAGCUUAAAAUGUGUUUGCCAAACUUGUCAAUCAGUCUAGGACUCCAGAGGUACAGAAAGAAACGGAUCUUACUCAUCAAUUUUGCAUAUCCAAUGAUCAAUGUGAAACAUGCACUUUAGCUGUCUCAGUCCACUGCAAUGACAGCAUGGCUUUUCUCUAGCAUGGAGCAGCAAACUCAUGUCGAAACAUGCACCUUAGCUGGAUAAAAUUGAUACAGACUACUUCUGUAAUUUCUUAGCUGCUUGUACAAUUGAGUACAAUUUAGGAUAGGAAUUGGAACAGAAUGACAAUAUAUUUCUCUAAAAUCCUUUAAUGUAUAAUGAAUAAUUGCUGCUAAUGCUCAAUAUCUUACAUAAGUGACAUUUAUUCUUAUUAUCUCUUCAUUAUGGUGCGUUCCUUCUGAAUUUUGAUUCCACUGAAAAACUUUCUAAUUUGCUGGUGGACACUAUCUUAUUGAUGCCAAAUUUUGUUUGUGGUCUUCCAUAGUUCUCUCCAAAUUUAGAGGUCAUGGAUCUUACCUUUUCAAUAGAUAGUUCUUUAUUGAUGUAUGUUGUCUGCGGGCUAAACAAACAGGUUGUUGGUUUCCCCCUAACACUGGCAGACCUCUUUACUGAUUUUUUUUCAUCUUCUGUGCAUUAUCUAGGUUUAAUCAACAGUCCCUUGUCAUUCUGGUUCCUUAUUCUAUUGAGUUUUUAGUGUGAGCUUUUGUCAGCAAAAGGAAAAAAAAAUCAUAUUGUAAUGCUUUAUAUUACAAUAAUUUUAGUAAUCAAGUUUCAGAAUAACCAUAUUUGUAAAUAGAGAUUUUUUAUUUAUUUAUAAAUUACAUAAUAUAUGAAUACUUACAAUAGUAUGAUGAUAUGAUCAUUGUUUUAUUUGACGACCUUUGUAUAGAGAAUAGAUCUACAUGGUUCUUAUUUCUUAUCACUAGUACUAUUUUUACUUUGGAUAGAGUAAUUAUUAAGUUGUUGGUGUUAUAUUCCAUUUGUUUUUGCUCUCAUGCUAGACUAUACUGAUAGAUUAUAGAUAUCAUCAGGAUACUUUGACAAAUGUCUUUGUGAAGCUUGGGUUUUUAUACCUGUAUCCGUUGUUUUGUUUUUCCUCAUGAGUAAGUUGGGUCUGGUCGUAAUAUAUCUAGGGCAAAGGAAUGGUUUCUUAGAUGUAAAAGAUGGUAGUCUAUUCUUUUACUUUGAAUAAACCACAGUAGAAGAUUUCUGCACUGUGAUAUUGCUGAUGGGAAAACUGGAAAGAAAAAAAUCAAUUAUUCCUGUCUGAAUCAACCAUGGCCACCUCUUCUUUGUCCUUAUUUAAGUAGUAAAGAUAAUAAAAUAUUUUAUGAAUCCGUUCUUUACUACUGCUUCUAGGAAACUGAAAGCAUAUGCUGUAGGUCAAUCAUAUAAUAGCAAGUUAAAUACCACUGAAGCUGGUAUUUUAGCUAAUUUUAAAGGAAAUUGCUUCUUUUUAUCAUAAUUCUGGGGGUUAGUUUUUUAGUUCUUGGGUGUUUUAUUUCUUCUCAUAUUUGUUGGAAUUUCUAUAUGGGAUUGCAACAUUUUAAAUGCAUUCUUGUUUCUGUGUGGGUGUUUGAAUAUAGAUAUCAUUUCGCCUCACAUGCAUCUGUGAUCAUCUAGUUUUACACUUUUGAUGUUGCAGACUGCUGCACUUGUGUGUGACAACUUGGAAUGAUAUCUAAAUUCAAACAUGGGAUUGCUGAAGUUGCAACUUCUGAUGAGAUUGCUGAAUCAAUUGACAUGACAUCCCAAGCCCUAUGAGCACUGCUUUGUUGAUGGCUGCUGCCUCCAAGAAAGAUCAUGAAAGUGGUAUGAAUAUCUGGGAUUAUUGGUUAAUACUUGAUAAUGAUUUUAGAAUUCAUCUUGUCUGUUGAUUGGGCUAUUAUAGUUUUUUAUUCAUACCUGUUGUUAUUGCUGUUUUUUUUUAUUCCAAACAAAGUUCAGUGCAUAUUUUCUUCUAGUAGGUAUUCCUAAUUUAUGCUAAUAAUUAAUAAAGCUUCUGUUUUCUAAAAUAGUUAAGUCAUCUGAUUUUGUUUGCUCAUGCAAAAUAUAGAGGAGAGAGAAUAGGUGCAAAUUUUGCUUUCUGCGGAGCAGAUCCAUCUGCUCAACAUUCACAGCAUGGGCGGACAGCUUUGCAUACAGCUGUUAUGACUGACGAUGUUAAAUUGGUUAAGGUGAGUAAACCAGAUUCUUGAUUAGAAUGAUUAAAUAUCCAUCAAUAUUCAAUAUCAUGUUGGAAUAUGAAGUAUGUGCCUUUUGUAUCUGAUGUUAACUAACUUCUGUUUUUUGGUGUUGAGUAGGUUAUUCUUGCUGCUGGUGUUGAUGUGAACAUUCGUAAUGUGCACAAUGGCAUUCCUCUUCACAUAGCCUUAGCUAGGGGUGCUAAGUCAUGUGUUGAACUACUUCUAUGUAUUGGGGCAGAUUGUAAUUUGCAGGUUUUAAUUCAAGUUCUGAAUUUACUCUGUUUAACUACAGCAUUACACUAAGUGUUAUACUACUGUUGGUUCUUUAUAUAAGAAACAAAUAAUUAAUUCAUCAAGACCAAUCAAAGUAGUUUAGUUAAUUUUAAUUAAUAAUGUCAUAAAUUAAAAUUUGAUUCCAAAAGUAAAUAUAAAGGCAAAGUUUCAUAUCUCUUAUUAUUGUAUUGUUUCAAAACGAAUAUAUGGUGCUUUGAUCUUAUUUCUUUUUUCCUCUUGAUCUCUCUGAUACAUUAUAAAAUGAUUUUUCUAUUUGAUUAUAGUAGAUUUGGAAUUGAACUUCAUCAUAUGACUGAUUGAUUGCUGAGUUCAGUCUCCAGUUCACUGUAGUCAGCCACUUCGUCACAGAGUAAAUUAAGCCUAAUGAUAAUUUAUAUGGUUAUAAAUGGUUGGGGGACUGACUAAUCUAAGGGACAUGAUUCUUAUUAGAACUCAAAAAGUUACAUAUGCUGUUGAAAAUGUAGAAUGGAAUAUUGAAGUCUCUCUAAGUUUAUACAAUUGUCAUCUGUUUGGGAAUAUUUGAGAUCUAAUGAUAUAGUUGAAACUUGAAAGUUUAGUGUUUGCUUCCAUUGCAGGCAUUUAAUCUGUCAGACAAAUUGCAAUUUAACAAUUUGAGGUUUAUCCUCUUCAAAAAGUUAGUACAUAAUAUCUCAAACUAAGAGUUGGUUCAUAACAUUUUAUGGUGCACUCUAAAAUUGACAACUAGGCAGUUACAAGUAGCACCUGACUGGAACUAAAAUCUUCUCAAUGACAGUUUUUAGAUUGCACCGAACUUCUGGAGGAUGAAGUUUUACAAAUGAAACCUCACCAUUCAUUUUAACUCCUCAAUAGUGAGCCAGAGUUCAGGGGUUGUUAAAGUGUUACUAGCGUAACUUCUGUACCAACACUGAAAAGUGCAUAAACUUUAAAUCUACCUUUUAUCCUAAACAGUAAGUAUGCUUUAGUUUUGAUUUACUGUUGUCUUUAUCAUAUCUAUCUUUUACAUUUUAGGCUGGCUUGUGUACAUGCACAAGGAUAAGCAGGGUGGAAUAUGUUUUUUUAACAAAAAAUUGUUACAUGCUAUAAAUAUUUGAAAGUUGACAUUCCAGUGUCCGCCUAUUGUCUGAAAUAAGUUUUGCUAUUAUGUUUCUAAUUUAAAGUUCUAAGCUGUUUAUUUUGUCUCAGGAUGAUGAUGGUAACACUGCUCUCCAUAUAGCAGCAGGAACAGCAAAAAUGAUACGUGAAAAUCUUGAUUGGCUCAUUGUAUGCUUGGGAAUCCUAAUGCUGAUGUAUUAGUCAGAAACUACUGGCAAGUUGCAGCUCUGUGCACUCAUUCUCAUUAGAUUUUGAUUACAUUUUUUUUUUCAUCUUUUUACCAUCUGAAAAACUUUUGUCCAUCCUUUUAGAAAACUUUGACAACUUUCAUUUUUCCAUUUCAAAAGAAAGUCCCUCCUAUGACUUAUAGAGUUAUGUUUUAUUUCAGUGGCAAGACUCUAGGUGACAUCUUGGAUGCCCUUCCCCGAGAAUGGAUAUCAGAAGAUCUGAUGGAGGCACUCAUGAAGAAAGGAGUUUGUCUCUCUCCUGCAAUGUAAGGCAACGACAUUUUAUUAUUAUUAUUUUUAUUUACUGUUCUUGAAAUAUCUUCAUUGUAUGUCUUAAAAUAUUUUAGAAUAUCAUAGGAAAUUUUUGAAUUUUGUCAUAUCAAUUACCUCUCGAAUAUAGGAAGAAAUUUUAGCUAUUUCCUAACUUCAUUAUGUUUUGUAAUUAUUUUCCUUAUUUAAUUAGGGUUAGGAGUUUAUUGUCUUAGUAUGCUUUUUGCACUAGUAGAAUAGAACUACACCUGUAAGUGACCAAAUUCAUAGUAUAAAUAAGUGCCAGUGUCUGUAAUCUUAUGGAAUACUAUCUAGAACCUUCACCGAGAAAACAAUACAAUUUAGCUCCUUCUUUUUCUCUUUCCCUCCUUUCCUACCUUAAGCCCCAUAAAUUCAAUAGAUGUGAUAUCAUAUUUAUUUUCUAACCACAUCCAACUAUUUUUUUAUAAUUUUUGUUUAUUGUUUUAGAUUUGAAGUGGGAGACUGGGUGAAGUUUAGAAAAACUUCCAUGACUCCAACAAAUGGGUGGGAAGGUGAUCGGCAGAAGCAGGUGGGCUUUGUGCAAAGAGUUCCAGACAAAGAUAAUCUCAUUGUUUCAUUUUGUUCUGGAGAGUAUUAUAGUGUUUUGGCCAAUGAAGUUGUAAAAGUCAUUCCAUUAGACAAGGGACAACAUGUGCAGCUUAAAGAGGAUGUAAAAAAGCCAAGGUUUCUUUCUGCAUAAAUCUUAUAUCAAAUAUAAGUGAGGAAAAGUAUGUGUGAAUUUUCAUCAGUACAUGCAUAUGUUUAUAUUAUGUACAGUAUGAAUUACAAGAGGAACCAUCUUCUAAAUCAGAACUAAUUAGCCCUGGCACCAAUCAUCCAUGAGUCAGUAACAUCCAACUAAGCAUUAUAUAAUAUAAUGGCUUCUUUGUGUCCAUGCCUCUGUUGGAGGGAUUUCUAUGAUCCUUUAAAAUAUCUAAAUAGAUUGGAUAGGUCAUAUUUGGAUCCAAUUGCAAGGUACGGGACUUGAGUCCCACAGUAGAAGUGUGGGAUUAGAAUUCUGUUUGAGUCCAGCUUCUCUUAUUAAGGAGAAGAGAAACCCAAAAUAAAUUAGGCCAAGCACUUCCUAAAACAUCAUAUGAUGUCUGGAAAUGAUGUAUAUUUGGCCUUUGUUCUUAUUGCAGAUCAUUUGUGUUAGUCCAACAUGUAUUGCAGGCAGUCUUUACUUUCCAGAUAGUGAUCAUGAGUUGUAAACUAACAAGUAUUACAACACAACUUAGUGAUUUCUAGGAUCACUAGACUCAACUUUUUGGUUUCUAGAAUCGAUGUGGAUCUCAAAUUCUUUAAAGGAUCUUUGAGUUUAUAUCCAUGCAAUGACAUCUCACUGCCUACCCCAUCAUAGAUGAAGGUGUCAAGAAUCUCUUUCUCAUCUCAUAUGAAGAUAUCUAUAAUCUCAUCCUCAUCCCAAAUGUAGGUAUCUCAUAUCUUUUUCUCAUCCCAAAUAAAAAUAUCUUAUGGAUAUUCAAUUCUCAAUAAAAUAUACACUGCCAUCACUUCCUAAAAGAUGACUAAAAAAUUACAAAGUCAUACCCCAAAUUAUAACAUCAUGAGAGUCAAUUAAUAAUUAACUGUGAAAUAAAACGCAUACACAAUAUUAAAUAUAUUUUAGUUGAUAUAUAUGAUAGCUAAACACAAAACUCAAGCAAACUUAUUCAUGAAUUUUCAAAUAAAUUCCAAGAUUAAAUAUGUAACCAAUGAAGAUUUGUACAUUAUAAUACCCCUUUUGUAAAAUUAAAUCAAACCCCACGAAUAGUAACAAUUACAUGUGAAUAUGGUUAUAUCAGACCCUUAAAUAAUGUCAUGCAAUGAUACGACAGAACCUAAAUUUUGCAUCAUCAAUGGAUUAAUUGACACAAAUAUCAAUGUAUCAAUUUAUCGAUUUAUCAUUGGUAAACUCAAAAAGAUGUAUUUCUAAAAUCUAUAUCAUGAAAGUUUAGAAAAAGAAGAUCGUUUUACUCACUUCUUGAAACACAUAGUAAUUCACACGUUUCACUUAUUAUUCUUCUUCUACAUUCAGUGGGACAACAAGAUUCUUUUUGUUUCUUCUUUCUUCUCAAUCCUAUAUAAUUUACUAAUUUUCUAUUUUCUAAGAGACUGUCUAUAAAACUUUAAAAGAAGAGAAUUAUUUAUCCAUAUAUAAUACAAGAGUAUAUAAUUUAAGAUUGGGUCACAUGAGAUAUAUUCUUAGUAGAUUUGGCUAAUCAAAUCUUUUUUUUUCCUACUUAUUAUCUUGAUUUAUCUGAUUAUUAAAAUUAUCUAAUAUUUUAUUUUCUUUCAAGAUAUAUUAAGAUAAACCAUGAUAAAAUUUAAAUCAUUGUCAAUUAUCACAAUUUUACAUGUAACAAAUAUCUUAUCCAAACUAGAUAUACAAUGUUAUACUAUUAAUAGAAUAAUUAUCUUUACAAUACUAAUAAUCUUUUUAACCCUCUUAAUUAGGAUAUGAAAAAGUCACGCUUUCUUUUAUAAUUAUAAAAUAAUCUCAACAAUUUUUAUAUUAACUGACUAAUCUUUUUUAUUUAUAAAACUCAAUAAAGAAAUUAAAAGAUACAUAAUCUUUUUAUUCAAUAUUUCGAAGAUAUUUAAUAUAUUAUAACAUAAGCAUUCUAUAAUAUAUAUAUAUAUAUAUAUAUAUAUAUAUAUAUAUAUAUUAUCAUAAUUAUUUUAAUUAAAAUUAAUAACAAUUAUUAUAUUAAAAUUUUAGGAUGUUACAUGAGAAUGAGAAGAUCUGUAAGUAUGGAGACAACUUCCCCAUUCUGAAUUACACUAGGCCGUCAAUUGCAAAUCAAAAUUUCUACUCAAGAGCACACACCUUGUUCUGGAUUCCCUACUACUCACAUCAGCCUCCUAAUACUCUUGUAUAGGUUGAUGCAUGAACUGAGACAAUAUGUAAACACAAUAAGACAAUUUUGGUAUAGUUAAACAAAGGUAAAUAAGGCGUCCAACUAUCCACCUAUAUUACUCAAGAUGAGAAAAUUCUGAUCCUUCAACAAUACCCAAACGAUGAUUCUGCUCCAUGGGAGUAUUUGAUGAUUUUGUUUCAAAAAAAUCUUGUUUCUCUUAUGAUACUCAGAACAGUCAAUUGUAUCAAAUAAAAGAAAGAAGAUAACUCUUCAAUUAUAACAUAAUUUUAUACAAACAAAAUUAAAAAUAUAUAAAAUUUACUUUUUAAGUUGCUUCUAUAAAAAACUAUUGUAACACGUAGAUUUUUUUCUUCACAAAAUCAAGGUCAAGAAUCAAUAAAUGUUGAACAUUGACAUUUUCUGCUUCUCUUGCUUAAUUUUUUUUUGGUAAAUUUUUCUCUUACUUAAGUUUUUUUUUGGGGUGAGUUUUUCUCUUGGUUAAGUAGGAGGAUUCUAAGUGACAAAGACGCGUUUUCUGUUUCAAGAGUCUUGCUUGAUAUACAAAGUCUUUUAUUCUGUAAUCAAUUUAUAGUAAAAAUAUCUGAUUAAUUUUUAUGAAGUUUUAUUUAACGUCCCUUUACUUCAAAAUCACAUGUUAAGAGGAUAGUAAAUGAAUUGGUUUUUUUUUUUUUUUUAAGUGAAUGCGCCUCCCUCUCUCUUAUUUUUUUUCCAAUCUAUACUACUUUGUAAUUUAAUUCCGAAUCUACGCACUUUCUCCAUUUUGUUUUUAUUUAAUUUAAAAUAUUAUAAAAUAUAAAUAUUAUAUUAUAUAAUUUUUUAAUUGGUUUUAAAAUUACUAAUUUAUUAAAUUAAAAUUUAUAAUUUUGUUUUUUAUUUUUUUUAAAGAAAAAUAUACAGAUAAAAAAAAUAAAAAAUUUGGAUAAAAUUAUAGUACAAUUUGUUGGUUCUUUUCGUCAAUACACCCUCUCUCUCUCCUGCUUUUUCCCAAUCUACACUACCUUACAAUUUAAUUUCCAAUAUACAUUGCUUGAGAGUUUGUGCUUUAAAAGUAAUCAAUCUACACUAGUUUGCAAAUCAACGUGGUCAAGGGAUUACUCAUAACAAACAAGUUAUAUAGCUAUGCCGUCUAUACCUAACUCUCUCUCCUUUUUGUUUUUUUUAAAUUUAAAAUAUUAUAAAAUAUAAAUAUUAUAUUAUAUAAUUUUUUUAAUUAGUUUUAAAAUUACUUAUUUAUUAAAUUAAAUUUUAUAAUUUUGUUUUUUAAUUUUUUUAAAGAAAAUGAUAUUAUUAAAUAUAAUUAUUUUUGAAGGAUCAGGACCCCACUGUAUUUUGCUGGCAACAAGUAAAUUAAAUAAUAAAAAAAAUAAUUAUAUUUAAUAAUAUCAUUUUAUUUAAAAAAAAAUUAAAAAACAAAAUUAUAAAAUUUAAUUUAAUAAAUAAUUAAUUUUAAAACCAAUUAAAAAAUUAUAUAAUAUAAUAUUUAUAUUUUAUAAUAUUUUAAAUUAAAAAAAAAACAAAAAGGAGAGAGAGAUAGGUAUAGAUGGUAUAACUAUAUAAUUUGUUUGUUCUCAGUAGUCCACGUCCAUUUGCAAACCAGUAUAAAUUGACCACUCUCAAAGCACAAACUAACUCCCAAGCUGCCGUGUAUAUUGAGAAUUAAAUAAAGUAGUGUAAAUUGAAAAAAAAUAGAAGAGAGGGUGUAUUCACACAAAAAACCUAAAUGAAUGUGCCUAAGAAAUAAUAUUUAAUACCUUUUAAAAAAAGAAAAUAAUAUUUAAAAAAUUUCUUCUUUACAUCUCUAGUAUCCGUCAAGAUUUGAAUCUCAGAAUCAACAUAAAACCAAUUAUAAAUCUUAUAAUUAACAUAACACCAAUUAAUUCUUUUAAAAUAAUUAAUUAAUCAAAGACUUCUUUAAGCAAGUUUUUAAAUAGGUUCGUGGGCCAAGCCAGACUUUUAUGUAAGCUGAGCAGGUAAUAAGUCUAGCUCAAACCUUAUGUAUUCAACUCAACCAAAUCACGAAAUUACCUAUUAGUUCCAUUUCUAUUUUCAUGCAUACCAAAACUGUAUAUAAUAAGCAUAAUACCAAUUGUCUUUUGCAUUUGUCAAAGUUCUAUCUUCUAUAUUUUAGUCUUGCUUGCAUUCGUUUAAUACACUUUCAUAAUUAAAAAUAAAAAAUCAAAAUGCCCUAACCUCUCGUAAUCGCAACCUCCAUCGUUCAUUCCACGAUUCCGAGUUUGCUGAGUUGAGUUCAAUCAUGGGACGGUGGGAGAAGAAAGGACCGAAGCAAGUUCUCUUUUGAAGGGUUUUUGGUGGGAUUUAGUGGAAAGGGGAAGGCAACCUGAGAAGGUAUUUUUUAUUUUUACAUUUUUUUAUUCUUUUUCUUUAAUCUAGGGAAAAAUUUAAAAGAAAAAAUGGUAGGAAUGAAAAUUGGAAAGUUGGAGAAAAAAGAAAUUGUAGAUUGAUUUGAAAAUGAAAGGAAACAGAGGUAAAAUUAGUUAAGAUAUACAGAAAAAUUUGAGUGAAAUGAUUAUUGAAUGAUGAAUUUACAGUAUUAAUUGAAUUAUUUAUUUUUCCUUUUUUGUAUGCAAUAAUAACGUGAUUUAUAAUGAAUUAGUUUAAUACUUCCUUGCAAGGUAUUAAAUAUAAGUUUUUUUUUAAUUUGAUAUAUUUUUUUUCUAAAAAUAUAUUUUAAAAAUUUUGAUAACUUUAAUUUAAGUAUUAUAAUUAAUAUAUUAUUAUUUAAAAUUGAUUUAUUAAUAAAAUAAAAUUUGGUUCAAAGGAAUUAAGACAGAUUCCACCUUAAUUUGAUUUUAAAUAAUUAUCAAAUUAAAAGUAAAAUAGCAACGUAAAUACUAAAUUUUAUUUAAUAUAUGGAAAUAAUAUUAUUAAUAAGUUAGUUGUAAAAAGGAAUAUACAAUACCUAAACCAUAAUUCAUGAACUCGUGGAAUGUCAAUAUUUAUGAGAAGUUUUGUAGCAUAAUUGGUGUUUGAGACCACAUUUUACUUAUAAAUUAAAGACUAUAUCAAAAUAUAUUAAUUAAACAUUUUAUUAUAAUUUUAAAAUGAGGAAAAUACAUUUUAUAAACACAAUAUAACAUAAAUCAAAUACCCUAACAUAAAUGAAUGAAUAAUCACUAAAUGAAAUAUAGUGUAUAUAUAUAUAUAUAUAUAUAUAUAUAUAUAUGUAUAUAUAAUAGUCAACAAAUGAAAAGAUAAAGAAUGAAGACAUACACCUACGACCAAUUGACUCUAAACCUCAUGAAAGAAUAUACCAUAUAUAAAAGAGAGGAUAAAGAUUCAUCUGCUUCAUAUUUUUUAUUUUUUAUUUUUCAUUUUUAAUUAUGAUAAUAAUACUGAGGUUAGUUCAUAUUUUCAAUAAAAUUUAAAAUGUUUUGAAAAAAGAAUUACAAAAUUUAAAUCAAUAUUAUAUGUUAUUGAUUAAUUUAAACAUUAAAUGUUAUUCUUCACCUUCUAAAUUAACAAAAUGUUUUUUAAUUGUUGUUUUUAAUAUGAAACUCUGCCUUUCAGUUGUGGUUAUUAUGAAAACUUUAUAAUUUUCUCAAUCCGUUAUAUAUUUAAACGGUUCUGUAAUAUACUAACAUUUUACUUUUUACAAACUGAAAUUGUGAAAAGAUAUCUUUUCAUAGGGUUUACAUAUAUAGAUUAUUACUUUAAAAGUAACCACAAAUUAAAGGCAUAUUAAUAUAUUUUAAAUUUAUUCAAAUUUAAAAUAUAUUAAUAUGAUACUUAAUGAAGUAAUAUAUUUCCAAACCCUUUGCUUAUAUUGUAAUCAAUUUUAAGCAUAUUAAAACCCGUGCAAUAUUCAUGCAAAUUUUCAUAUAAUUUAAUAAUUUUUUAAAUUUAAAUUUAUCACAAAUACUAAACUAAAUAUUAAUUUCAAGCAUUUUAAUCAAUGAUUAUUGACAAAUUAAUAAAAUAAAUCUAAUGGUUCUAAAAUGUUUUAAGCAUAUAUAUAUAUAUAUAUAUAUAUAUAUAUAUAUAUAUAUAUAUAUAUAUAUAUAUUUUAAAACAAAUUGCAUUGAAUCAAACCAAUUGUUGUUAAAUGAAUGACAAAAAUAUAAUGACUCUAAUAUUUUUAAGCAUUUUAUCAAUGACGGUUGCAAAUUAAGUAUUAACAAAACAAAUCUAAUGGUUUUAAAAUGUUUAAGUAUUUUUUAUAAAAAAAAAUUUCCAUUUAAUCAAGUAUGCUAGACAUUAAUUUGAAUCAAAUCAACCCUUGUGAUCAAAUUAAAAUUUUGAUUCAAUGACCCACGAAUAUUUAAGUAUGCUAAACAUUGAUUGAAUCAAAUUAAUGACCGAAAUGAAAUUAAAAUCUUCAUCUAAUGGCCAUAAAAUAUUAAAUAUGUUAGACAUUAAUUGGAUCAAAAAGAUGGUUGUGAUUAAAUUAUAAUUUCUACCAAAUGACCCUUAAACAUGCUAAACAUUUAUUGAAUCAAAUUGACUUUGUCAAAUUAAAAUUUGGAUUCAAGCUCAUAAAAGUUUAAUUUUCUUUAGUAUAUAGAUAGAUGGGUGAAGAUUGUAGGAUAAAAGGUGUUCAAAAACAUACAUUGUGGAAUAAAAUGAUCUAUUUUGUAUUUAAAUUAUAUUAUAAACAAAUGACAUAUUAAAAAUAUACAUGUUGAUGAGUUCUUCAAGCAUAAAAAUUAUUCAAUAGUGUGAAAACUCUACGUGUAUCCACACCGAGACUCCUCUAUUCGUCAAUAACUUUGACAGGUGGAAAAAUAAGAAUAGAAGUGAUAUUCUGAUCGUUUCAAUGUGCAGCCCAAGGCUCUAUUUAUAGCACGCUAAGAAUACCAAAUUUCUAAUCAAAUCAAAAUCAUUAUUGAUAGUAUCCUUUUUUAUGCUAUAUUAUUUUUUGUUACCUUUUAUUGCUAAUCAUUUAGAAAUUAAAAUUAAAAUAAUAAUUGACCAAGUCAAACUUGUAUCUAGUCGCCUUUUCAACCCAAAUUCCAAAUACAUAAUCAUACAUGUUUGUUUCUUUUCUUUCAUCAAAUCUUUCACAUUAUUUAUAUUUUCAGUGCCAGCAAAAAUAUAAUAAUAUUCCACCUUUUGAAAUCAAUUAAUCAUUUGAUCAUAUUAAAUUCUCUAAUUUAAUUAAUCAUCAAAUAUUAAAAUAAUUUCUUUAACAAAGAUUAGAACACUCCUUUGUGUGUGACCCCGUUGGUUCAAUACUAAGCCGGUAAUAUAUUAAUCAAAUUAAUAUACUAAUCAAGGUAGGCAUCUAGCAACACUCCUUAACGUCUGGAUAACAUGAAGUCGCAUUUUACUUUCAAGAACCAUUAGAAGAGUAGUGUAAUAAUUUCUUUCAUCUUUACAGUUCUGAAUUAACUUUAGAGUAUGGUAUUACUGUCAAACCCUUUUGAGUUAACUCAUAAUGACUUAAGAAAUGCAUUUCUUCUUUCAUUUAAUUUUCCUGGCCAGGAUAUAAUUUUAUUCAUAGAGCUCAAAUUCAUUACCAAGAGUUGAUGGAUUCCUUCUUGAUUAAUCAUUAAUUCUACAGGUAUUUAAUCAUAUCAAAUAUCCAUUCAACAAGUGCUCUAAAGCAUUAGGUGUCCGGAAUCAAAAUACAACAAAUAACCUGUCAAUUACUAUGACAUUCUCAGGUCAAAGAAAUCUAUUAUACCUCUUCUUGAGAAUUUUCUAUUGACAGUUUAUGGUAAAUUUUAACCAUUAGAAAAUUUCGAUUGAGUCAGUUCAAUGAUCACAUCAACAUGUGACUCAUCUAUAUAUGCAAAUUAAUAAAUGAAAUCUAUUAAUAUUUAUCCAAUAAAUACUAUCACAUAUAUAUUAAUCUAUCUUGAUUAUUGAUAUCCUAUUCACAAUAAUCCUAUGAUCAAGAACGUUUUAGAUUACAAUUAGAACAAACUUGUUUCUCAUUAUCAUAAUCUCUAUUAUAAUAACAAGUCUUUAAUUUUAAUCAAGGACAUUAUCAAAUGGACCAUUUUAUCAAAUAGUGAAAUAUGACAAUGAAAAUAAAAUAAUAAAUUAUUAUUAAAAUUAGAAUUGAUUACAUGAUGACUUGGAUCGUGGGUAUACAAAUUUAUUCCCAACAAUCUCCUACUUGCCUAGAGUCAAUCAUUCAUGAACUUCAUUUCUAAUUCCCAUUUGUGCUUGUCAAACUCUUUUAUGCCAAGCGCCUUGGUGAAGGGAUCUUCUGCAUUCUCCUUUCCAUCUACUUUUUCAAUCUUAACGUCACCACGUUCUAUUAUCUCUCUAAUCAAGUGAUACUUUCGCAAAAUAUGUUUGGACUUCUGGUGUGAUCUUGGUUCCUUUGCUUGAGCAAUAGCCCAUUAUUGUCACACAAUAAUGGAACCGACUCUUCUAUUGAAGGAACCACACCAAGUUCAAAUAUGAACUUUUUCAUCCAAACACCUUCUUUAGCAGCUUCACUUGCCGCUAUAUAUUCUGCUUCAGUAGUUGAAUCUGCUAUCGUAGCUUGCUUGGAACUUUUCCAACUUACUGCACCACCAUUUAAAGUGAAAACAUAUCCUGAAAUGGAUUUGCUAUCAUCUUUGUCUGAUGCAAAGCUUGCAUCACUAUAACCCUUCAGUUUCAAUUCAAAGUCUCCACAAAUGAGGAAUUGGUCUUUAGUUCUUCUUAAGUACUUAAGUAUGGUCUUAACCACUUUCCAAUGUUCCUCACCAGGGUUUGCUUGAUAUUGACUAGUUACACCUAGUGCAUAAGCGACAUUAGGACGUGUAAAAGUCAUGGUGUACAUGAUAGCUCCCACUACACUAGCAUAUGGUACUCUACUCAUGCAUUCUCUUUCUUCAGGAGUUGUUGGACAAUUCUCUCUACUAAGAGUAAUUCCAACACUUACAGGCAAAUAGCCUUGUUUGGAAUUAUCCAUGUUAUAUCCCUUUAAGAUAGUAUCAAUGUACAUAGAUUGGGAGAGUCCAAGCAAUCUUUUAGAUCUAUCUCUAUAAAUCUUUAUACCUAGAAUAUAGACUGCUUCUCCCAAAUCCUUCAUGGAGAAUUGUUCUGAUAGUCAAAUCUUUGUGCCUUGCAAUGUUGGUAUGUCAUUUCCAAUUAGUAAUAUGUCAUCAACAUAUAACACUAAGAAAAUAAUUGCCCUCCCACUAACCUUUUUGUAAACACAUGACUCUUCCUCACAUUUAACAAACUCAAACUUUUCGAUUGUCUUAUUAAAAUGAAUGUUCCAACUUCUAGAUGCUUGUUUCAAUCUAUAUAUAGAUCAUUGCAACUUACAAACUUCAUUACAACCAGCCAAUGAUGUGAAUCCUUCAGGUUGUGUCAGGUACACUUCCUCUUUCAACUCACCAUUAAGGAAAGUUGUUUUCACAUCCAUUUGUCAUAUCUCAUAAUCAUAGUAUGUUGUUAUGGAAAGUAGAAUCCGAAUUGUUUUGAGCAUUGCCACAGGAGGAAAUAUUUCGUCAUAAUCUAUUCCUUCUUGUUGACGAUAUCCUUUAGUAACAAGGUGAGCUUUAUAGGUCUCGACCUUUCCAUCUGCUCGAAUCUUUUUCUUGUAAACUCAUUUACAUCCAAUUGGUUUUAUAUCCUUUGAAUCUUUAACUAAAGUCCAUACUUUGUUGAUCUUCAUUGAUUCUAUUUCAGAUUCCAUGGUUUUUUUCCAUUUGUUGCAAUCCGAGCUUCUCAUGGCCUCUUCAUAGCUCUUAGGGUCAUCAUCAUUAUAAUAAACCUCAUUUGACAUGUCAUUUUGCACCAUUAAGUUUAAUUUAUCAGGUGUACAAUGCAUUCGAGUAGAUCUUCUAAGAGGUUCUUGUGUUGGGUUCAAAGGUUGCAGCAAUUGUUCUAAGAUUGGUUCAUUAACUUCUUCUUGAACAACGACUUGUUCUUGAACAAUUGGUAUCAGAGCCAUGGGUCUUUUGUAUUUAAAUUAUAUUAUACAAAACUUUGAAAAGGUUUCAAUUUUUAUUUACUUAUACGUAAUGCUGCCUAUUAUAAUUGCAUGAUUACAUUGUCAAAUCAAAUUAAUUUUUUUCUCUUCUUAAUUUAGCUUCAUCCAAAUCACUAAAAUUACUCAUCUUCUCCCUAAUAAACUCCUUUAUGCGACACCCUGGAAAUUCAUGACUAGGAAUUAUUAUAUGUUUGUGUGGACAUAUAGUGUGAUAGCUCUAAAAAUGAAAAAACCCAAUUUGUUUACUUCAAGUGCGAUUAAUUAGGAACCUAGUGUGCCCUUUAAUUAUGACAAAAAAAAAUUGUUAGACUCAAAUUAAGCAUGAUUUAGACCAAAGUCAAAUACGAUCAACCAAAAAUUUGUUAGACUCAAAUUUAAUUAAGACAAGGGAUUUGGUCAACUUAUUAUUAACAACAUACUAACAAAUGUUGGACAUUUUAGUGUAAUUGAUCUCUUUAUUAUGUUAAAAUAAGAGUGCACGCUUGUUUUAAUGUAAUAAUGAGAUGUUCGGUUUAGGCAAAUUUUGGAAGUUACAUGGAAGUUAGAUGUUCGGUUUAGGCAAAUUUUGGAAGUUACAUGAAAGUUACUAAAACUUCCAUCAACAGUUGAAAGUUACAUGGAAGUUACUAAAACUUCCAUAAACCGCAAAAAAAAAACCACCUGUUCUUUGAUCAUAAAUAAUCAUUCUGGUUCAGAAAGCAUAACGGUGUGACAAAACAUACAAGACCAAAACAAAACUCUUGAAUUAUAAUCUUCUGAUUUUAUCCGAUUGAACAAUUUUGGUUGAAUCCCGAAAUUUGAUUCAAUCUGAAAGUGUUAUACACGACUUCAGAUUUAUCCAGUAUUAUCUCGAUUUUCAAAUUAACCAACAAAAGAUUGAAUCAAAUCUUUCGAGAUGAUGAACGAUAGUUCGAAUAAGCUUAGUGUUUAAUGUUCCUUUAAUUAAGCUACUAAUUUUUUUUUAUCCAUACGAUGCACGGGUAAAUAGAGUGUUUGAGAAUCUUUAUUUUGUAUAUAUUUUGACAACAAAUAACAAUCUAUAUAGAAUUAUCGUAUUUUGAGAACAAAUAACACAUGAAAAUGUUGGUAAAAUAAGGACACAUGAGACUAUUUAAAACAAAUAACAUUCUCUUUGGUUAAUUUCACCUUUUUUUCUCUGUUUCAUAAAUGAAUAACAAAUACCGGAAAAAAAUUACUCAAAUAAUGAUAACAACAGUUAAAUGCCGAAUCCUUCACUCAUAUAAGACAUUUGCAAAACAACCUGAUGAAAGAAAAAGUGAAAAAAUUAUUUCAAUGAAUAUGCUCUAAAUCGUACUCAUAAUAUUAAUAUUUUCUUAAUUGUAGAAUAAAAUGCAUCAUAAUAUUUUUCAAAAUUUAUCAUAGUUAAAAUAAAUAGAAAAUAAUGAAAUGUAGCAAUAUUGGUAAACUAUUAUGAUAUUAAAAACUAUAGACCGGGAGAAAUUUAUAGGAGUUUCCAUUUGGAUUGAUCCUCAUACUAUAUUUGUGUGUGAGAGUAUUUGCAUUGUUCUAUCAAUAAACAACAACAAUUAAAUAUUAAAUUGUGAACAAAUGCAAUAUUUGUAUUUUUAUUUGAAUAGAUUAAUAAAUUUAUAGUAAACAAACUUUAACUUUGAAUUAAUUUUGCACGUUAAUUUAACAUCAUAUUUAAAAUUAUCUUAAUCGUUAUAUUAAACACUAUUUUUUUGAAGAACCGUAUAUUAAAAUAUUAUUAAUUUAGUAAAUACUUUAAGUACACUGUUUAUGUUAGUUACACGAUAUCUAUUUUAGGAGAAAUAAUAUAUUAGUCAUAAGUUGAUUAGUUAUUAUUACAAUUGUUUUUUAACUUAAUUAUUUGUUUAGUUUAAUUAAUCAAGCUAGGAUAAAAAAAUCUAUUCACGGAUUUUUUUUUACUUAAUAAUAUAAUCUUGCAAAUAUAAUCAGAUAUUAGUUACACUGAUUCCAAAUAGGGCACCCCAACAUAGUUAUCACAACACCAACAUCAUUAUCCCAUAUCUUCUUGUACUAACACUCGGCAAAUCUCAUGAAUAUAUCCAUCUUUUUUUUUUUUUUUCUUUUUGAAUAUUCCCUUGCAAUAAAUGGCACUAGUAACAACUGCUCCCUCUGAGAAAAAACCCAAGACAACUAGUGUCUUUUACACUUGGCAAUAGCAUAACUGCAUAAGGCCAUCGAAUUGUAAAAAAGGAUAAUAACUCAAUAAGAACAAUUAGAUUUAAGGAGAAAUUGUGUCAUACUUAUAUAUGUUAUGUUUAUCCAGUUUAAUUAGUGGCAAACAUGAAUCACAUGAUUCAGUUAACUAUCUUAGAACUUGAGAUAAAAUGGAACAAUUAGUCAAAUACACAAGGCAAAGGAAAAAAUAUUUUUUUUUAAAAACAAAUUUUGUGAAAUUUUUAAAUUAAUUAUCAAAAUGGGUAGAUUUCGAAACAAUUACAAAAAUGGGUAAGUCAUCUUUUGAAAGAUGAUUUAUUUAUACUUUCAAAACAUGGUUUCAUUUUUCCAGUUUUUUUAUAUCCGUCUCAAAUUGCUUUUUUAGCUACCACAAAAUGGGAGGUUUAUUUGUUUUUGCUUGACGAAGAAAUUUGUGGCAAUUAAUAAACAUGACAACAGGGUAGGACAAGGAAGAGUAUUGCCUCCCUAGUCCCCGAUCUCAACUCCCCAACAUGUUCCCAUAUUUGUCUCUGAUAUCUGAUGGGUUGAAAUUUGUUACCUCACUUUCAUACCUGUUAGGUAUCAAGCAUUUCGUCCCCAGUUCAAAUUUGUAAAAUAUUUUUUUUUGUAAAAAAGUUAUAUUAAAAAUUUAAUUUUAGAAAAAAUAAAUUGAUUGUUACAUAUUUAUUUUUAACUACUUAUAUAUCAAUAAAUUCAUUCCAACACACAUGUCUACAAAAAUUGUCAAGAAAAGAAUCUUAAAUUAUGUAAAAAUUCUAAAAUAAAAUUAACAAGUAAUAAAAAAAUUUAAUAAUUUCAUCAUUGGGGCGAGUACAGGACGAGUACAAGGUAGAUAGUGACAUUCUCAUCCACGACCCCAAACCCGAUUAAAAAAGUCGGGUAAUCCCCGAACCCGUACCUGAUCAACUUGGGUAUUUCCCGUCAAAGUUAGGACGGGUUCAGACGGGUACCCACGAGUACAAGUUUCUUUGCCAUGCCUAGCGGUUAAAGAAGUAAUUUGUGGUAACUUUUAUCCUCCAUAAUUGUUUUUAAAAAAAUAUGGAAAGAGAAAUCAUGUUCCCAAAACAUGAAUUUAGUAUAUAUGAAAUCGUCUUUCAAAAGACAACUUAUCCAUUUUUUUUCUUUUUUCAUUUUGGUAAUUAAUUGAAAAAAUUACACAACUUUGGUGAGAAAAAACCGUGAAGGGGAUACAUAUUGUAUGUCUAGGGUCCAUAAAAUACAUAUUGUAUUGUCCGGUGUAACCCAUUCAUUCAUAUCUUGUUCAUGUGUAGAGAAACUUAAGCUUUUUGCGUCUUUUUUAAAUAAUGAUCUAUGGUAUAAACCCCUACUAGUGGUUCUAUGUUAACUUCUAAUGUGUGUUUGAAUUGUCAUGUGGAAAUUUUUGGUAGAAUAUUCUUGAUUGAUCUGAUUUGUUUGCCUUUGAGCCAAAUUGAUGUUAUUUUGGGUAUGGACUAGUUAUCUUCCAACCAUGUCUAGUUAAAGUGUUUUGAUAAAACUUUGGUGUUUGAUGACUCUAGAGUGAGUAAGGAUAUGAUGUUUAUCUCUACCAACCAAGUUGUGACACUUUAAAAAAAGAUGCUCAAGUGUACAUGAUCCUGUCUAACCAGAGAGUAGAGACAAAGGUUUCCAUGGGUUACCUCUAUAUGGUCAGAGAAUUUCUUGAAGUGUUCCUUGAGGAUAUAUCCAGUUUACCACCUGAGAGAGAGAUAGAGUUUUCCAUAGACCUGGUACCUCGUGCUAGACACAUGUCCAUAGCCCCUUAUAAGAUGUCUCUUGUAGAGUUAGUCGAGCUUAAGAAAUAAUUAGAGGAGUUGUUGGAUAAGCAGUUUAUGAAACCAAGUGUGUCCUCAUGGGGAGCACCAAUGUUGUUAGUAAAGAAGAAAGAUGGAAACAUGAGGUCGUGUGUAGACUACCAUCAGUUGAAUAAGGUGACAAUCAAGAAUAAGUACCCUUUGCCUAGGAUAGAUGACCUUAUGGACCAAUUGGUAGGAACUUGUGUGUUUAGCACAAUAAACCUUAGGUCAGGUUACCAUCAAAUAUGAGUGAAGUCUGAGGAUAUUUCGAAGACUGCUUUUAGGAACUAUUAUGGUCACUACGAGUAUCUAGUCAUGCCCUUCGGUGUGACUAACGUUCUUGGUGUGUUUAACACGAAUAGAGUCGUUCACCCUUACCUUGAUAAUUUUGUGCUAAUAUUCAUAGAUAAUAUUUCAGUAUACUCCAAGACUAGAGAGGAACGUGAGGAGCACUUGAGGAUUGUGUUGCAGACCCUUAGGGACCGACAACUUUAUGCUAAGUUGUCCAAGUGUGAGUUUUGGUUGGAGAAAGUUAGUUUCCUAGGGUAUGUGAUAUCUCAAGGGGGUAUAGUUGUAGACCCCUCUAAGAUAGAAGCUUUCCCUGAGUGGGAGAGUCCUAAGUCUGGUUUUGAGAUUAAGAGUUUUCUGGGUUUAACAAGAUAUUACCAAAGAUUCAUAGAAGGUUUCUCCAAGUUAGCUAUACCUUUGACCAAGCUGACUCAUAAGGGUUAAGCUUUUGUGUCGGAUGCCCAAUGUGAGCAUAUUUUCCAAACCUUUAAAGAGAAGUUGAUGAACUCUCCCAUGGUAGUUUUGCCUAACCCGAGAGAACCCUUUGAAGUGUAUUGUGAUGCAUCCAAGAUGGGUUUAUGAGGAGUGUUGGUGCAAAAUGGCCAAGUAGUGGCCCAUGCUUCUAGACAACUCAAGACUCUUGAAAGGAAUUAUCCCACCCAUGAUCUGGAGUUGGCUAUUGUAGUUUUUGCCAUUAAGAUAUGGAUGCAUUACCUGUUUGGCUCCAAGUUUGAAGUGUUUAGCGAUCAUAAGAGCCUUAAGUACAUGUUUAGCUAGAAAGAGAUGAACAUGCGUUAGAGGAUAUGGUUAAAGUUUCUUAAGGAUUAUGAUUUUGAGCUUAGCUACAAUCCUGACAAAGCUAAUGUAGUGGUUAAUGCCUAGAGUAGGAAAUCGUUACAUAUAUUUGCCUUGAUGGAUUGAGAGUUAGAUCUUCUAGAACAAUUUAGAGACCUUGGCCUUGCGUGUGAGGUCACCCUUAAUAGUGUGAGACUUGGAUCUUUGAGGAUUACUAGUGAGUUGUUAGGAGAGAUCAGAGAGGGCCAAAAGUUUGAUCCUUUCCAAAAGACCUAGUUAAAAGCUAUAGUGUCAGGGAAAGAUAGUAGUUUAAAUGUGAGAUCAAAUGUAUUAGGAUCUGAAGAUAAUGUUUUGGUGGCCCAACAUGAAGAGAUAGGUUAGUGAGUUUAUGUAUGCAUGUAUAGUUUGUUAGAAGGAUAGGAUGAAACAUCAAAGACCUUUAGGUAAGUUACAUGCCUUAAAGAUACCCCAAUGAAAGUGGGACAAUAUCUCCAUGGAUUUUCUUGUAGGAUUACCUAGGACCCUAGAGGUUUAGAUUCUAUCUGGGUUAUUGUUGACAGACUGACCAAGUCUGCUCACUUUAUUCCCAUUAAUAUCAUAUUUUCUUUGGAGAAGUUGACCUCCCUGUAUAUUAGUCAGAUUGUCAUAUUACAUGGGGUGCCAUCUAGCAUAGUGUUUGAUAGAGAUCCAAGAUUUACCUCUAGAUUUUGGGAGAGUCAUAACAAAGCAUUGGGAACCAAGCUUAGGCUAAGUUCAGCCUACCACCCUCAGACUGAUGGCUAGAUUGAAUGGACUAUUCAUUCGCUAGAGGACCCUUUUGAGGGCGUGUGUCUUAUAACAAAAGAAAAGUUGAGAGAAUUUUUUGUCAUUGAUAGAAUUCACUUAUAACAAUAGUUUUCAUUCUACCAUUGACAUGGCUCCUUAUGAAGAUCUAUAUGGUAGAAGGUGUAGGACACCCUUAUGCUGGCUAGAACCAGGAGAGAACCUCACCUUAGGACCUAAAGUGGUACAACAAACCACUUAGAAUGUCAAGAUGAUCCAAGAGAGGAUGGGGACUUCUCAGAGUAGGCAGGAGAGCUACUAGGAAAAGAGGAGGAAAGACUUAGAAUUCGAGGUUGGUGAUCAUGUAUUCUUGAGAGUCACUUUGUGGAUCAGGGUUGGUCGAGCUUUGAAAUCCUAAAAACUCACACCUCGAUUUAUCAGUUUUUUCCAUAUUCUCAAAAGAGUUGGCUUUGUGGUAUACCAAAUUGCAUUACCUAUGUCCUUUUCUAACCUUUACAAUGUCUUUCAUGUGUAUCAACUCAAUAAGUAUAUCGAUGAUCCAUCUCAUGUGAUCAAAUUGGAUGACGUACAAGUGAAGGAGAAAUUGACAUAUGAAACAUUGCCUUUGAGGUUAAGAUAGGAAAACAAAACACUUAAGAGAGAAAGAGAUUUUGUUGGUCAAGGUGAUCUAAUGAGGUACAUAUGGAGAUGACGCAACUUGGGAACUAGAGAGUCAUAUAUGAGUGUGCUAAGCAUAAUUCCUAACCCGAGAGGGAAAUUCACUUAGUAAGACGAUCACGCUAAGCAUAAUUCCCAACUUUAUAGGGAAAUUCGCUUAGUGAUACCAGCACACUAAGCGCAAUUCCAACACGAGGAGGUAACUCACUCAGCGCGAGAAGUCGUGCUUAGGGUCAAAAGUGAAGUUUUGCUUAGCGUGACAAGCCCACUAAGCAAGAUCUGCAGAUUAUAAAUACGUUCUUUAGCAUGAUAAACAUGAUUUUUACCCCCCUCUCUAAACUCUGUCCAAAAACCCUAUAAACUAAUCUUCCAACACCCAUGACCAUCGGUGGUCACCACUGGCUGUCGUUGCUUGCCGUUAGACCACUGUACAGAGAUGAGCACUUUAAUGAGAGCAAAAUCCUCAAAAUCCACUUCAAGGAAUCGGUAGAGAAACUAGCUCUCAACUCUUUAUUUUGUAGUUCUCUGAGGUAACCUUGACUUCUAUGCCUUUCUCCUAGUUAGUUUGAGCUUCUCUUAUUACCUCUUAUGUUUUGGGUACCGUAAUAAGAUGUUUUUACACUUCCUUUAAAAAUCCCUUGAAAAUGAGACGUUGUAAAAGUUACAUUUUUAUUAAAUUGAUGUUGUUUUUGUGACCUUCGUUGAACCCUAGUCACAUUGGCAUGAUUGAAAUUUCAACAUGAUGUCUCUUUGUAGUAGAACACGAAACACCCCUUAGCAUUUUUAUUUGACAGAGGUAUUUGACCCCGAAUGUUGAUAUUAACCUUGUUUUUGAAAUCUAUACUAAAUUUCCUUCUAUUUGGUAUAUAGAACUCUCCGUUUGGACCAAUAGUCAUGAAUGUGAGAGACCUCCGAGCGAACUAGAGAGGAGCUGAUGGAGAGAUAUCAAUAGGUGAGAGGAGUUUGUUAUAAUUUAUGGCUUUGAUACCAUAAUUGGGACCUAAUUAUGGAAUGUAUGUAUGUCCCUGUGCAUGCUGGUUUUCAAGAAAAAUAAUGUUUUUCAACUAAUGGGAUGUGAUACAUUUGUUAUUGAUGAAUGACAUUGUCGUUUUAUUAGACUUAUGUUGUCUGAAGCCUGGGGGAGUGUGAAUCUCAGGUAUGAAAUUUAUAUGCAUGUAUAUAUGUAUGUGUGUGUGUGUGUGUGUGUGUGUGUGUGUGUGUGUGUGUGUGUGUGUGUGUGUGUGUGUGUGUGUGUGUGUGUGUGUGGAAUGUGAUUAUUGAUGAUGUUGUUAUUGAUGAUAAAAAUUGAUAUGGGAUGAUGUUGGUGUUUAUGAUAAUAUUGAUAGAAAAUGAGGUUGAUAUUGAUGAUGAUAUUAAUAUGAGAUGAUGUUGUUAUUGAUGAUAAUAUUGAUAUGAGAUGAUGUUGUUAUUGUUGAUAAUUUCAUUGAUGUUAGAUGAUGUCGAUGUUAAUAAUGACAUUAAGAUGAAAUGAUGUUGAUGUUGAUAAUGUCAUUGUGAGGAUGUAUGUUGUGUAUGUACAUGAGGGGUGCAGUGACCAAGUUGAAUAUCCCUAGUGGGGGAAAUAGAGUGGUUAAAGAAUUUUAAGCAUCUCUGGAAUUAAGGAGUCGCUUUUAAUUUUUAAUUAUCCAUGUUAGUGCAUUGAUAAUGCUCAUGCGUCAUAUUUCAUACUGCAUGGAAACAGUAUAAACUUUGUUAGUAAGUACUUGUAAUUUUUCAUGAGAGAAAAUAUUUGUACUUGUGGGCAUGUCACUCGAUUUGGAACUCCCUUGUGACUUAGGUUGAUCACUAUGGGGUAAGUUGCAUGUGCACGAUAGGGUGACCUCAACACUUGCUGCCUAAUUUUUCUAAGGUGAGUGUACCGUGGACACGCUCAAGCUAUUUCUUGACGAAUGGUACCACAUUGUAUUUGAGAGUUGAGGUCAGGUGCAUGCAUCAUAUUGAACAUAAUUGAUUGGAAUUGUGGAAAAGUUGAUGACUAGUUGUUAAGUGUGUUGGACUGAUGGAUAUUUCUGUAUGAUUAUGGUAUUUGUUAUUGUUUUCUUGCUAAUCAUGGUCAUUUGGUGUUUGUUGAUUUCUUUUAUAAUAAACUCACCAUUGCAACUUUGUAUCGUGCGACUGGUACUUGUGAUGAUCGUGAACCUUCAUUCAUGGGAGCAGAUGAACAAUAAUAGAUGACGUGGAGGGAGAUUCUUUUUGUGGGAGCCGCUAAGUCGACGUGAUGAUGUUGAGUCUAUUUUGGGAGAGUUAUGUUUUGUUAAUCAACUCUUAUGUAGUUGAUUUUGUAUUUUUUUUUAUCUGUGGAUGUAAAUCACAUAUUAAGAUAUAUGUAUAAACUAAUUUACGUUCUGUCAUGUGAAUGAUGUAUACUGGAUUAAUAUAUAUAUAUAUAUAUAUAUAUAUAUAUAUAUAUAUAUAUAUAUAUGCACAUUUUCAUUUAAGUAUUUGUGUGUUAUUUGGUAAAAGUAUAUCACAAAAAAUUUACUCUUGUUUUUCAUAAAUAAAUUAAUUGAUGCAAUCCUACCCCGCAAGGGCAUUGGGUAGAAAACUCCAAGUAGAUUGGGCUAGAGAUCCAAGGGAAGGCCCUAGGGUUCUCAUGAGCCUUAGGGUAGAUUUCGAGUCCAUGGGCUAAGUAUGAGCCCGCUUAUCUUUGUAAACAUUAGAAUAGGUAUUUCCUUCGUCUGGGCCUUGUAUUUUGGCCAUUCUAGUAGUAUAGGGUUUUAGCCUUGUAUUUCAGGGCAUUUUGAGUAGUCUUUGUAGUAAGGACUUUUUUUUUUGUAUUUUCAUGUUUUUUGUCAUAGGGGUGAGCUUAGCUAUUAUAGGGGGUGUGUAGCUAAGCUCUAGCUUCUCAUCUCAAGGAGGUGAACUUAGCUAUUAGAGAGGUAUGUGUAGCUAAGCUCAAGCAUCUUUAGGAAUCUUCUUAAGGAAGCUUCACAAGGAGGUGAACUUAGUUAUGAGAGGGGUGUGUGUAGCUAAGCUCUAGCUUCUCAAGGAAGUUUUCUCAAAGAAGCUUCUCAAGGAAGUUUUCUCAAGAAAGCUUCUCAAGGAAGCUACCUAGUCUAUAAAUAAAAGCAUGUGUAACACUUGUUGUAACUUUGAUGAAUGAGAGUCUUGUGAGACACAACUCAAAGUUCAACUUCUCUCCCUUUUUCUUCCUUCAAUUUCGUGCUCCCCCCUCUCUCUUUCUCUCCCUCUUUCUUUUCCUCCAUUGAAGCAUCCUCUCUAAGCUUCUUAUCCAAGGCUCAUCUUGGUGGUGAAGCUCCUUCUUCCAUGGCUUAUUCCCUAGUGGAUGGCGCCUCCUCUCACCUCUUCUCCUUUGUCUUCCGCUGCAUCUCUAUGGUGGAAAAUCACCAUUAAAGGACCUCAUUGAAGCUCAAAGAUCCAGCCUCCAUAGAAGCCCCACAAGCAAGCUUCCAUCAAGUGGUAUCAGAGCACAAGAGCUUCAAGUAGGUGCUCAUUAAACCUCCAGUAAUGAGGCGGAUCAUUACAAGGUUCACAUAAACCAUUGGCCUUGGCUGAUCUAAGUACAUUGUUUAGUCUUCCUAAAGGUAGACUUUGAAGGAGCCAAAGAAUCAGGAAGAUAGGAGGUUGAUGGUGUAGACAUGUGCCUAUGCAAAUAUAAGAAUAAAAACAUUAAUGUCAAUUGCAAAUAUACAAAUUAACUUGAUAUAAAUUGUAAAUAUGCAACAAAAUGAUCUUAAUUAUACAAUAACAUAAAUAUUAAUUAUGUAAAACACAAGGGUCACAAAAAUCAAGUGUUAGAUCCUAGUUUUCAUGACUAACACCACUUAUUCUUUCUUAUAAAACCACUGACAAUUUGGAGCUACAUAGAUCUUGGACAUAAAACACCUAUUUUGAUUGUUCUACCAUGAUGAAAGACUCAUCCAUAUAAGCAACAUUAUUAAACUCUACCAAUGUAAAUCCCAUACCCAUUAACCCUCUUACACUUAAAAAUAGGUGUUCUCCUAGAUUUGUUUCAUUACUCCAAAGUAAGGCAUGGAAGCCAUAAUGGGGUUGUUAUCUGAUGCAUUAGAAUAAUGUCCAGAAUGAACGUCACUACUAAUCCCACUAUUUUGCAUUGUACUAUUCUCAUCAUGUGACUUUGUGUAGAAGGAAUAAUUGUUGAUAUCAUAUACCUUCCAAGUUAGUACAUUUCAUUUUGGUCUAUAUGAUAACAUUUUUAAUGUUUCAAAAGCAUUGUCAUCACCAAAGAUUGUAUCUUUAUACUAGUUUAUGAAAGUGUUAUUAUACUCUUGCAACACUUGUUUUUUUUUUGUCAUUUUUUGGUUGAUUAACCUUCAAAAAUUCUUUGUAAGUAGCUAUGUACGUGGCAACCUCUUCGGUGUUAUUCAAUAUGUACAAAUGUGCUUAAUUCAGUUCCUCAUGACCCAUAGUUACAACCUCAAAACCCUGUGAACCCUUACUUCCCCAUUUGUUGUCAUGACGAGACUCAACAAACCCCACAGAUUUUGGCUUUUCCAUGUAUUCUGAACAAAACUCUAUAGGUUCUUCUACAAUGUACCUUUCAACAAUGGAUGCUUCUGGACAAUAUUGGUUCUUGGUAUGCCCUUUUAAGACCUUCAUGUAUCGCUUGAUUGAGUACAUCCACCUUAAAUAAACAGGCCCACAUAGUCUAAUCUCCCUCACUAAAUGAACAAUUAAAUAAACCAUGAUGUGAAAAAAUGAAAGAGGAAAAUGCAUCUCCAGAUGACAAAGGAUAUUAGCAGCCUCAUUUUUCAAGUCAUCAAACUUUUAAGGGUUAAUGACUUUGCUACAUGUAGCAUUGAAGAAAAAUCACAUACGGGUUAUGGCAACCCCGACUUUAUUAGGCAGGAUACCUUGUAUUGCCAUGACCAACAAUUGUUGUAUUAAGUCGUAGCAAUCACCAGACUUCAAGCCUACUAAUUUAAGAUCCUUCACUCAUACAAGACUCCUAAUAUUUGAAGAGUAUCCUUGUGACAUUUUCACGUUUUGUAAACACUGAUAUAAACUUUUUUUUGACAAUAUAUUACAUGCUAAGGGAAAAUAUGUCCGUUGACUUUUUAUUGUUAUCAGAUGCAACUACUCACAUAUACACAUGUCAACCAAAUCUUGACGAGUAUUCAAAUCAAUUUUUGUCUUGCCUUUAAUAUUAAUAAUCAUGAUGAUUAAACUAUCAUAGAAAAUUUUCUCCACAUGCAUCACAUCAAUACAAUGUCUAAAUCUAGGACGAACUAAUAUGGAAGAUUAAAGAAUAUUGACCUCUUCUUUCAUAUGUUUUUUUUUUUCAUUUGCAUCCUUCUUUUGGGUCAUUCCAAAGAUAGUACAUAUGUCCUCCACCCGCUCAUAAACUUUGUUUCUCGAUAAGGGUAUUAGGGAAAAUCUAGACUCCUAUAUUCCAUUAAAAGCUUUUUUCAAUUGACGACAGGGUGAUAUUCUUUAAGAAAUCUCUGAUGCCUAGUAUAGACUGUCUUUUUUCCAUGCUUCAGUUGCACGAAGCUUAUCUGUUUUUCACAAAUUGGGCAUGCACAAUGCCCUUUAACACUAUAUCCACUCAAAUUCCUAUAUGUUGGAAAGUCAUUAAUGGUACAAAAUAUCAUUACAUGCAACUUGAAGGUCUACUGGCAGUACCCAUCAAACAUGUCAACCUGACCCAUAACUUUCUUAAGUCUUCAAUCAAGAGACUUAGAUAAACAUCGAUGUCAUUUCCUGGUUGUCUUGGACCCGAAAUCAUCAUAGACAACAUAAUGUAUUUUCUCUUCAUGUAUAAUCAAGGAGACAUUGCAAGUCAUUAGCAAAACAGGUCAUGAAUUGUGAUUAGUGCUUAAGUUACAAAAAUGAUUCAUUCCAUUUAAAGCAAGUCCAAGCCUAAGGUUUCUUGCCUCCUUCCCAAAAUUAGAAAACAUGGAAUUUAUUUUCUUCCACUAGGGAGAAUCAUCCAGAUGCCAAAGCAAUCUAUCAUUUUUUUCUCCCAUUUGCAUGCCAUGUAAGGUUUUUUGCAUCAUCUCAGUUAGCAAAUAAUCGCUUAAACCUUGGAAUUAUUGGAAGCUACCAACAUUGGUGGGGCUUUCUUUGUGCUUUAUGUUGGACAAGCGGCCUCAAUUAUCUUAAGAAAGGGUGAAUUAAUUUCCCACUAACAAACUUUUAACCCCCUUCUAAAUGAUAGGCUUAGAAUGCAGAAGAAGCAGCAAUCAAUUUAAUAAUGUUCUUUAAACAUGCAAGACAAAAUUGUUUGCAACAAAAUAAAUGAGAUAAGGGAAGAGAGAAAUGCAAACUCAAUUUAUACUGGUUCGGUCACUUCCCGUGCCUACGUCCAGUACUCAAGCAAAUCACUUGAGAUUUUCCACUAUCUUUGUAAAUCUCCUUUUACAAAGUUUGAACCACACAGGGACAACUCUUCCCUUGUGUUCAGAAUUCCUUACAACUUAAGAGACCCUCGGUCCCUUAAUCAAUCUCUUUGAAUAAGAAGAAAAAAGAGGAAUUCUCUCUUUAAGAGAAGGAUAUUACAAUUGAAGAUCUUGUAAGAAUCCUUAUAGAUUUUUGCAAGUGUUUGGCCAAGGAUUUCUUUUGAGAGAGCAUUUGACAAUAAAGUUCUCUUGGAAUAUCUCUCUCGUACUUUUUGAAGUCAGACACACACAUAUAUAUAGGCCCUUUUCAAAAUGUUUUAAAGAGAUAUGUAUUUGCAAAAAGUUUUUUUUUGAAUUUUUUCACUGGUAAUCAAUUACAGGUUUAUGGUAAUUGAUUUGACAGUUAUAUUUUGAAGGGUCAUGGCUUUUGAACUUGAAUUUCAAAAUUUCCAUUACUGGCAAUCGAUUACAGGUUCAAAAAUCAAAUUCAAAACCCUUUUUUAAUAGUUAUUUUUCAAACUUCCCUUCUUGUAAUCGAUUACAUUGCCUGGUAAUCGAUUACCAGUGCCUUGGAUGACUUUGAAACCCUUUGUUUUGAGGCAAGGCUUGAUCUUGAAGCAAGACUUUGUUUGUUGAAGCAAUCUUGUAUUAAUCUUGAAGCAGUGCUUAUCCUUUGAAGCGGCCUUGUUUGAUUCUUCUUUGGCAUCAUCAAAACCAUGUAUACAUACAUUCACACUUUCCUCAUUACUAUAGUCGUUAUCCUUCACUUUUUAUCGCCCACACUUGGGGCGCUUUUGCAUUUCUGCAAACUCAUUUCUAUACAAUAUGCAAUCAUUAGGGUAUACAUGUAUUUUCAAGUUCUCCAUACCCAAAUGACAGUAUAUUCUUUGCCUCAUAGUUUUUUUUAGCAACAUGUUUUGGUCUGGAAGCAUCUUCUCCAACACAUCAAGCAAUUCAGUGAAGCUUUUAUCACUCCACCCAUAUCUUGCCUUUAAAUUGACCAAAUCUAACACUGUUGAUAACCAUGUGAAGUUUGUGCAUCCCGAAUACAAAGGCUUCUUCGAAUCACUUCAAAAUAUAUCAUACAAAGGUGCAUGUGCUUGCUGAAAAAUACUCUUGUAAAACCUCCCAAAUCAUGUCCUCUAAUCGAUCUCCCAUGUCUACAAAGGCUUCUUUACUUUGUUCUUCAACGUAGUUUUCCUUUUCUUCAACUCUAUCAUUGAUAAGAGCUCUACAUUUAGAAGCAUAAGGACCAAACUUGCCACAAUUGUAAAAUUUCACAUUUGACUUGUCAUACCUUGAUCUUGAUUUGCCUUGGCCAUGACCUCUUGUUGAGAUUUCUCCUCUUUGAAAUUUAUUGAGCUUUGCCCAUCUUGUCCAUGACCUCGUCCUCUUCCUCAAUCUUCACUACAACCUCAUCCUUGUUGGCUUCUAUUAUUUUGACUACUUUCUUCGUUGGUUGAAUAAACUUGUGUCCGAAGUAGUUGUUCCAUGAUCCCUUCCUUUAUUUUAUAAGCUUGUAAUGAGCCCAAAAUUUGCUCAAUGGUUAUAGCCUACAAAUCUUUUGUUUCGUCGAUGAUGGCAACAAUAUGUUCAAACUUUGAAUCUAACGGUCUAAGAAUUUUCUCCAUAAUUUUUAGAUAAUCAAUAUUUUCACCAUUUCUCUUAAGUUGAUUGGUGAUUGUUAAAAUUAUAGAGAAAUAGUCGGAGAUGACUUCAUUUUAUUUCAUAUGAAAUGUUUCAAACUUGGCUCUUAAUGUUUGAAGACAUACCUUCUUGAUUGGAUUCGCUUCCUUGUAUAUGGUUUGAAGCAUAUCUUAUGCUUCUUUUGCCGACUUUCCUUUUGAAACCUUCUCAAAAGAAUUGUCAUCUAAUCCUUGAUAGAUUAGAUAGAAAGCCUUCUUGUCUCUCUUUCUUGAGUCUCUCAAACCAUCCCUUUGAGUUUGAGAGAGACUACCCUUAUUCCCUGGCUCGAUGUGACCUUUCUCUAUUAUCUCCAAAACAUCUUGUGUGCCAAGGAGAGCCUUCAUCUUCAUGCUCCUAUUGUCAUAGUUGCUCUUGUUGAGCAUUGGAACUUGGAAUGGAACCAUGCUGCUACUCGCCAUCUCCUUAUAAAGGACCUUCUAGCUUUGAUGCCUAUUUGUUGAAAUGAAAUUUUAGUAGUAUUGGAAAUAUUUGAGAAUGGGAGAGAUUAUAAAUUUUGGAAGAAGAGACUAUUUGUAUAAAUGAUUCUUGAUUUUUGGCUUGAUUUGAUUUGAUACAAACUCUAAUACAUCAUCCCUAUUUAUAUUAUAGGCUCCUCCUAAACCAAUGGUUAGGAUUUUGUCAACACACACUUAAUCUACUGAUUGCAAACGAUUCUCUAUAGCUUUCUUCGUAGAUACAAUCUUACUCACAAAUUAUAGAUCAUUCUAUAUGCUACUUUAGAAUUAUCAUUUAAAAUAGAUUUCUCUAGAACAUUCUUGUAGAAUUUGGCCUAAGGAUGUUUCUAGAAAUUGGGCUUUUAGACUAAUAAGGCUCAAAAUCAAGUUUAUAUUUCAACAUCUCAUGGGUGAAUAUACAUAUACUAAAUAUUAUCCAUCGGGGGUUUGUCUUUGGUGGAAACUUGAGAAGAAGCAUCAGUGAGCUGGUUUGAUAACAUCACACUCAAUUUCAAAAGAUUUUUGAAAGUGUUAUGGAAGAGUGUGUAUAAAUGUCGAAGGCGGCUAUGCCAAGUGUGGUGAAGAUCAUACANNNNNNNNNNNNNNNNNNNNNNNNNNNNNNNNNNNNNNNNNNNNNNNNNNNNNNNNNNNNNNNNNNNNNNNNNNNNNNNNNNNNNNNNNNNNNNNNNNNNNNNNNNNNNNNNNNNNNNNNNNNNNNNNNNNNNNNNNNNNNNNNNNNNNNNNNNNNNNNNNNNNNNNNNNNNNNNNNNNNNNNNNNNNNNNNNNNNNNNNNNNNNNNNNNNNNNNNNNNNNNNNNNNNNNNNNNNNNNNNNNNNNNNNNNNNNNNNNNNNNNNNNNNNNNNNNNNNNNNNNNNNNNNNNNNNNNNNNNNNNNNNNNNNNNNNNNNNNNNNNNNNNNNNNNNNNNNNNNNNNNNNNNNNNNNNNNNNNNNNNNNNNNNNNNNNNNNNNNNNNNNNNNNNNNNNNNNNNNNNNNNNNNNNNNNNNNNNNNNNNNNNNNNNNNNNNNNNNNNNNNNNNNNNNNNNNNNNNNNNNNNNNNNNNNNNNNNNNNNNNNNNNNNNNNNNNNNNNNNNNNNNNNNNNNNNNNNNNNNNNNNNNNNNNNNNNNNNNNNNNNNNNNNNNNNNNNNNNNNNNNNNNNNNNNNNNNNNNNNNNNNNNNNNNNNNNNNNNNNNNNNNNNNNNNNNNNNNNNNNNNNNNNNNNNNNNNNNNNNNNNNNNNNNNNNNNNNNNNNNNNNNNNNNNNNNNNNNNNNNNNNNNNNNNNNNNNNNNNNNNNNNNNNNNNNNNNNNNNNNNNNNNNNNNNNNNNNNNNNNNNNNNNNNNNNNNNNNNNNNNNNNNNNNNNNNNNNNNNNNNNNNNNNNNNNNNNNNNNNNNNNNNNNNNNNNNNNNNNNNNNNNNNNNNNNNNNNNNNNNNNNNNNNNNNNNNNNNNNNNNNNNNNNNNNNNNNNNNNNNNNNNNNNNNNNNNNNNNNNNNNNNNNNNNNNNNNNNNNNNNNNNNNNNNNNNNNNNNNNNNNNNNNNNNNNNNNNNNNNNNNNNNNNNNNNNNNNNNNNNNNNNNNNNNNNNNNNNNNNNNNNNNNNNNNNNNNNNNNNNNNNNNNNNNNNNNNNNNNNNNNNNNNNNNNNNNNNNNNNNNNNNNNNNNNNNNNNNNNNNNNNNNNNNNNNNNNNNNNNNNNNNNNNNNNNNNNNNNNNNNNNNNNNNNNNNNNNNNNNNNNNNNNNNNNNNNNNNNNNNNNNNNNNNNNNNNNNNNNNNNNNNNNNNNNNNNNNNNNNNNNNNNNNNNNNNNNNNNNNNNNNNNNNNNNNNNNNNNNNNNNNNNNNNNNNNNNNNNNNNNNNNNNNNNNNNNNNNNNNNNNNNNNNNNNNNNNNNNNNNNNNNNNNNNNNNNNNNNNNNNNNNNNNNNNNNNNNNNNNNNNNNNNNNNNNNNNNNNNNNNNNNNNNNNNNNNNNNNNNNNNNNNNNNNNNNNNNNNNNNNNNNNNNNNNNNNNNNNNNNNNNNNNNNNNNNNNNNNNNNNNNNNNNNNNNNNNNNNNNNNNNNNNNNNNNNNNNNNNNNNNNNNNNNNNNNNNNNNNNNNNNNNNNNNNNNNNNNNNNNNNNNNNNNNNNNNNNNNNNNNNNNNNNNNNNNNNNNNNNNNNNNNNNNNNNNNNNNNNNNNNNNNNNNNNNNNNNNNNNNNNNNNNNNNNNNNNNNNNNNNNNNNNNNNNNNNNNNNNNNNNNNNNNNNNNNNNNNNNNNNNNNNNNNNNNNNNNNNNNNNNNNNNNNNNNNNNNNNNNNNNNNNNNNNNNNNNNNNNNNNNNNNNNNNNNNNNNNNNNNNNNNNNNNNNNNNNNNNNNNNNNNNNNNNNNNNNNNNNNNNNNNNNNNNNNNNNNNNNNNNNNNNNNNNNNNNNNNNNNNNNNNNNNNNNNNNNNNNNNNNNNNNNNNNNNNNNNNNNNNNNNNNNNNNNNNNNNNNNNNNNNNNNNNNNNNNNNNNNNNNNNNNNNNNNNNNNNNNNNNNNNNNNNNNNNNNNNNNNNNNNNNNNNNNNNNNNNNNNNNNNNNNNNNNNNNNNNNNNNNNNNNNNNNNNNNNNNNNNNNNNNNNNNNNNNNNNNNNNNNNNNNNNNNNNNNNNNNNNNNNNNNNNNNNNNNNNNNNNNNNNNNNNNNNNNNNNNNNNNNNNNNNNNNNNNNNNNNNNNNNNNNNNNNNNNNNNNNNNNNNNNNNNNNNNNNNNNNNNNNNNNNNNNNNNNNNNNNNNNNNNNNNNNNNNNNNNNNNNNNNNNNNNNNNNNNNNNNNNNNNNNNNNNNNNNNNNNNNNNNNNNNNNNNNNNNNNNNNNNNNNNNNNNNNNNNNNNNNNNNNNNNNNNNNNNNNNNNNNNNNNNNNNNNNNNNNNNNNNNNNNNNNNNNNNNNNNNNNNNNNNNNNNNNNNNNNNNNNNNNNNNNNNNNNNNNNNNNNNNNNNNNNNNNNNNNNNNNNNNNNNNNNNNNNNNNNNNNNNNNNNNNNNNNNNNNNNNNNNNNNNNNNNNNNNNNNNNNNNNNNNNNNNNNNNNNNNNNNNNNNNNNNNNNNNNNNNNNNNNNNNNNNNNNNNNNNNNNNNNNNNNNNNNNNNNNNNNNNNNNNNNNNNNNNNNNNNNNNNNNNNNNNNNNNNNNNNNNNNNNNNNNNNNNNNNNNNNNNNNNNNNNNNNNNNNNNNNNNNNNNNNNNNNNNNNNNNNNNNNNNNNNNNNNNNNNNNNNNNNNNNNNNNNNNNNNNNNNNNNNNNNNNNNNNNNNNNNNNNNNNNNNNNNNNNNNNNNNNNNNNNNNNNNNNNNNNNNNNNNNNNNNNNNNNNNNNNNNNNNNNNNNNNNNNNNNNNNNNNNNNNNNNNNNNNNNNNNNNNNNNNNNNNNNNNNNNNNNNNNNNNNNNNNNNNNNNNNNNNNNNNNNNNNNNNNNNNNNNNNNNNNNNNNNNNNNNNNNNNNNNNNNNNNNNNNNNNNNNNNNNNNNNNNNNNNNNNNNNNNNNNNNNNNNNNNNNNNNNNNNNNNNNNNNNNNNNNNNNNNNNNNNNNNNNNNNNNNNNNNNNNNNNNNNNNNNNNNNNNNNNNNNNNNNNNNNNNNNNNNNNNNNNNNNNNNNNNNNNNNNNNNNNNNNNNNNNNNNNNNNNNNNNNNNNNNNNNNNNNNNNNNNNNNNNNNNNNNNNNNNNNNNNNNNNNNNNNNNNNNNNNNNNNNNNNNNNNNNNNNNNNNNNNNNNNNNNNNNNNNNNNNNNNNNNNNNNNNNNNNNNNNNNNNNNNNNNNNNNNNNNNNNNNNNNNNNNNNNNNNNNNNNNNNNNNNNNNNNNNNNNNNNNNNNNNNNNNNNNNNNNNNNNNNNNNNNNNNNNNNNNNNNNNNNNNNNNNNNNNNNNNNNNNNNNNNNNNNNNNNNNNNNNNNNNNNNNNNNNNNNNNNNNNNNNNNNNNNNNNNNNNNNNNNNNNNNNNNNNNNNNNNNNNNNNNNNNNNNNNNNNNNNNNNNNNNNNNNNNNNNNNNNNNNNNNNNNNNNNNNNNNNNNNNNNNNNNNNNNNNNNNNNNNNNNNNNNNNNNNNNNNNNNNNNNNNNNNNNNNNNNNNNNNNNNNNNNNNNNNNNNNNNNNNNNNNNNNNNNNNNNNNNNNNNNNNNNNNNNNNNNNNNNNNNNNNNNNNNNNNNNNNNNNNNNNNNNNNNNNNNNNNNNNNNNNNNNNNNNNGGGGGGGGGGGGGCUUAUUGUGUUGAUUCUUGUACUUUUUUUUAAAUUUAUGACAAUUUUUAACCCCCAUAAAUUGCAUUUUAAAAUUUAAAUUAAAAAAUUUCACGUAGGUUCAGAUUUAUUCAAACCUAAUUCCAAGCCAAAGAGUAGUACAUUAAAGUUUUAGAGGAAAAAAAAAAACAAAAUUUUGCAAGGACUAAUCCGAACUAUGAUAACUUUUUAGGGACAAAAAAUAUAUUUUAACCUUAUAUUUUCCUAUCAAGUAGUGCUCAUGAAGUAUCAUCUUAUUUUACUUUCUUCUUUAUAUAAAGUCACACCUUGUGCGUAAUAUGCGAAAAUCAUGAAAUUGUUGCGGGAAGAUAAAAUUGGAGCCAUAAGAGAGUUGGAUGUUAGUUAUUUCAUACGUAUAUUACAUGAUGAUGAUGAUUGAUUCACUCAUAAUGAUUAUGGUGUUUAAUGAUUUAAUCUUGAUAUGAUAUUGAUGAGGUGGUGAUUGUUAUGAUUUUCUUUGUUAUGUGAAUUAUGAGACUUAUGCUUUGUGUAUGAUUUUAACAUAUUAUGUUAUAUGUGUGAUGAUGGUAGAUUAUGCAUACUUUAAUUGAGAAGUUUUAUCUUAUUUUAAUAUACUCAUUUAGCCUUUAAACACAAGAGCUAUGACAUUUAUUUAAAGUUUAACAAUUAAAUUAAACAAAUAAUAUAAAAUAAUCAUAUUAAAUAUUAAUUACAUGAACCAAAUAAAAAUCAUUUGUACUCUCUUGAAGUAUGUCAACAAACGAUACAAAAUCAAAGGAAAUCUUCUAUAUAUAUGAGUCUCAAACAGCGAGUUUUUGUGUCCAUGAUAAAAGUUAAUCUUUAUUUAUACUUUUUCGACUUAAAUAUUCAGUCUAGGAAAGUUAAUAUGAAAUUUUCCAUCAAAUCAGCAUUGUCUUUUUCAAUAUAUACUUUCAAAAAUCAUCAAAAAGACUAGGCUUGGUAGCAACUUAAAUAUGACAAUUCUUAUUUAAAAACAUGUAAAGUGAAAGAGGGGGGGGAUAGAUACAGUAGAGUGAAAGACUUAUUUUUUUAAUUCUUAAAUUAAAUUGCUUAUUUAUUUUAAGUAAGAUUUUUAAGAAAAUAAUUAUUAAUACAUUAGUGAUCGAUUAUUUUUACCCCAAUUUUCUUUUUGGGGGGCGGGGUGGGUGGGGGUUGGGAAACUUCGCUUUUCUUUAAAGAAAAAUUUAAUUAGAUACAUUUUCGAAAACACUCUUAAAAAAUUGAGCAAAUUAUUAUUUUUUUAUACAAGAUCCAAAGGGAAAAAACUAAGUUUUUAAACAAAGUUAGUAAAUAAACUUUUAGAAAAAAUUAAUCGAUCACGGAUAAAUUACACGUCAAUGUUUUAAACAUGAUUCAAAAUAUUAAUAUAACAUUGAUUAAUAUUAAAAAUGAAUUAAAUUUCAUUUUUCUAUAAAAUUAAAUUUUUUGUUGUUGUUACAUAUGAAAAAUUUAUUUAAAGACAAAUAUUUUAUUUAUAAAUUUUUUAAUUGACUGGGUAUUGAUUUUGAUAAUUCAUAUUUUUAUUCUUCCUGCAUGAAUAAUCAAAUUAGGACAAAUUUAUUUGAGUGAUGUUUUUAUAAUCAUCGAAAUUUUAAUGUAAAGAGACUCUUAGAUAUUUAUAAUUAAAUUAAUGAAUAAUUUUUUUAUAAGAAUGAUGUUUUUAUUUCUUUUUAUAUCAAAACAUCCUUCAUAUUUUUAAUGAUUCUAUAAAAAAUUAUACUUUUUAAUUAAUAAUAUAUUCUUUUAUGUUACAUUAGUUCAUCUUUAUAUUCAUUUAUGUCACCCGGGUAAUUAUAUUAGGACAAAUUCAUUUGGAUGAUUAAUUUUUUUAAUAGUCAUUGGAGUUUUUUUUAUAUUUAGAGACUCUUAAAUACUUAUAUUUAAAUUUAAUUCAUACAACUCUUAUACGAAUGAUAUCUAAAUUUCUUUUUAUAUCAAAAUAUCAUUCUUUUUUUUAAUUUGAAAUUAUAAAAAUUAUAUUUUAUAAACUAUUAUAUAUUAUAUUUAUAUUACCCUAGUCCAUAUCUAUAUUUAUCAUGGGUAUCCAUUCAAAUAAAAUUUAUUUGGAUGAUUAUAUAUAUAUAUAUAUAUAUAUAUAUAUAUAUAUAUAUAUAAAAUCAUUUGGGUUUUUUAUUGCAAGAGUCUUACAUAUUUCAUAUUUUAAUUUAUGUUUCUUUUUAUAUUAAAACACCUUUCAUUUUUUCAAUUUAAAUUAUAAAAAAUUAUAUUUUUUAAUUAUUAUAUAAUCUAUUUAUGUUACAUUAAUCCAUAUUUAUAUCCAUCUAUUUAGAUAGCCAUAUACUAAGACAAAUCCCUUGGGCCUCUUUUGUAUUUUUUAAUUUGAUGAUAUAAAAAAUUAUAUUUUAAAACUAUUAUAUAUUUUAUUUAUGCCAAAUUAAUCCAUGUUUAUAUUUUUGUAUUACAUGGAUGAUCAUAUUAGAAUUUAUCGAUUUGACUAAAUAUUUUUUUUUUAUAAUCAAAGAUCCCUGGAAGUUAAUACAAUAUUUCAUUAUUCCAUUACAUCCAUGGAUGAAAAAAAAAAGUAUCUUAAAGAUGUUAUUAGUUCAAAUUCACAAGCCAAAUAAGUAAUUUUUUUAAUUACAAAAGUAGUAGUUGUAAUAGUAAUUAUAAGAUAAGUAUAUUUAAAUAUACUUAUUUUAUUGACCCAAAAUUUUAGAUGGCUCAUUGGUGAAUAUUUCAAAACUAAUAAAGAUUGAAACUAUUUACAACUAAACACAUGUAUAAAUGCUUUUUUGAUUUCAAUAUUAAGCUAAAUUGCAUCAUUGGUGAAAAAAAUAUAUUUCUUGAGUAUAGAAUUCCAUGUUGUAUCAAGUAAAUUUCAUAUUACCCAAGUAAAACUUAAGAGAUAACAUACUUUUAACUAUAGCAAACUUUUAUGAUAUAAGAAAAAUAAUUAUCUCGUUAUAAGUAAACUUUUGGAUCGUUAAACAAUAUAUUUUGUUGGGGGUGGUUGGAAAGCUUAUCUUUUCUUUAAAGAAUAAUUUAAUUAGAUACAUUUUCGGAAAAGCUCUUAAAAAAUAAAGCAAAUUGUUAAUUUUUUAAUAGAACAUUGAAAGAGAAAAAAAUUAAGUUUUUAAAGAAAGUUAGUAACUAAACUUUUAGGGAAAAUUAUUGGAUGACUUAGAAAUUACACAUCAAUUGUUAAAACAUGAUUAAAAAAAUCGAUAUACCACUGGUUGUUAUUAAAAAUGAAUUAAAUUCCAUUUGUCUAUAAAUUUAAAGUUUUUUAUUUCUAUUGUUAAAUAUGAAAAAUUUAUUUAAAGACAAAUAUUUAUUUAUUAUUUUUUGUUAUAAUUUUUUUUAAUUAACAAGAUAUUGAUCUCGAUAAUUCAUAUUUUUAUCCAUCCGUUGCCUAGGUAAUCAUUUUAGGACAAAUUCAUUUGGGUGAUUUUUUUUAAUAUCAAGAGACUCUUAGAUAUUUAUACUUAAAUUAAUGUAUAAAUUGUUUAUAAGAAUGAUGUUUAUAUUUCUUUUUAUAUUAAAACAUCCUUCAUAUUUUUAAUAUGAAUCUAUAUAAAGUUAUACAUUUUAAAAAAUUAUAUAUUCUUCUUUUGUUGUAUUAAUUAAUCUUUAUAUUCUUUAUGCACCUGGGUAACCAUACUAGAACAAACUCAUUUUGAUGAUUAAUUUUUUUAAUAAUCAUUGUGUUUUUUUAUAUUAAGAAACUAUAAAAUAUUUAUAUUUAAAUUAAUUCAUACAACUUUUAUAUGAAUAUUGUCUAAUUUUUUUAUAUCAAAGCAUCAUUCUUUUUUUUUUUAAUUUGAAAUUAUAAAAAUUAUAUUUGAUAAAUUAUUAUAUAUUAUAUUUAUGUUACCCUAAUUCAUAUUUAUAUUUAUCUAUCAACAUGAGUAUCAUACACAAUUAUUUGGACUUUUUAUUACAAGAGUCUUAAAUAUUUAUCAUAUUUUAGUUUAUGUUUAUUUUUAUAUUAAAACACCUUUCAUUUUAGGAGAAAUUAAGGAUUGGAUUGCCAAAUAAAUGGAGAAUAAAUAGGAGAAAGUAAGCGAGAGUAAAUUCUGUCAAGGAGACAAAUUAGGGAUUGGAUUGACUGAGAGAAUUCUGUUAGUACUCUGCAGCUAUAUAUAGGAGAAAUAAGAGAAGGUUUUGUCAAUCAUUCACUUACAUAAUAAUUCCUUGUACUCCACUUCUGAAUAAUAGAAUUUCGGAAUCCUUCCUUCAUCUCAUGAUUCCCUAUUUCUCUUUAAUUCAUCAAAUUCCUUGAAUUACCAUAUCAAUUGGUAUCAACUUGGACCUUCCCAGCAAUCGACAUCCAUGGCAACCUGCACACGAAGUCACACAGAGACGGAGGAGCGCUUGGAGAAUAAGAUCAUUGAACGCAUGGAAGCAAAGUUGAUGGAGAUCGCAGGAUCCAUGCAGAAGACCCUGGAAGAUUUGUUACAACAGAACAUCCACAACUCCUUCAAGAAAUUACCGGAGAACGAAGCCAAUUCUGAUAACAAUAGUACCGCGGGUAGAAUGGCGAAAGGAAAUCAGCCGCACUACUCGUGUGGCACCCGCUUGGCAAGGAUCGACUUUCCGAGAUUUAACGGUGAGAACGUCAACCAAAGGAUCUAUCAAUGCGAAACCUACUUUACCAUUGAUAAUACACCAGAGGAUGUAAAGGUACGCUUAGCCAUCAUUCACCUUGAGGGCAAAACACUCCAUUGGCACACAACUUUAGCAAAGACUAUGGCUGCGGAUUCCCUGCUAUCUUGGACAGAAUACACACAACGUUUGAUUGACAGAUUUGGAGCCAUCUGUGAGGACCCUAUGGCAGACCUGAUCAAAUUGCGAUAGCAUCGCAGCGUAGCGGAAUACCAUGAAGAGUUUGAUGCCAUCGUAUCACGACUAAACCUGUCCGAGGAAUAUACCCUGAGUUGCUUCUUGGAAGGGUUGAAACAUGAAGUUCAAAUGCUGGUACGUAUGUUCCAGCCCCAAUCUGUUCGAAAAGCCUUUUCCCUAGCGAAAAUGUAUGAUGCUGCCUACCAUGACAACACUCCAGCAAACUCUAUCAAUAGGAAAACAAAAGAUUUUGGGAGCCCAAAAGCCUUUGCUAGCCAACAAACCAUCCUUAAAUGCUGACGAACCAUCCGAGGCAGAUAAGACCAAAUUCUGACCAUCACGACUGCUCACACCUACUUACAUGAACGAACGGCGGGCCCAAGGACUCUGCUACUUUUGCGAUGAACCAUACACCCCUGAACAUGGCCUUUCACACAAAAAGCUCCACAUUCACGUGAUGGAGAUAGAUGAUCAAGACACACCAAUAGGCAAUGCUCUUGACGAGGACAAUUCAUCUCAAUUGCAAAGUGAUCCACAGAUUUCUGUCCAUGCGCUUACUGGCGUGGCCAAUUUUAAGACAAUGAGGGUCACUGGCUAUCAAAGGAAACGACCUUUACAUAUCCUGAUUGAUAGUGACAGUACCCAUAAUUUCUUAGAUAUUCAGGUUGCUAAGAAAUUUGGGUGUAAGAUUGAGGAGAUAGAACCACUACAUGUGGUGGUAGCGGAUGGCAAUAAGUUGCAUAUUUCUGCUAUGGUCAGGAAUUUCACUUGGACCAUUCAACAUACUACCUUCCAAUCUAAUAUUAUGUUCAUUCCACUGGGUUGCUGUGACUUAGUGUUGGGAAUUGAGUGGCUGGUAACACUUGGUGACAUUACCUGGAAUUUUGACAAAUUGAGCAUGGAAUUUAAAGUGCAGGGACGACGACAUGCAUUAAGAGGGGUUUCUUCUAAUGUUGUCAAGACUAUCCGAAGACAACAAAUGGGCCAAACUUUAGCUAAUGGAGUUCAUUUAUCUAUGAUACAGCUUUGUGACACUGAGGGUGGAUUACUUCAUUCCUUAACUACUCAUGCUCAACAACCUACAGUCCCAGCUGCCAUAGAGCAACUUUUGAAGGCUUAUUCAGACAUUUUUAUCGAGCCAACUGCACUUCCACCACCCCGGGUAGAACAUGAUCACAGAAUACCCCUAGUGCAGGGUGCAAAUCCAGUGAACAAGAGGCCCUACAGGUAUGCUAAACAUCAAAAAGAUGUCAUUGAUCGACUUGUACAGGAAUAUUUGACUUCUGGAAUUAUUAAAAAAAGUAGCAGCCCUUAUGCUUGUCCGGUAGUCUUAGUCGGUAAAAAAGAUAGCUCUUGGAGACUUUGAGUGAAUUAUCAAGAGUUGAAUAAAAACACUGUCAAAGAUAAGUUUCCUAUUCCGCUGGUUGAUGACCUUUUGGAUGAAUUACAUGGCUCCACUAUUUUCUCCAAAAUUGACCUUCGGUCGGGGUACAACCAAGUGCGAAUGGAUCCUUUGGAUGUUCAUAAAACUGCCUUCAAGACUCAUGGGGUCAUUGUACUUGGUAAUGCCAUUUGGCCUUACCAAUGCCCCUGCUACAUUUCAAGGGCUGAUGAAUUCUGUUUUCCAGCAGUUUUUAAGAAGGUUUCUUCUGGUUUUCUUCGAUGACAUUCUCAUCUACAGUCGCAACUUGAUAGAUCAUGUGGAUAAUUUACAAAAAGUGUUAUCUACUAUGAGGAAUCACUCGCUUUUUGCCAGGAAGUCUAAGUGUUAUUUUGCAGUCCCCAAGGUGGAAUAUUUGGGUCAUUACAUCAGCAGCGAUAGCGUUUCUAUCGACCCCACUAAAAUUACAGCAGUUAGGAAUUGGCCAUUUCUUCAAUCAUUGAAACAACUUCGUGGAUUCAUUGGCCUUGCAGGUUACUACCGAAGGUUUGUCAAGGGAUUUGGUGCAAUUGCUCGGCCAUUAACUAAUAUGCUUAAAGGAGAUAAUUUUUGUUGGACCGAUGAUGCAAAACUUGCAUUUCAGCAACUCAAAGACUUGCUACUCCAAGCACCUGUGUUGCGACUCCCUGAUUUCAACAAGACUUUUGUGGUAGAGGUUGAUGCUUUCGGUGUGGAACUUGGAGCCGUCUUAAUGCAGGAACAUCACCCGAUUGCCUUUAUUAGUCGGGCCUUAAACCAACAACAACAAUGUUUAUCCACCUAUGAAAAGGAAUUACUAGCAGUAGUUUUUGCUGUUCAAAAAUGGCGCCAUUACCUUCUCAACAGGCAGUUUGUGAUUAAAACGGAUCAUCGAAGUUUGAAGUAUAUCCUUGAUCAGCAGUUGACCACUGCUUUUCAACAAAAAUGGUUAGUGAAGUUAAUGGAGUUUGAUUUCUCCAUUGAAUACAAGCAAGGUCAUGAGAAUGUAGCGGCCGAUGCUUUGUCAUGAAUGGGAGAGGUUGAAUGUCAGGCUCUCACUGUUCAUUCUUUGGAAUCUGAUUUGGUGGCACGAAUCAAACAAUCUUGGGUCACGGAUGCCGGACUGCAAAAGUUGAUCCUGGAACUACAGACCAAUGCAAGGUCCCAUAGACAUCAUACUUGGCAGAAUGAUGAAUUGCAUAGGAAGGGAAGGUUGGUGAUUGGCCAAGAUGUUCAGCUCCGGGAGGAUAUUUUAAAAUGGUUGCACUCUUCAGCUGCUGGUGGCCAUUCGGGCAGAAAUGCUACUAUCCAACGGAUGAAGGCAGUGGUUUAUUGGCGAGGAAUGACUAGAGAUGUGAAAGCAUUCAUCCAACGCUGCUCAAUUUGCCAACAAUGUAAAUAUGACACUGUUGCUUCCCCUGGUUUACUUCAGCCUUUGCCUAUUCCAAAUCAUAUUUGGCAGCAUAUAACCAUGGACUUCAUUGAUGGGUUACCUCCUUCUUACAGUAAAAAUGUUAUCGUUGUUGUUGUGGAUCGAUUAAGCAAAGCUGCUCAUUUCAUGGCGUUGUCUCAUCCCUACACAGCAAGCGACGUGGCUCAAUCCUUCCUAGACCAUGUCUUCAAACUUCAUGGUUUUCCUGACACUAUCACUAGCGAUAGAGAUCCUGUCUUUGUUAGCAACUUCUGGCAAGAUCUUAUGGCUUUUCAGGGUGUUCAAGUGCAACUUUUCUCGACUUAUCACCCACAAACCGAUGGUCAGUCGGAGGUAGUGAAUCGUUGCUUAGAAACUUACUUGUGAUGCAUGACGACCGAUGCCCCACAAAAAUGGUCUAAGUGGUUGCCAUUGGCAGAAUGGUGGUACAAUACUACCUACCAUACUUCUAUCCGCGCCACCCCUUAUGAAAUAGUCUAUGGGCAGCCUCCACCAGCCUAGUUACCUUAUCUUCCUGGUGAUUCGAAGAUUGAGCUAGUUGACAGAAGUUUACUCAAGCGCGAGGAGAUGUUAAAGCUGUUGAAGUUUCACCUCCGAAGAGCUCAAGACCGAAUGAAGCUGUUGGCGGAUAAACAUCGCAGUGAUCGCCAAUUUCAGAUAGGGGAUUUUGUUUAUGUUAAGCUUCAUCCCUAUCGUCAAGUCUCUGUUUCUCAUCGGGUUAAUGCUAAAUUAGCACCUAAGUUUUAUGGCCCCUUCAAGGUGCUGGAUCACAUAGGCGCUAUGGCUUAUCGACUUGACCUUCCUGCUGGAUCUCGCAUUCAUAAUGUUUUUCAUCUUUCUCAACUCUAGAAGCAUGUCGGCACUGUAGUUACUACUACAAAUAUUCCUGUCAGCACUGACGCAAGCUUUGUUUCACGUGAACCAGAGUCUAUUUUGGAUAGAAUGACUGUCAAACGGGGCAACCGAGCUGUUACUAAAGUUCUAGUAAAGUGGAAACAUCAACUUCCGGAGGAUGCCACAUGGGAGUUUUACUAUGAUCUUUUGCAGCGCUAUCCUUCCUUCAAUCCUUGAGGUCAAGGAUGAUUUUGAGGGGCGGGUAAUGAUAGGAGAGAAUAAAUAGCAAUUAUGAGAAACUAAAUAGAGAUUCAAGGAGACAAAUUAGGGAUUGGGUUGACAAAUAAAUAGAGAAUAAAUAGGAGAAAUUAAGCGAGAGUAAAUUCUGUCAAGGAGACAAAUUAGGGAUUGGAUUGGCUGAGAGUAAAUUCUAUUAGUACUCUACAGCUAUAUAUAGGAGAAAUAAGAGAAGGUUUUGUCAAUCAUUCACUUACAUAAUAAUUCCUUGUACUCCAGUUCUGAAUAAUAGAAUUUCGGAAUUCUUUCUUCAUCUCAGGAUUCCCUAUUUCUCUUUAAUUCAUCGAAUUCCUCAUAAUUCCUUGAAUUACCAUAUCAUUGAGGGCACUUUCUGAUUGUCAGAAAUUCAAGAUGAUUAUGGGUGUGAUCCUGUGUAAUCAUCUGUAGAUUACAAAAGCCAUUGAGAUGAAGGGUCCUGAGUGUUGGGAAGAAAUCUAGCGGAAAAGUCUUUAGAGAGUCACAGCCAUCAUCCCUCAAUCCACAAUUGCAAAACAUUCCAUACAGUAUCGGGCAACAAUAAAUUUCCAGUUCAUCCAAAGUAUCAGACUUUUCCAGCAACAAUGCUUCCAUGCUGUGUCCGCCCAUGCUGAGCUUUUUCAAAGUAUUCCAAAGUCUUGUAGGUCUAGUUCUAGAGCCCUGGGAGCUGAAGCCUCAAGUUGUUUGCACUCUCUAAUUGCUAGCUGCUUUAAAUGAAGAAGUUGCUCUGGGAGGUCACCUUUCAGGUUUGGACAUUUUCUUAUAGAAAGAUAUUGAAGACAUGGAAAAGCACCUGUCACAGCUUCACAUUCCCAUUUUUUCCAUGCUUUCAUAGAGGAGAACUUCAAUCUUUCCAACGAUGGAAAUGAAGAAGUGCUAUUACCAUGAAAAUCAGCACCAAUGCUCACUAUUCCAUCAAGACUUGAAAUCUAAAGGUUCUUGAGAAAUGGCAAAAGUCCAAGGGAAGGCAAAUGUUGGCAAGAUUGACAGUUGUUCAACUCUAAGGACAUCACAUUUGAUAAAGAAUUAUCGGAUAACCAAUUUGGGAAUUGUUUACCACCAUAGUUGAUGAUUGAUAACUUCUCCAGGUGUUUGGAAGGUUGUAGAUUCUCAAUUACAAUUACAUCCCUUUCUUUGGCAGAAUCAUCAGGGUUCUGGUGCGAAUUCCAUUCAAAUUCUAGUUCCACAAGGUGUGUUUUAUUUUUCAAAUCUGCAGCUAAUGCAUCUGAGGGAUUCUCAAUAUUCUGCAGCUCCCUAAAUGAUAAUCUUUCGUGAAGAAAAUUGAGCUCUCCGAAUUUCUGAAUGGUGAACUCACUACAUUUGCCAACAUCAAAAGAACUCAUGGCUACUUGAAGAUUCUUCAACUUUCCCAGAUGCGGUGGCACCUUUAUAAUUUUAGUAUUUACAAAUUCAAGGCCAUGCAAAUUGGUGAGUUCAUGCAAAUUUGAGGGCAGCUCCUUCAAACAUCUACAAUAAUUCAGCUUCAGUAUUUGCAAGUUGUAGAGUGAACAUGUGGAUUCAGGUAGUUUUUCAAUGCCAGUAUAGGAAAGGUCUAACGAACGAAGAUGUUUAAAAUUGCAAACAGAGUCAGGCAGCUUUUCAAUGCCUAAACAGUGAAACAGAGAUAAGACGCUUAAGAACUUAAACUAGGAGAACAAUUCAUGUAUCGACAUCUUGCACUGCCAAUCAUGGUAAUCUCCAUUCAUUUUCCUACUUGUUGGCAUAAAUGUACGUAACCUUUUAUCAUCACAUGAAGUUGCAAACCCAUCAAAACGUUGUUUGGUAAUGAUUGAAACUGAAAAAUGACGGGUUAUUUUCUGUGUACUUUUUCCUUCAUCAUCAACUCCAAACCUAAAAUAGAUGUCUCCACAAACAUAUUUUGCCAAAUCAUUUAGAAGGUCAUGCAUGACAAAUCCAUCUUCAUAUUUGCUUGAUUGUUGAAAGAAGGACCUUGAUAUUAGAUCAUUGAAGUACUGUUGGCCAACUUCUUCUGGACUCUUAUUGCCUUGAUGGCAGUUUAGGAAUUUUUCAGCCAUCCACAACUGAAUUAAACACUCCCUGUGAAACACAUAAUCCUUGGGGAAUAAAGCACAGUAAGCAAAGCAUGUCUUGAGAUGGGGAGGAAGGUGGUGAUAGCUCAGUGCUAAAGCAGGAACAAUAUCACUAUCCUCUAUUUCCCAUAUCUCACUUUUCAAUAUGUUUUCCCAAUCUGAAACAAAUGAUUUGUUGUGUAAUAGACUUCCCAUUGACUUCAAGACCAGAGGAAGUCCUUGACAUUUUUUAACAAUCUUCAUACCAAUCUCUGGGCAUCCUGGAUCUCUUGGAAGAUUAUCAUCUCUGAAUGCAUGUUUAGCGAACAAUUUCCAGCAAUAAUCUUCUUGUAAUUGCUCCAGCUCGUGUUCUUUUGACCGCAUGGUAGAAGCAAAUUUCUCACUGCUUGUUGUGACAAGGAUCCUACUUCCCUGAGCUCCACAAACAAGAGCAUUCUGCACAGCUUCCCAUUUAGGCCUGCUUUCGAUCCAAACGUCAUCCAAAACGAGAAGAAAUCUGUUUCCUCUCAAUUUAUCUUUCAGUUUUGUAUGAACAAUUUCUAGCCGAUCACUAUUUUCAAUUGAUUUAGUAAAUGUGUCAAGAAUUGCUCUUGAUACGUUCAAAACAUCAAAUUCCUGUGAGACACAGACCCAAGCUUUAAAUUUAAAUUUGCCCUCUAUCCUUGGGUCGUUGUAUACAAGUUUUGAGCAAGCGUGGUCUUACCCAGCCCACCCAUGCCCCAAAUAGAAAGUAUUGAUAGCAUGUUAUCAGUGUCAGAAGUGAGCCAGUUAAUGAUCAUUUCUUUAUCAGCAUCUCUGCAACAAAUAUCACUUUCAACCACUGAAGAUUUUGAUUGUGGCACUUUACCACCAGAUCCUGAUCCAACUACAAGAUCACUAGCCUUUUUCAAACCUAGAUUAUCCAUCCGGCUUGCAAGAUCAUCUAGGUCAUCAAGGACAUUUUUCAUGUUGGAAUUAAUUUCCUUGUUAAAGGAACUAAGAGGGGAAGAUUUGAAGAAAUUGGGUAGCUUGCAAGUACAGGUUUGAGAUUCAGAUUGAGGUUGAACUUGGAGUCUGGAGUGUUGUAUUUCAUCCAAGACAUCUUCAACGUCAAGCAUGGCAACUUUGAGCUUAAUAAGCCAGUCUCUCACUUGCAUAUUUCCAAACUGUUUUUGUUCAGCAUCAUCAAGCACAGCUUGGAUGGAGAGGAGCUUGUUUUCCAAGUCCUUCCGCAGCUUCUGAUCGAUCUUUGUUCCACGAAAGAAAUCCAGAACUUGAGGAGAAGCCAGCUUCUGAAAUACAGCCCCGAGGAAAGAAGAAAGAACAGCACCACCAACGCAUUCUAAUGCCAUUGUAUGGUGUUUUCAACGGUAGCUUAUAUAAAAUAUAUUUUCAAUAUUGCUCACUUCCUUUUUUAUAUAUAUAAAGAUACAUCAUUCACAUAGUGUUAAUGUUUUUUAAUUUGUAUAAAUAAUAUUAUUUGUAUAAUUUCAACAAAUAUUUUUAUACUUUUUACUCAUAUAAUUUAAUAAACUAUUUCUUUUUUUUAACACUUUUAACAUCUUCAAAUUAUAUCACAUACAAAUUAAUACUAAUUUACAAAUAAUUUAUACAAUGGAUAUAUUUUAUUUUAAAUGUUUUUUUUCGUAUAAUUCGAACAAAUAUUUUACAUUGAAUUACUUUUAUAAUUUAAUGCAAUAUUUUUAAAAUAUUUAAAUAUAUAUCUCAAAAUUAUUUAUAGGCUUAGAUGCGUUUUUAUUCCUAUUAAAUACCUGAUUUUUUUUCAUUUGUUUCCUAGAAAAAUAAUAAUUUUAUUUUUAUUAGUUGAUACUUUAUUUUAGUCCUUGAUGAAUUAAAAAAUUUUAUAUUUAAUCUCUGAUGAAUUAGUUAAUUUUAUUUUAGUUCUGACUAUUAACAAACGAAAAAAAAUCAUUAAAAAAAAAUACAAAAUUUGUUAAUUUAUUAUGGAUUAAAAAAAUAUCAAGGAUAAAAAAUAAAAUUAAUUUAUUAGGAACUCAAUGCAAAGAAAAAUUUAUUAGGGAGUAAAUACAAAUUUUUUAUAUUUAUUAAAAAUUAAAAAUAUAUUUAAGUUUUUUUUUAAAACCCAUGCAACGCCUAGGCCUAUACCAAAUUUUAAUAAUUCUGAUAAAAACUGACAUAUUGGCGGCAACAGAUAUUCACCGAAAGCUACCACCAAAAUGAAAAUUGUGCUGGUCCCUUUUGUUGUACACAUUCCUAGCUCUAAGCAGAAGAACUGGGUAUUUUGUAUUAUUUCCUCAGAAAUUGAAAGGCUUCUGAGUCACUACUGUGGCACGAUAUUCUUAAUAGAGUUUUGAUGUGGAACUGAGUAAUUCAUAUUUGUAUUCGUGUAAUCAUACUAGAGUUUAUCCAUUUGAGUAACAAAAAAAUUUAUAAUCAAAUAUUUAUGGAAGUCUAUACAAUAUUUUACUAUAUCCAUUGAUGAAAAAAAAAUAUUUUAAAGAAGUUAUUAGUUAAAAUUUACACGCCUAAAAAGUAAUAUUUUUAAUUAUAAAAGUAGUAGUUAUAAAAAUAAUUAUAAGAUAAGUAUAUUUAAAUAUACUCAUUUUAUUGACCCAAAAUUUUAGAUGAGCUCAUUAGUAAAUAUUUUAAAAUUAACAAAGAUUGAAAUUAUUUACAAAUAAAUACUUAUAUAUAAGAGUUUUUUUGGAUUUAACUAUUAAGAUAAAUGAUGUCAUUUAAGAUAUAACAUUACUUUUAACUAUUGAGUAUAGACUUUCAUGUUGUAACAAAUAAAUUUCAUAUUACACAAGUAAAAUUUAAGAGAUAACGUAAACCUUUAUAAGAAAUAUAAUUAUCUCUUUAGAAGGAAACUCUUCAAGUUAUUAAACAAUAUACCAAAAAUUUAUUAUCAAUAACAAUAAAUUCUGGUAAGAAAAUAUAAAAAAAUUUAAAAGUAAAAUAUUUUAUCCAGUAAUAAAAAAACUACUCUAGUACACAAUGCAUAUAUAACUAUGUAAGUGUAAGAAAACAAUUAUUUAGUAAUUUCCUUGAGGAACAAAUGUUGUAGAAGGUUCAUGAUAAUUCAGAUCAACUAAAAAAGAAAAAGUUUCAUGAUAAUUCUUAAAAAUCAACAUCACUACCAUAUACUACCAAAUAUGCAGGGUUGGAAUGUGAGCAAUCUUUGGCCAGUCUUCGCCUUCUGGGUUCUGGCAACGCUGCUUGAGAUUGGGGCAGAAAAAAAUAGUAAGAUGUGAAAUGGAUUUGGGAAGACCCUCCUCUGGUAGCUGUUGGAGGUGGUCGCAGAAUUCAAGAUUCAAUACUUUGAGAGAGGAGAGCUGACAGAGCCCCUUGUAGUCCAGUUUUUUUAGAUUUGGAGAAUAACGGAUGCGUAUACAAGUAAGAGAGAGUGGCAGCAAACCUUCAUCAGGAAAAGAUUCCGCAUUCAGCCAUUCUAUAUUCAAGGUUUCCAGAGAGGGAUUGUCUACCAAAGCCCCUUUCAGCGAGGCCAUGAGUUCGGACGAGCAGUUAGAGAGUUCCAUCUCUUUUAGAUUUGAUGGCAAACCUCCUUGAGGGAGCGACUCAACUCUUGGACAAUCAUAUAUUCGUAGCUCCUUCAGAGAUGGAAGCAGCAUAUGCAUGCUUCCAGGCAACGAUUCUAAUUGAGGGCACUCUUUGAUUGACAGAAAUUCAAGAUGAUUAAGGGUGUGAUUCUGUGUAAUCAUCUGUAGAUUACCAAAGCCACUAAGAUCAAGGGUCCUGAGUGCUGGGAAGAAAUCUAGCGGAAAAGUCUUUAGAGAGUCACAGCCACCAAUAUUAAGAUAUGAAAUGGAGUUGGGAAGACCUUCUGGUAACUGCUGGAGGUUGGGGCAGUCUAGAAGAAUCAAUUUCUUGAGAGAGGAGAGCUGACACAGCCCCUUGUAGUCCAGUUUUUUUAGAUUUGGAAAGAAAUAGAGCCCCGAAGAGAAGCCAUCUUCUGAUCGAUCUUUGUUCCACGAAAGAAAUCCAGAACUUGAGGAGAAGCCAGCUUCUGAAAUAGAGCCCCGAGGAAAGAAGAAAGAACAGCACCACCAACGCAUUCUAAUGCCAUUGUAUGUGUGGUGUGUGACUCAAAAUCAUAAAUGACACAAGUGAGAAGACUUUAAAGUAGUGCUGUCAUAACUGUUGUCAGUUAUUAUAACUGAAUUGGUUUUGGCACCAAAGCAUAGCUAGAGUGUACAUAUAUAUUCUUGAUCAUGUAAAGCAGUGGGUGAUUUUUUUAAGAGGCUGAAAACUGAGAAGCUGGAAAAAAACUGCAGAAAUCAGAGAGUUCAAAAGGGAGGUAGUGAGUUAGGUGAUUGAGAGAUGUUUUCUUAAAAGAGAAACCAAGAGAGAUCAAAGCUAGCUACUGCUUGUAUUGAACUUGUAAUUUCAUGAUCAAUGUGAUAAUGAGGAGCUGCACUUUCCCCUGGAUGUAGGCACAUUGCCGAACCACGUAAAUCUUUGGGUUCUUGGUCUGCUGUAUUUGUUUGUUGUGUUUCCCGUUUUUUUUCUUUUUGAUCUUGUGCAGGUUUAAGAGUUGCAGAACUUUUACAAAGAACCAACAAGUGGCGCCGUCUGUGGGGAGAUCAAGAUCAAGAAAGAUGGGAACAACAAAAUACGAUAUUGAGAAGUUUUCAGGGGAAAAUGACUUCGGGUUAUGGAGAAUCAAGAUGGAAGCAAUCUUGAUUCAACAUGGUUGUGCAGAAGCUCUUAAAGGAGAAGAAAGGAUGUCUGAAUCUCUAAGCUCAAAGGAGAAAUCAGAGAUGAUUGUUAAAGCCAGAAGUGCAAUCAUUCUAUGCCUUGGAGAUAAAGCUUUAAGAGAAGUUGCAAGAGAAAAGACAGCAGCCUCAAUGUGGUUGAAACUUGAGUCAUUGUAUAUGACAAAGUCCCUUGCAAAUCGGCUAUGCUUGAAACAACAACUGUACACCUUCAAGAUGACAGAGUCAAGAACAACCACUGAACAAUUGGCCGAUUUCAACAAGAUUCUUGAUGAUUUGGAAAAUAUUGAAGUAAAGCUUGAAGAGGAGGAUAAAGCUCUUUUACUUCUGAAUUCCUUACCAAAAUCCUUUGAACAUUUCAAGGAUGUAAUUUUUUAUGGCAAAGAUCAAGACAUUACCCUAGAAAAAGUCCAGACCUCAAUAAGGACCAAGGAGAUGCAAAAACUGCAAGACUCCAAAUCUGAGGAUAAUGGUGAAAGCCUGAAUAUUUCAAGGGGAAGGAGUGAAAAGAAGGUAACAAGAGGAAAGAAGUCCAGAUCAAGGUCAAGGGAUUCAAAGAAUGGCCAGAAAACAAAGUUCAAAUGCUUUAAUUGUCACAAAACUGGUCAUUUCAAGAAAGACUGCCCAGACAAGAUCAAGAAAGGAUCUUUGGACUCUGCUGACAUAGUUGAAGCCUCUGAAGGUUAUGAGAGUGCAGGUGUUUUAGUAGCUUCUAAUACCAAAAUACAAAGAAUGGAUUAUGGAUUCUGGAUGCUCAUAUCACAACAGCCCAAGAAAGGACUAUUUUGAAACCUUGGAACUGAAACCAGCAGGAGUUGUAUUGCUAGGAGACAACUACCCCUACAAGGUACAAGGCAUUGGAACUGUGAGAUUAAAGAUGUUUGAUAAUAGAGAGUAUCUACUAAAAAAUGUAAGGUACAUUCCGGAACUCAAAAGAAAUCUUAUUUCCAUAAACAUGUUUGAUGAUCUAGGAUAUUCAACUAGAAUUUUAAAUGGUUCUUAAGAUUUCAAAUGGAUCUUUAAUCAUAGCUAAGGGUAACAAGAAUAAAAGUAAUGGCUUGUUUAUUCUUGAAGGUUCCACCAUUGUUGGACAUGUGCAUCGGUAGCUAGUAAUACAUUGAUUGAUAAAACAAAACUUUGGCAUUUGAGAUUAGGUCAUGUUAGUGAAAGAGGAUUACAUGAACUUGAGAAACAAAAUCUGUUAGGUGGUGAUAAACUAGAUAAACUUGAAUUUUGUGAUCAUUGUGUGCUUGGUAAAUCCCAUAGAAUAAGCUUUGGCACGGGUAUUCAUGUUUCAUCUAGGCCCUUUGAGUAUGUGCAUUCAGAUUUAUAGGGACCAUCUAGAGUGAAAACUCAUGGUGGAAGCUCAAACUUUCUCACCAUCAUAGAUGAUUUCUCAAGAAGAGUAUGGUUGUAUGUUUUGAAAAAUAAGUUGGAAGCUUUUCAAAAAUUCAGAGAAUGGUAUACUUUUGUUGAAAACCAACUUGGUACAAAAUUAAAAGUUUUAAGAACUGACAAUGGCCUGGAGUUUGUUUCAGAGCAGUUCAAUGAGUUUUGCAGGAAAAUAGGCAUCAAAAGGCAUAAAACAGUCCUUCACACUCCACAGCAGAAUGGUUUGGCAGAAAGAAUGAAUAGGACCAUUUUGGAAAGAGUGAGGUGCAUGCUUCUAAGUGCAGAACUGCCAAAGACCUUUUGGGGAGAAGCUGCAAACACAACAGCAUAUUUGAUUAAUAGAUGUCCUUCAUCAGCCUUAGAUUUCAAGACACCAAUGGAAGCAUGGAGUGGUGAACCACCUGAUUAUUCAGAAUUAAAGGUGUUUGGAUCGCUAGCCUUUGCUCAUGUUAAACAAGGAAAGCUGGAUGCAAGGGCUGUAAAGUGUGUUUUCAUUGGCUAUCCUGAAGAAGUUAAAGGGUACAAGCUGUGGAAAUUAGAACCGGGUGAGACAAGAUGUAUCAUCAGCAGGGAUGUGACCUUUGAUGAGAGCAGAAUGACAAUGCUAAAUAAGGAGCAGAAAGAUAACAGCUCAAGUAGUGAGAGUACCAAUUUUGAGGUGGAGCAUUCUAAAAUUUUAGAUCAUGGCAGUGGAGAUGCUAUUGAUCUCGCUGAUCAAGGAGAAGCUGGAGAUAAUGAAGAGCUGGUUACUCAACAUGACUUGUCCAAUUAUCAAUUAACUAGAGAUAGAGAAAAAAGGGUGAUAAAGCCUCCAAAGAGGUAUGGACAUGCUGACAUUAUUUGCUAUGCCUUGAGUGUUGCUGAGGAGAUUCAAAAUUCAGAACCAAAGACCUGGAGGGAAGCAAUUGAAAGUGAAGACAGCCAGCUGUGGCUUCAGGCAAUGAGUGAAGAAAUGGAAUCUUUGAGAAAGAACUAGACCUGGAUACUUGUGGAUCAACCCAAGAAGCAGAAGGCUGUUGGAUGUAAGUGGAUUUUCAAGAAGAAAGAAGGUAUUCCAGGAGUAGAAAGGCCUAGAUUCAAGGUAAGAUUGGUAGCAAAAGGCUUUACACAGGUUGAAGGAAUUGAUUACAAUGAGAUAUUUUCACUAGUUGUGAAGCAUUGCUCAAUAAGAAUCAUACUUGGUCUGGUAAAUCAAUAUGACUUGGAACUUGAACAGCUGGAUGUUAAAACAGCUUUUCUCCAUGGAAAUCUGAAGGAAAUCAUUUACAUGAACCAGCCUGAAGGUUUUGAAGAAGGGGAAAACAAGGUGUGCUUGCUGAAAAAAUCUUUGUAUGGACUGAAGCAAAGUCCUCAAAUGUGGUACCUGAAAUUUGAUGAGUUCUUGAUUAGAUAUGGCUUCAUUAGAAACAAAUAUGACAGCUAUGUAUAUAUCCUGAAAAAGGGGAAAGUGUGUGUUCUUUACCUUCUCUUGUAUGUGGAUGACAUCCUCAUAGCAAGUGCCAACAAGGAGGAGAUAAGGCAACUCAAAGAAAGCUUGAACACAUAAUUUGAGAUGAAAGAUCUAGGGUCAGCUAGAAGGAUACUCGGGAUUGAUAUUCAUAGGGAUAGAGCAAAGGGUGAACUAUUCUUGUCCCAAAGCAAUGACCUCAAGAAAGCGGUAGAGAGGUUUAGGAUGCAUCAAAGCAAACCUGUUAGCACACCACUUGGUCAUCAUACAAAGCUAUAUGUUAUUCAAGCACCAGAAAAAGCUGAAGAAAGGUCUAAAAUGAAUCAAACACCCUAUGCCAGUGGUGUUGGAAGCAUAAUGUAUGGAAUGGUUUGCAGCAGACCUGACUUAGCUCAUGUUGUAAGUAUUAUAAGCAGAUUCAUGGGAGAUCCUGGCAGCGCACACUGGGAAGCUGUGAAGUGGACACUAAGGUAUCUAAAUGGAUCUUUGAAAGCUGGUUUAAGGUACAAGAAGACAACACAUGAGGCAGCAGUCACAGGCUAUGUAGAUGCAGAUUUUGCAGGAAAUGUAGACACAAGGAAGUCCUUAACAGGAUAUGUGUUUACUUUGUUUGGUACAACAAUCAGUUGGAAAGCAAAUCAACAAUCAGUUGUUGCUCUUUCAACAACUGAAGCAGAAUACAUGACCCUAGCUGAAGGACUGAAGGAAGCAAUUUGGCUUAAAGGUAUGAUUAAUGAACUUGGAAUAGCACAAGCUUGUGUCACAAUUCAUUGUGACAGUCAAAGUGCCAUUCACUUAGCAAAUCACCAAAUGUACCAUGAGAGGACAAAGCACAUAGAUGUGAAACUACACUUCAUCAAAGAUGUGAUUGAAUCUGAGAAGGUGAAGGUGGAGAAGGUUUCAACAGAAGAAAACCCGGCUGAUAUGUUCACAAAGUCUCUCUCUAGUGUCAAGUUCAAGCACUGCUUGGACUUGAUAAAUUUUGAAGAUGCCUAAAGCAGAUUGGUAGAAGUGCAGCCCUGAAUAACAAGGUAGACACUUGUUGAUUUAGAGUCAAGGUGGAGAUUUGUGGUGUGUGACUCAAAAUCACAAAUGGCACAAGUGAAAAGACUUUAAAGUAGUGUUGUCAUAACUGUUUUCAGUUAUUAUAACUGAAUUGGUUUUGGCACCAAAGCAUAGCUAGAGUGUACAUAUAUAUUCUUGAUCAUGUAAAGCAGUGGGUGAUUUUUUUAAGAGGCUGAAAACUGAGAAGCUGGAAAAAAACUGCAGAAAUCAGAGAGUUCAAAAGGGAGGUAGUGAGCUAGGUGAUUGAAAUUACAUAGGAAAUGUCAAAAAUGUUAAACCAAAGUAAACUAAGCUAAACUUAAUGUCCCUAAAUCCUAGGUCUGAUCUCUAACUCGGAGUUAAUAAUGUGCCCACUGGAUCCGCAACGCCUUUAAUCUCUUUGGCUCCAAUGGUCUAGGAUCGUUAAAAUACUGUAUGAUGAAAUAAAUCAUAAUAAGUUAAUAAUGUAAUACAAAUUAUAAAAAAACCGAAUUUGUUUGAAAUAAACAUACCGCUUCCCAGUUAUUCCUAAAAGUUCCUAAAAUGAUGGUGGACAUCCAGUGUAUGACAUAGUAGCCGCACUCAGUACUUCCUUUUUGUCUAUUACACUAAAUACAUAAUGAAAUUUGGAUAUUAAUUAAACAACUAGUGUACAUACACAUAAGAAAUAUAUAUAAGUGGAAGUUUUAUGUAAAUGACGUACCUUGACGACAAUCCACCUAGCAGGAGCCUUUGAUUUAGGCUGUGGAGCACCAUCAAGAUCUUUUAAUGCACUGUUCCAGAUGAGUAACAAUUAAAAACUGGUGUUGUACAUUGAGGUAUUUCAAUGCAAAUGUAUUGAAAAGAACACUAACUUGUUAAUAAUCCCCUUAAGCUAGUCGUCUGGCCUGUUAUGCAAUGAACAAAACCAGACAACUAGGUGUUCCUUGGGCAGGAUGACCACCAUCUGCCAGUGUCCGUUGCAAUGGAGACGAAUAUGGGUUAGUAUAUUAGUAAACAUUAAUUAAAUUCAGUUAUUUUGUGUGACUUACCCAUUUAGGUAGGCUCCAAGAUAGACAUCGUGUUUUGAACUCUGCAUCCAAGUCUUUAUGUAACUUUUAGACUCAAACAGUGAUUGCCCAGACCUCUGAAUGGACUGUGGCUCGAGGAAUCCAUAGAUAUCAUAAUUCUCCGCUCGCAUACUUAUUUCAGUGAGAUGCCUGUUUAUGUUAAGUCAAAGUUAAAUAUUUAUGAAUUGAAAGCAAUAACUUAGGUAAUUAAAAGUAAUAUAAAAUGACUUACAGAAUCCAUAACUGUAACACUGAUAUGCUGAGACAUUGACCACCGUGUGCGAUUUUAGAGAGGUCUUCAUGCUUUAUGUAGAGCGGGAAAUCUGGAUUAAAGACCCCGAACACGGUGGCAUCCCAUGCAACCUGAUAAGGCCUCAAGAAAAGCUUUGGGAUGGUCAAUGUUAUCAGAUAAAGCGGAUCAUCUACCUCCGGAUCGGGCUUUGGAGGUGGUUUUGCCGGAGACACAGCUACCUGUUCAUGAAACAAAGUUAAAUGGCCUAAUUUGAGGCACGCUGAAUGAAUUAAUUUAAAAAGAAGAAACAUAUAGUAAGAGUAAAGUACCUGCUGUGAUAAAGACUUGACCAGAUGUGUCGGUCAAGCAAGGAAGGUGUGAAGUGUCUGCCCCACUAAGGAAACCUCAUCAGUGGGUACAGGAACUUGAGCAUCUGGAUCUGUAACCUCCUCCACACCCGCCUUUACUUGGCCAGGCAACAAAUGAGUGUUAUGAACAACAGUGGAUCCCUCAUAAACUUUCCCCAGGGCAACCAGGCGGGCAGGAUCUGCUUCGAUGUAUAAGUCGCACCUAUCUGAGUCACCCGUCUCAGGAUCGUUUCCUAAGGGAUCAACACAACUCUCUUAUGUGCUUACUCGAGGACCGGAGGGACCAACCAGAGACUCGGGAGGCAGUGCAAGUCCCUGAGAUUGCAUCUGGGACUGCAUCUGGCUGAAGGAUGCCAUGAGUUGCCGCGUCACUCUUUCUGUGAUGGACUCCACUAGUUGGUCCCUGAUUUGUUGGGUUAGCUGCUGCAAUUCUUCAGGAGGCAGGGAGGAAGAGCUACGGGACAUCCGUGGAGCCGAUCCAAAGUAUUGCUUGAUGGUGACACCGGCUCCAGCAGCACGGACAUGUCCAGGGUGCUCUGGAGGUCCAAUAGCAGCGGUGAGAACAUCCUGACGUCCAUGGGGGACGAAGGAUCCCUGUGUCGCCUGCUCCUCAAAGGAAUCCUGCACAGAAAAUGUGAAUGUAUGUAUACAUGAUUUUUAUGAUGCCAAAGAAGAAUCAAACAAGGUUGCUUCAAAGGAUAAGCAUUUGCUUCAAGAUUAAUACAAGAUUGCUUCAACAAACAAAGCCUUGCUUCAAAGAUUUCUUUAAGAUGAAGUCUUGCCUCAAAACAAAGUGUUUCCAAGACAUGCAAGGCUCUGGUAAUCGAUUACCAGGAAGUGUACUAGAAGACAGGGUUGAGAAAUAGUUGUUGAAAAGAGUUUUGAAUUUGAAUUUUCAACACGUAAUCGAUUAUCAUAUGGAUGUAAUCGAUUACCAGCAACGAAACUCUUGAAAUUCAAAUUCAAAAGUCAUGACCCUUCAAAUUAUAACUGUGUAAUCGAUUACAUAAACAUUGUAAUCGAUUACCAGUGAAGAGUUUUCAGAAAAUAUGCCAACAGUCACAUCUUUUCAUUGGAUUUGUGAAUGACCAUCAAAGGCCUAUAAAUAGGUGACUUGGGCACGAAUUUUAAAAAGAGAGUUUGGCUUGGAAAAAAUGUCUUAUCCUCUCAAAAGAAAAUGAGAGAGAUUCCAAGAGAACUUCAUUGUAAAAUAUUCUCUCAAGAACUCUUGGGCAAACACUUGCAAAUCCAUUAAGAGUUCAUCCAUGGAUCUUCGUUGUAAUAUUCUUCUCUUGAAGAGAGAAUUCUUCUUCCAUUCUUCUUAUUCAAUGACAUUGGCUAAGAGACUGUGAGUCUCUUGUUGUAAAGCAUCUAAACAUAAGGGAUGGGUUGUCCCUGUGUGGUUCAGACUUUGUAAAGGGAUUUUACAAAGAUAGUGGAAAUCUCAAGUGGGUUGCUUGAGUACUGGACGUAGGCACAAGGGUGUGGCCGAACCAGUAUAAAACUAUGUUUGCAUUCUCUCUUUCCUUAUUUCAUUUAUUUUGUUGCAAUCAAUUUUGUCUUGCAUGUUUAAAUGAUGAGGACAUGACCAAGAGCAAGGGCAAGGAUCCACUUGAAGGACUUGGAGGACCUAUGACAAGGGCUAGAGCAAGGAAAGCCAAGGAAGCUCUUCAACAAGUGAUGUCCAUACUAUUUGAAUACAAGCCCAAGUUUCAAGGAGAAAAGUCCAAGGUUGUGAGUUGUAUCAUGGCCCAAAUGGAGGAGGACUAAAUGACACCACUUUGUCUCAAUUUUAGAGUGUUUAGUUUGUCUAAAUAAUGGCCUAAUCCUUGUAAAGUUGGCUGACCAAAAAUAUGUUUUGGGUUAAUCAACUAAAAGGGCUUUAGUUAGGUUUAAUUCAAGUUGUAAUAAGGGCCCAAUUGGCAACCUAGGCAUCAGCCUUUUGGGAGACCAAAUGGUGGCUGACUUGUUGGCUGUUGGGGGUGACUUUUGGUUGCCACAAUUUCAGUUACACUCAGCCAUUAAGUUUUUUUUUUAAUUCCCUAGGUUAAUGGCAUUAAGUUAUUUUAAUUCUAGGUUAGUGAGUCAUUACUAAAAUCUGUUGUAAAACUUCUAUAUAAGCUAAACCAUUUUAUCAAUAAACACAAGUUGAGUUUUAUUCAGAAAAUUAGAGUUUAUCUCUUUUAUCUUAGUGAGAGUGAUUCUCCUAAAUUCUUGAGUGAUUCAAGAACACCCUGGCUGUAUCAAAGGACUUUCACAACCUUUGUGUGUUGCCCUCGCCGGAAAGAGUGAUUCUUUCCUUCCUUUCAUCUUCAACCUUGUUCUUUCAAACCACAAUUCCAGAAAAUCCACUUCUGCCCAGAAUUAUCUCGUGGCCAUAACUCCCAUUUUACGCACUCAAAUUAAGUGAUUCUUGAGCCUAAAUUGAAUUUCAAAACGAGAUCUUUCACCUCAUUUCGGAAUCACCUCAUUUGGAGCCAUGUAGCUUGAGUUAUUGCCAUUUCUAUAUUUCUGUCCAGCCACCACUUAACCUACGUUUUACCAUCCCAUUAAUCCAUUUUAUGCCAAGAACCACCUUAUUAAGACCCACGAAAUUAACCACCUUAUUUUUCAUCCUUAAUCAAUUUCCGCAUUUUCCAUCAAGGUUUAAUCCUAGACGAUCCUAAGUCAGCCCUUGUACCAUGAGGGUUCAUAUCAUUAAAGAAUAUUAUUAAAUUGAUUGUUGCUGCUUCUUCUGCAUUCUAAGCCUAUCCCUCUUAAGAUUAUUGAGGCCACAAGGUCCAACAGAAAACACACAGUUGUACAUGGAAUUCACAAAAUAUUGAAAUAUAAUUCUAAUGGUUAGUUGAAAAUGACUUACGAUCUUCGCAGCGAUUUUCUUCGUGGCCUCAGUCGUCAUCUCCCUUGUUAUCUUCGUGCAGGUCAUCUUCCACUUCACGUGGUGUCUAACUGGGGAUGGAGGGUUGAUGAUGCCAUCAACGCUUCCUGAUUAUGCAGCUUCCUCCAGCUUUUUCUUCGUCUUCUCAGCCAAGAGCUUCUGCUCCAAAUAGUCAUAACCCCCACGAGACAAAACGUGGGGGACAGUGUUCUGCUUCUGGAUGGCCUGUGCCUUUUUGCACACAUCCUGUAAAAAUAAAACAAGAAUCUUUCAAAUUGCUAGAAUGAAGUAUAACAAGUUAAUAUUUUUUGAAAAACAACUUAAAUGGCAAGGAGCAUACCUCCCAAGAAGGGUCUCUGUGAGUCUGGCAAAACUGGGCUCAUUUUUCCUUGCUAAUGUCGUAUUUCUCACAGAAAGUGUCCUUCACACUGUCCUGAUCAGCUGCAAGGGCCCAUUUCCUCGUGAGUUCUGAUUUAAAAUGCCUCUAUCUCUCACCCACGGUCUAAAGUAACUACCUUUUCGUCCUAUUGUCAGAAGCCUCUGGGAUUUCAAAUUUCGCCUGACAACAUCAAAUAAGGUUUAUUUGUUACAAUAAUGUAUUUUUUGGCUAUUAAUUAAAUAAAAUCAAAUAAGAAAAUAAAAAUACCUGAAUAUCCUCCCAAAUCAGGUCCUUCUGAGCAGUAGGGACCUCCUUCCAGUUCUCGUAGGUGACGUCCACCUUAUCAUGCGCCACAAUCCCCAAAUAUGUUCUUAAUUUCUUCCUGUGGGGACCGUCGGCCUUGUCAAUAGCAGGAUCAACAUGGACCACUGGUCUCUCAGCACCAAGUGGUCUAGUAGACAACGAUCGUAGACGUGAGGCUUUGCGUGUCCGCUUCACGGCAAAUGGCGAAGCCGGUGCGUCGGAAGGAGCAAGAGGAGGAGGAGGGGAGGCAGGUGGAGAAGCCAUGAUCCUUUAUACAAUAACAUACACCAACAUACAAAAUGUAAAUUUCGAUUACAAACAAAUAUCAACAUGAAGAGUUCUUUAUGUAAGUAAUCUGGAAUAGUGGGGUUCGGGGGUGGUCAUGCUUUAAUAUUGUAUGUGUGUGUGUGUCUUUGUGUAUGUGUGUGUCUCUUUCUCUCUCUGUGUGUGUGGGGGGGAUUUCAAAAAAGGAUUAAUCAAAAGAGGAUAAGUCAUAAGUGAUUUACUUGUGCUUUUUAAUUGUGAUUCAAAACAGGAUAAGGUGUAAUAGUAGUGAAAAAGUUUGAUAAAUUGAGGUUGAUGAUGUCUUGUGAUACUUGUGCUUUAAAUUUGCUUAGCUUCGAGGUUGAAGUUGUAGGAUGUCCUUUUUGAUUUGCUUAACCUCUCAAAGAUGGAAAAUUUGGUGGUUGGCAGCUACAAAGUCAACCUAGAAGCUUAGAAAUGACAUGGUCUUUCAUAAUCAGCCUUUUGAUAUCUCUAAGCUGGUAGACAGUACAAUUUUCCUCACAUGGUCUUGGCUGAAGGGGUGGGAAAGGGAUUUCAAUGUUCCUUUUCACCAAUGGUCCUCAGCAAUGUCUAUAGCUUUUAUAUAGAGUUUGCUUUGUAGGGUUGGGUUUGUGGUGGUUUUGUUGGGCUGCUGUUCUUUUGUUAUUUUACAGGAGAGCUACUAUCAUGUGUUGUUAUGUAGUACCCUUGGUACUCUUUAUCUAUUAAUAUAAUAUAUCUUUGCAGUUCAAAAAAAAAUAUAGGAGAAUAAAAUAAGAAGGAAAAAGGUUUCUUCAGAAAACUAAAAUUAACUUAUGCAUUAGUUAAAAUCAGAUUUUUUUUCAAAAAGUUUAUUUUAACUUAUGUUAAGUUAAUUGUAGGUUAUGGGAGAAAAUUUAUUUCAUCUUUUCUCUUUUUAUUUUCUUCUCUUAUAAGUGCUUAUGGAGAAACUUAUCCAAACAUGGUCUUAAUCAAUGACAUUUCAUUUGAUUGGAAGACUGUUAGUGCUUAGCUUUACUGAGCUUUUAAAAGAUUGGCUAAAAUUUUGUUAAAACAUAAGCACUUAGACAAUGAAGGAAAGCUGGAGUUGCUGCACAUGAUGUCCAACGCUAUGUCAAGGAAUAAGAUCGGGCUGCACAAUGCACAAGGCAAGAUAAAAUGUCAAAUGAAGAAUUGAAGCUGCAGGAUCCAAGAUGUCGGAUACGAUGUCCAGGACAUCUGGCCCGAAAAUACUGGACACAUAAAUCUGUUAUAUCUUUAACAGAUUAAUGUGCAGUUAGCAACAGAUUUGGCGAUCUAUCUUUAGGAACGAAUUAAAAGAUAAUUAAAGUUCGAAUUACAAACUUGAAUAGUUCGUUCAGGGAUUAAAGAUUAAAGAUAAAAAACUAAAAGAUCAAGCUUUAUCUUUUAGAUCUUUAAGUGCAGAUUUUCAGGAAAAUGAUAGAUCUCAUCCAGCGCAAGUUGUUGCAGCCCAGAUACGCACACUGCUAUAUAAACAUGAAGGCUGCACGAGUUUUGUACCAAGUCCGGGAUUGAAGAGUUAUUUUGUGAGUUUUGGGACUUGAGUGUUUUGUGAGCCACCUUGAUGCUACCCUAACAUCAAGUGUUGGACCUGAGUGUGUAGAGUUGAUCUCUAUUGUUCAGAGAGCAAUCUCUGGUGUAUAUUUGAUUUAAUUGUAAACACGGGAGAGUGAUUGAGAGGGAGUGAGAGGGGUUCUCAUAUCUAAGAGUGGCUCUUAGGUAGAGGUUGCACGGGUAGUGGUUAGGUGAGAAGGUUGUAAACAGUGGCUAUUAGAUCUUCGAACUAACACUAUUUUAGUGGAUUUCCUCCCUGGCUUGGUAGCCCCCAGAUGUAGGUGAUGUUGCACCGAACUGGGUUAACAAUUCUCUUGUGUUAUUUACUUGUUUAAUCUGUUCAUACAGUAUAAUCUGCAUGUUCUGAAGCGUGAUGUCGUGACAUCCUGUACGACAUCUGUCCCCAGUAUCAGAAUUUCAAUUGGUAUCAGAGCAGGCACUCGAAAUCACUGAGUGAGAUCUAGGGAGAUAAAUUCUGAUGAGCAUGGAGAAAGAAGGAGGACCAGUGAACAGACCACCAAUUCUGGAUGGAACCAACUAUGAAUACUGGAAAGCAAGGAUGGUGGCCUUCCUCAAAUCACUGGAUAGCAGAACCUGGAAAGCUGUCAUCAAAGGCUGGGAACAUCCCAAGAUGCUGGACACAGAAGGAAAGCCCACUGAUGGAUUGAAGCCAGAAGAAGACUGGACAAAAGAAGAAGACGAAUUGGCACUUGGAAACUCCAAAGCCUUGAAUGCUCUAUUCAAUGGAGUUGACAAGAAUAUCUUCAGACUGAUCAACACAUGCACUGAGGCCAAGGAUGCUUGGGAGAUCCUGAAAACCACUCAUGAAGGAACCUCCAAAGUGAAGAUGUCCAGAUUGCAACUAUUGGCUACAAAAUUCGAAAAUCUGAAGAUGAAGGAGGAAGAGUGUAUUCAUGACUUCCACAUGAACAUUCUUGAAAUUGCCAAUGCUUGCACUGCCUUGGGAGAAAGGAUGACAGAUGAAAAGCUGGUGAGAAAGAUCCUCAGAUCUUUGCCUAAGAGAUUUGACAUGAAAGUCACUGCAAUAGAGGAGGCCCAAGACAUUUGCAACAUGAGAGUAGAUGAACUCAUUGGUUCCCUUCAAACCUUUGAGCUAGGACUCUCGGAUAGGACUGAAAAGAAGAGCAAGAACCUGGCGUUCGUGUCCAAUGAUGAAGGAGAAGAAGAUGAGUAUGACCUGGAUACUGAUGAAGGUCUGACUAACGCAGUUGUGCUCCUUGGAAAACAGUUCAACAAAGUGCUGAACAGAAUGGACAGGAGGCAGAAACCACAUGUCCGGAACAUCCCUUUCGACAUCAGGAAAGGUAGUGAAUACCACAAAAAGUCAGAUGAAAAGUCCAGUCACAGCAAAGGAUUUCAAUGCCAUGGGUGUGAAGGCUAUGGGCACAUCAAAGCUGAAUGUCCCACCCAUCUCAAGAAGCAGAGGAAAGGACUUUCUGUAUGUCGGUCUGAUGAUACAGAGAGUGAACAGGAAAGUGAUUCUGACAGAGAUGUGAAUGCUCUCACUGGGAGAUUUGAAUCUGAUGAAGAUUCAAGUGAUAUUGAAAUCACUUUUGAUGAGCUUGCUAUAUCCUAUAGAAAACUAUGCAUCAAAAGUGAGAAGAUUCUUCAGCAAGAAGCACAACUGAAGAAGGUCAUUGCAAAUCUGGAGGCUGAGAAGGAGGCACAUGAAGAGGAGAUCUCUGAGCUUAAAGGAGAAGUUGGUUUUCUGAACUCUAAACUGGAAAACAUGACAAAAUCAAUAAAGAUGCUGAAUAAAGGCUCAGAUAUGCUUGAUGAGGUGCUACAGCUUGGGAAGAAUGUUGGAAACCAGAGAGGACUUGGAUUUAAUCAUAAAUCUGCUGGCAGAACGACCAUGACAGAAUUUGUUCCUGCCAAAAACAGCACUGGAGCCACGAUGUCACAACAUCGGUCUCGACAUCAUGGAACGCAGCAGAAAAAGAGCAAAAGAAUGAAGUGGAGGUGUCACUACUGUGGCAAGUAUGGUCACAUAAAGCCCUUUUGCUAUCAUUUACAUGGCCAUCCACAUCAUGGAACUCAAGGUAGCAGCAGAGGAAGGAAGAUGAUGUGGGUUCCAAAACACAAGACUGUUAGUCUUGUUGUUCAUACUUCACUUAGAGCAUCAGCUAAGGAAGAUUGGUACCUAGAUAGCGGCUGUUCCAGACACAUGACAGGAGUUAGAGAAUUCCUGGUGAACAUUGAACCUUGCUCCACUAGCUAUGUGACAUUUGGAGAUGGCUCUAAAGGAAAGAUCACUGGAAUGGGAAAGCUAGUCCAUGAUGGACUUCCUAGUCUGAACAAAGUACUGCUGGUGAAGGGGCUAACUGCGAACUUGAUCAGCAUCAGUCAGUUGUGUGAUGAAGGGUUCAAUGUAAACUUCACAAAGUCAGAAUGCUUGGUGACAAAUGAGAAGAAUGAAGUCCUAAUGAAGGGCAGCAGAUCAAAGGACAACUGUUACCUAUGGACACCUCAAGAAACCAGUUACUCAUCCACAUGUCUAUUCUCCAAAGAAGAUGAAGUCAGAAUAUGGCAUCAAAGAUUUGGACAUCUGCACUUAAGAGGCAUGAAGAAAAUCAUUGACAAAGGUGCUGUUAGAGGCAUUCCCAAUCUGAAAAUAGAAGAAGGCAAAAUCUGUGGUGAAUGUCAGAUUGGAAAGCAAGUCAAGAUGUCCCACCAGAAGCUUCAACAUCAGACCACUUCCAGGGUGCUGGAACUACUUCACAUGGACUUGAUGGGGCCUAUGCAAGUUGAAAGCCUUGGAGGAAAGAGGUAUGCCUAUGUUGUUGUGGAUGAUUUCUCCAGAUUUACCUGGGUCAACUUUAUCAGAGAAAAAUCAGACACCUUUGAAGUAUUCAAAGAAUUGAGUCUAAGACUUCAAAGAGAAAAAGACUGUGUCAUCAAGAGAAUCAGGAGUGACCAUGGCAGAGAGUUUGAAAACAGCAAGUUUACUGAAUUUUGCACAUCUGAAGGCAUCACUCAUGAGUACUCUGCAGCCAUUACACCACAACAAAAUGGCAUAGUUGAAAGGAAAAACAGGACUUUGCAAGAAGCUGCUAGGGUCAUGCUUCAUGCCAAAGAACUUCCCUAUAAUCUCUGGGCUGAAGCCAUGAACACAGCAUGCUAUAUCCACAACAGAGUCACACUUAGAAGAGGGACUCCAACCACACUGUAUGAAAUCUGGAAAGGGAGGAAGCUAACUGUCAAGCACUUCCACAUCUUUGGAAGUCCAUGUUACAUUUUGGCAGAUAGAGAGCAAAGGAGAAAGAUGGAUCCAAAAAGUGAUGCAGGAAUAUUCUUGGGAUACUCUACAAACAGCAAAGCAUAUAGAGUAUUCAAUUCCAGAACCAGAACUGUGAUGGAAUCCAUCAAUGUGGUUGUUGAUGAUCUAACUCCAGCAAGAAAGAAGGAUGUCGAAGAAGAUGUCAGAACAUCGGGAGACAAUGUAGCAGAUACAGCUAAAAGUGCAGAAAAUGCAGAAAACUCUGAUUCUGCUACAGAUGAACCAAACAUCAAUCAACCUGACAAGAGACCCUCCAUUAGAAUCCAGAAGAUGCACCCCAAGGAGCUGAUUAUAGGAGAUCCAAACAGAGGGGUCACUACAAGAUCAAGGGAGAUUGAGAUUGUCUCCAAUUCAUGCUUUGUCUCCAAAAUUGAGCCCAAGAAUGUGAAAGAGGCACUGACUGAUGAGUUCUGGAUCAAUGCUAUGCAAGAAGAAUUGGAGCAAUUCAAAAGGAAUGAAGUUUGGGAGCUAGUUCCUAGACCCGAGGGAACUAAUGUGAUUGGCACCAAGUGGAUCUUCAAGAACAAAACCAAUGAAGAAGGUGUUAUAACCAGAAACAAGGCCAGACUUGUUGCUCAAGGCUACACUCAGAUUGAAGGUGUAGACUUUGAUGAAACUUUCGCCCCUGUUGCUAGACUUGAGUCCAUCAGAUUGUUACUUGGUGUAGCUUGCAUCCUCAAAUUCAAGCUGUACCAGAUGGAUGUGAAGAGCGCGUUUCUGAAUGGAUACCUGAAUGAAGAAGCCUAUGUGGAGCAGCCAAAGGGAUUUGUAGAUCCAACUCAUCCAGAUCAUGUAUACAGGCUCAAGAAGGCUCUCUAUGGAUUGAAGCAAGCUCCAAGAGCUUGGUAUGAAAGGCUAACAGAGUUCCUUACUCAGCAAGGGUAUAGGAAGGGAGGAAUUGACAAGACUCUCUUUGUCAAACAAGAUGCUGAAAACUUGAUGAUAGCACAGAUAUAUGUUGAUGACAUUGUGUUUGGAGGGAUGUCGAAUGAGAUGCUUUGACAUUUUGUCCAACAGAUGCAAUCUGAAUUUGAGAUGAGUCUUGUUGGAGAGCUGACUUAUUUUCUGGGACUCCAAGUGAAGCAGAUGGAAGACUCCAUAUUCCUCUCACAAAGCAAGUAUGCAAAGAACAUUGUCAAGAAGUUUGGGAUGGAAAAUGCCAGCCAUAAAAGAACACCUGCACCUACUCACUUGAAACUGUCAAAAGAUGAAGCUGGCACCAGUGUUGAUCAAAGUCUGUACAGAAGCAUGAUUGGGAGCUUACUAUAUUUAACAGCUAGCAGACCUGACAUCACCUAUGCAGUAGGUGUUUGUGCAAGAUAUCAAGCCAAUCCCAAGAUAAGUCACUUGAAUCAAGUAAAGAGAAUUCUGAAAUAUGUAAAUGGCACCAGUGACUAUGGGAUUAUGUACUGUCAUUGUUCAGAUUCAAUGCUGGUUGGGUAUUGUGAUGCUGAUUGGGCUGGAAGUGCAGAUGACAGAAAAAGCACUUCUGGUGGAUGUUUCUAUUUGGGCAACAAUCUUAUUUCAUGGUUCAGCAAGAAGCAGAACUGUGUGUCCCUAUCUACUGCAGAAGCAGAGUAUAUUGCAGCAGGAAGCAGCUGUUCACAACUGGUUUGGAUGAAGCAGAUGCUCAAGGAGUACAAUGUCGAACAAGAUGUCAUGACAUUGUACUGUGACAACUUGAGUGCUAUUAAUAUUUCUAAAAAUCCAGUUCAACACAGCAGAACCAAGCACAUUGACAUUAGACAUCACUAUAUUAGAGAGCUUGUUGAUGAUAAAGUUAUCACACUGGAGCAUGUUGACACUGAGGAACAAAUAGCAGAUAUUUUCACAAAGGCAUUGGAUGCAAAUCAGUUUGAAAAACUGAGGGGCAAGCUGGGCAUUUGUCUGCUAGAAGACUUAUAGCAAUUACUUCUAUAUGAAUGUGCUCAAACGUUAAUAGCACAUUCACUACUGGGCCAAAACAGAUUCGACCGUUGCUUCACACGUCCUUCUACAUUCCGCAUUCAAAUUUACAUUUUCGUGGCAUUCUCGUUUUCCUCAGCAUUCCCCAACACCUCUCAGACUUUCACGAAACCAUUUCAAAAGCUCUGCUUCUCCAUGGCUAAUUCACCAAAAGAUACUUCAUCUCCUGGUUCACCCUCUGUACCAUCAUCUCCAUCAUCCACCAAAGCACCAUCAAACCAGGAACAACCUGAAUUCCAUAUCCAACCCAUACAAAUGAUUCCUGGUCAAGCCCCUGUUCCUGAGAAACUGGUUCCCAAACGACAACAGGGAGUGAGGAUUUCUGAAAACCCUAGCCUUGCAACAAGUCCUAGGGAAGCAGACCCGGAGAUGGAUAAGAAGAUCCGCAGUAUUGUGAGUAGCAUUCUGAAAAAUGCUUCUGUCCCUGAUGCUGAUGAAGAUGUUCCAACAUCUUCCACCCCAAAUGUUUCUGUGCCUGAUGCUGAAAAAGAUGUUCCAACAUCUUCCACUCCAAAUGCUGAAGUCAUCCCUUCACCCAGUGAAGAGGAAUCAACAGAGGAAGAGGAUCAAGCCACAGAGGAGACCCCUGCACCAAGGGCACCAGAACCUGCUCCAGGUGACCUCAUUGAUCUAGAAGAAGUAGAAUCUGAUGAGGAACCCAUUGCCAACAAGUUGGCACCUGGCAUUGCAGAAAGACUACAAAGCAGAAAGGGGAAAACCCCCAUUAAGAGGUCUGGACGAAUCAAAACUAUGGCACAGAAGAAGAGCACUCCAAUCACUCCUACCACAUCCAGAUGGAGCAAAGUUGCAAUUCCUUCCAAGAAGAGGAAAGAAAUUUCCUCAUCUGAUUCUGAUGAUGAUGUCGAACUAGAUGUUCUCGACAUCAAGAGGGCCAAGAAAUCAGGGAAAAAGGUGCCUGGAAAUGUCCCUGAUGCACCAUUGGACAACAUCUCAUUCCACUUCAUUGGCAAUGUUGAAAGGUGGAAAUUUGUAUAUCAACGCAGACUUGCUGUUGAAAGAGAACUGGGAAGAGAUGCCUUGGAUUGCAAGGAGAUCAUGGACCUCAUCAAGGCUGCUGGACUGCUGAAAACUGUCACCAAGUUGGGAGAUUGCUAUGAAAGUCUAGUCAGGGAAUUCAUUGUCAACAUUCCCUCUGACAUAACAAACAGAAAAAGUGAUGAUUAUCAGAAAGUGUUUGUCAGAGGAAAAUGUGUUAGAUUCUCCCCUGCUGUAAUCAACAAAUACCUGGGCAGAUCAACUGAAGGAGUGGUGGAUAUUGCUGUUUCUGAGCAUCAAAUUGCCAAGGAAAUCACUGCCAAACGAGUCCAGCAUUGGCCAAAGAAAGGGAAGCUUUCUGCAGGGAAGCUAAGUGUGAAGUAUGCAAUCCUGCAUAGGAUUGGCGCUGCAAACUGGGUACCCACCAAUCAUACUUCCACUGUUGCCACAGGUUUGGGUAAAUUUCUGUAUGCUGUUGGAACCAAGUCCAAAUUUAAUUUUGGAAACUAUAUUUUUGAUCAAACUGUUAAGCAUUCAGAAUCUUUUGUUGUCAAAUUACCCAUUGCCUUCCCAACUGUAUUGUGUGGCAUUAUGUUGAGUCAACAUCCCAAUAUUUUAAACAACAUUGACUCUGUGAUGAAGAGAGAAUCGGCUCUGUCCCUGCAUUACAAACUGUUUGAGGGGACACAUGUCCCAGACAUUGUCUCGACAUCAGGGAAAGCUGCUGCUUCAGAUGUUGUGUCCAAGGAUGCUUUGAUUGCUGAACUCAAAGACACAUGCAAGGUGCUGGAAGCAACCAUCAAAGCCACCACAGAGAAGAAAAUGGAGCUGGAACGCCUGAUCAAAAGACUCUCAGACAGUGGCAUUGAUGAUGGUGAAGCAGUUGAGGAAGAAGAAGAAGCAGCUGAGGAAGAAGAAGAUGCAGCAGAGGAUACAGAAUCCGAUGAUGAUGAUUCUGAGGCCACCCCAUGACCAUCAGACCUUUAUUUGUGUUUUUUUACUCUUACUAGCUAUAGGGGCAUGUCCCUUUGAACAAUUGAUUGCUAUUGGUCUGUAAUAUUUGCAUGCAUUCUACUUUUGUCAAAUUCUGUCUAAAAAGGGGGAGUAAUAGUAGUAUUAUGCAUGAUUUAUGAUUUUGAGUAGUAGGAUACUAUGUAUGCAAUAGUAGUAUUAUGUAUGAUUCAUGAUGUUGAGGGAGAGUUGUAUGUAUAUGAUUUUGAGGGGGAGACUGCUGCUGCUGAUGAUGACUGAUGUAAGCUACUAGUAGCUGAUAGAAGAUGCUGCAGUAAGAGCAUGGAGACAGGGGGAGCAGAAAGCUGAUGUCACAUGAGAUGUCUUGACAUCCUAGAAAAGACUAGUAGCUGAUAGAAGAUGCUGCAAUAAGAGCAUGGAGACAGGGGGAGCAGAAAGCUGAUGUCACGUGAGAUGUCUUGACAUCCUGGAAACGACUUGCAACUUGCAGAAUUUUGCUGUCGCCACUACAGAUACCGCUGUGCUUGAUUUCUCUGAUAAUGAAAGUUGCUGAUCCCACUUGCAUAACUGCUCGUACCUGCUCAGGAAGUGUCUAAGUAUGUUUUAGACAAAAUUUGCCAAAGGGGGAGAUUGUUAGUGCUUAGCUUUACUGAGCUUUUAAAAGAUUGGCUAAAAUUUUGUUAAAACAUAAGCACUUAGACAAUGAAGGAAAGCUGGAGUUGCUGCACAUGAUGUCCAACGCUAUGUCAAGGAAUAAGAUCGGGCUGCACAAUGCACAAGGCAAGAUAAAAUGUCAAAUGAAGAAUUGAAGCUGCAGGAUCCAAGAUGUCGGAUACGAUGUCCAGGACAUCUGGCCCGAAAAUACUGGACACAUAAAUCUGUUAUAUCUUUAACAGAUUAAUGUGCAGUUAGCAACAGAUUUGGCGAUCUAUCUUUAGGAACGAAUUAAAAGAUAAUUAAAGUUCGAAUUACAAACUUGAAUAGUUCGUUCAGGGAUUAAAGAUUAAAGAUAAAAAACUAAAAGAUCAAGCUUUAUCUUUUAGAUCUUUAAGUGCAGAUUUUCAGGAAAAUGAUAGAUCUCAUCCAGCACAAGUUGUUGCAGCCCAGAUACGCACACUGCUAUAUAAACAUGAAGGCUGCACGAGUUUUGUACCAAGUCCGGGAUUGAAGAGUUAUUUUGUGAGUUUUGGGACUUGAGUGUUUUGUGAGCCACCUUGAUGCUACCCUAACAUCAAGUGUUGGACCUGAGUGUGUAGAGUUGAUCUCUAUUGUUCAGAGAGCAAUCUCUGGUGUAUAUUUGAUUUAAUUGUAAACACGGGAGAGUGAUUGAGAGGGAGUGAGAGGGGUUCUCAUAUCUAAGAGUGGCUCUUAGGUAGAGGUUGCACGGGUAGUGGUUAGGUGAGAAGGUUGUAAACAGUGGCUGUUAGAUCUUCGAACUAACACUAUUUUAGUGGAUUUCCUCCCUGGCUUGGUAGCCCCCAGAUGUAGGUGAUGUUGCACCGAACUGGGUUAACAAUUCUCUUGUGUUAUUUACUUGUUUAAUCUGUUCAUACAGUAUAAUCUGCAUGUUCUGAAGCGUGAUGUCGUGACAUCCUGUACGACAUCUGUCCCCAGUAUCAGAAUUUCAAAGACAAUAUUAGAUGUACAUGAUCUGAUUAAAAUUGGGUAGUUAAUAGGAUGGUUGGUAAUUGCAAUCAGUAUCCUCUCGCUCUCUUAUAUGUGUGUGUGUGUGUGUGUGUGUGUGUGUGUGUGUGUGUGUGUGUGUGUGUGUGUGUGUGUGUGUGUGUGUGUGUGUGUGUGUGUGUGUGUGUGUGUGUGUGUUUUCUUGUUUUGGAUCUUGAAGAGGUGUCUACCCACUACUCAAUGACCGUUCUCAAUUCCUAUGGCUAAGUCUUGGGUGAAAUCAAGUUAACAUGAAAUAUGUUCAAAUUUGGUUGGAUUUGGUUUGCUUGAAAGGUUGAUCCUGGACUAAAGGAGCUCUGUCCAAAAUGGGUGACCUGAUAUUGAACUUGAUUUGUUGCCUUGAAUGAAAUCUACGAUCUAUAAAUUGUAAAUAAACUAUGUUUGUCAUACAAAUUUGGGCAUAAAAUGUUGGCCAUAACAAGAUAAGGAAGAAAAUGUAGAGAUUUUUUGACAAACAUCUAGAGCUAAUAUUGAUAACGUAUUCAACACUUAAAAUGUUAACACUGCAAUGAGAAUUGACUGAUGUUUGCACUUUCAGUUGUCCAGCCUUAUAAUAGAACUGGCAUCAGCAGCAGCAAGUGAAAAGGGGUUAACAUUUGAAGAAGCCAUGGAAGAGCGCUUAUGUGCAUAUUCUCGAGCUGUAGCCCACUUUCCCAUGGUAGUUAACGAGGUAAAUGAUAGGGUUAGUGGAAUAAAUAUUGGAUUCACUAGAUAUAUAAGUUCUUAUCUUGGUUAUACUUGAACUUGCAGUUCAAAUGGAGAAAUGGUUGGUUUUAUUCUCUCUCUGAGAAGGCUACUGCCCAAGGCAAGCCAGACCCAUGCCCUUUUUGCAUUCCCAAUGGCUAAAAGAGUUGAGAAUUGUAUGAAGCUUGAACCCUAGUGUGUGUGUGUGUGUGUGUGUGUGUGAUGUGUGCAGUAGGUUAAUAGAUUCUAAGAGUUAUGUAGACUUAGGGUGUGUUUGACCUAUUCAACUCCCCUUCCUUUAAUUUUAUUGCUUUGGAAUGUGUAAAACCUUCGUCCAGUCAUGCUGAAACGGGUUUCCAUACACACACUUAGCCACUAACAAGUGAUAUAGUUUCCUGAGUGUAAGUUUAAUUUAGUUAUCCAUUAUAUCGGUUCAAAACAAUUUUGUUGACGUACACACUUGAAUCCAAAAACAAUUGUAUUGACGCAUUUUUACGUGUCUCUUUGAAAGGGAAAUAAAGAGAUCUUUCAACAUUGAGGACGCGUUUGGUAAGGUAGAAAUUUUUUUAUAUUCGAAAAAUACGAUUCGUGAGAAAGUCUAUUUAUAGGAAUCUUAGAAUAAAUUGUUUACAUUAUAUUAGUACUUAGAAUAACUAAAAGGAUAAUAAAUUGUGUCUUAAUUAGUUUAAUAAAAUAGGUGUUGUUACUAGUAAAAGUGGUCUGUCAUACAUAAGUGGCUUAGAUUAAAUAUAGAAUUGAACCAAAGUGACUCUAGUUUAAUUAGUUGGGGGUUUCUAGUCUCACCCCCAAAUCUAAUCCCCCAGCAUUGGUAAAAUUACCUACCUACCAUCUUCCCUCACAAUCUUCUCUUACGACACUCCCACCAUCUCUUCUCUCCUUUUUUUACAGCACAUCCUAGGGGCAGGAGGUUAACAUCUGUAAAGGACAAGCCCUUCGUCCUCUCCUCUUCCCAAUUUCAUUCAUUACUCUACCGUUUGGGUGUUCCUACUACUACUGCUACUACCUUGAUGAUGGAUACAUAGACUUCUCUCUCUCUCUCUCUCUUUCUCUAAUUGAUUAUGCUAUAGUGGACAACAAGUAAGAAAAUAAUGAUCAAAUUAGUUAUUUUGGGAGCCUCGAGCAAACGCUUUACUUCCCACAUGUUUGGGUGGAUAUGAACAUGAUCAGAGGAACCAAAAAUUAUUGUGUCAUAUCUAGUCUUAAAAGUAAAAAAUAAAAAAAUAUUGUUACACUACUUUACUGAUCAUUUGUUCUAUAAAAUUAUGAAAAUAGAACAAAUAAAUAUUAUCGUCUCAAGCUACAAAUCUUAUCCAUUUUGAUAAAAAAAGUUUUAGAUUCUUUCAAUUUGAACAAGAAAAAAUAAUGAUACACAAAUCAUUUUUUAUUUUAAACACUUCAAUAAACACCCAAGAUAAAGAGAAAUGAAAAAUAUUUGUAGGAUGUUUGAAAUAAAAAAAAAUAAUUUGUAUAUUAUUACUCUUGAAAGAAUUUCAAACAUCAAAACAAAGAAAAGAAAAAUUACCAUUUAGGUCUAUUUGAUUUUGUAAAACUAUUUUGUAAAACAAGUUUAAAGAAUAAUAUAAACAAAAGAAAUUUUUUUUUGGUAAUACUAAUUUCAAAAAAGUUUUAAAAAUGAGAAAAGAGUAUGAAUCUAACAAAUCAUCCACCACCCCCACCUACUAGUUUAGCAAACCCAUGGACCUCGUCUCUUCCAGCAAGAGACACUCAGAACCUUAAGACUAAAGAAGGAAGCGAAAAAGAGACACUACACGAAAAGUCGAAGGAUAUAUAUUUCAAGUACAUAUGCAUUCAAGUCAUCACUUAUCAUACCUAUAUUUCAAGUAAUUUUUUACUUGCUAUAUAAGACUAGAUAUGACACAGUACUUUACUACCACUUACUUAAUAAAGGAAAUGACAGUGAUAUAUCUUUGGGUACAAUAGUUUAUUAAACAAUAAUUAGUUAUCAACAUUUGUGGUUCUAAAUAAUAAGGAGUUGAACAGGUUUAAAUUCAACAUAAAUAACACAAAUAUUGAGAAAAUUUUAGGUCCAUUAUUUAUUCAAGUUUUAGGUUAGUUAGAAGAAGUUGAGCAAAAUAAAAAUAAUAAGGAGUUCAACAUAGCCUUAUAUUAUUAGGUUAGUUAGAAGAAGUUGAGCAAAAUAAAAAUUAGGUUAAUAAGAAUAUUAGCUGGGUUAAUUUAAUGACUCAAUAAUUACUUAUUAAUUUAUUAUCUUUUCCUAGUAUGUAAGUCACUUAUAUACCUACCUUCUCUAGUCUUUGGCUUGUUUGCCAAAUUUUAUAAAGUUACACUUUUAAUUAGUUUUUAUAAAAUGUAAAUUUUAUCAAUUUAGUGAUUAAAAUAAAUCAAGGUUUUUACCUCUUAUGGACCAACGCUUGUUAUGGACCAAUUCUUAAGGCCUCAUCUAGCCUAUUUCAAAGCCCAGGCUGGUUUGAUAAGCUAGAAAUUAACUUUGUCACCUCAUUCUCAGUCUCGCCAACGAACAAAUAAUAGUCCCAAAUUUUUCAUCAAUCUAAUUCUAUUUUAAUUUAUUUUUUUUAUUUCUAGCCAUGAUUGUUUCUGUUUGUUUGGAUUCAGCUCUAGUCUUUUGUGUUGGAAACAGUUUCUUGUUCUGAUUCAGCUCUAGUUUUGUGUUUGACAGUAAAUUAAAAAGACAAGAAAUCACAAAGUGCAUACAAUGGGGGAACACCUGAAUGCAUCAUAUAAAAAGUCAUCAAUGACAUAAGAAGAAAAAGGGCUUCAGACUUGAUAUAACUCUUGUGCUAAUCAAUGUUAUUUGGGUGCUUUUAAUUCAGAGGAGUUGCUGUUAAAGGAUCCAUCUGCUCCCCAUGGAGUUCAACUUUUGAUUGAGGACUAUCCUUAUGCUUCUAAUGGGCUAGAGAUAUGGGAUGCUAUCAAGUCUUGGGUGGAAGAAUAUGUCUCAUUCUACUACAAGUCAGCUGAGGAACUUCAAAAAGACCCCGAGCUCCAAGCUUGGUGGAAAGAACUUGUAGAGAUGGGUCAUGGGGAUUUCAAGGAUAAGCCAUGGUGGCAAAAGAUGCAAACUCGUGAAGAGUUGGUUGAAGCUUUCGCUACCCUCAUAUGGAUUGCUUCAGCUCUUCAUGCUGCUGUUAACUUUGGACAGUAUCCAUAUGGAGGUUUAAUCCUGAGAAGGAGUUUUUUAAGACUAUUAUUGGCAAGAAAGAGACCCUCAUUGACCUUACAGUUAUAGAAAUUUUAUCAAGGCACGCAUCUGAUGAGUUCUACCUUGGGCAGAGAGAUGGUGGUGACUACUAGACUUCUGAUGCCAGGCCAUUAGAGGCCUUUAAGAGGUUUGGAAAGAAUCUUGAAGAGAUUGAAAAGAAGCUUAUAGAGAAGAACAAUGAUGAGACAUUGAGAAACCGCUAUGGGCCGGCUAAAAUGCCUUAGACUUUGCUCUAUCCUUCUAGUGAGGAGGGAUUGAAUUUUAGAGGAAUUCCCAAUAGUAUCUCUAUCUAAGGGCUCUAUGGUUGCUGAAGUACUGUCCCUGGCUUUAAAUAAAUGUGAAAUAGAAGGAAUCUGAUUCCUUCAUCACUUGUGUGUGUUUAAGUUAUGUAUUUGGAGUGGCUAAAUGUACUUUACUUGCCAUAUAUCUUAUUUUGGGAUAACUAAAGGACCCUAAUUAGUAAAACCAACUCUAUUCAGUGACUGAUUAAACAACAACAACCAAGUCUUUUCCCACUAGGUGGAGUUCACUACAUGAAUCAGACGAUGCCAUAAUGUUCCAUUGUAUCUCUAAAUGUUUUUUAAUUCUUUUGCUUAUGGUUUUUCUUACUCUCCCUCUGCCUCUAGUGACUAGGCUAUCCUCCAUCUGAUCUACUCUUCUUACUAAGGCUUAUAAGAUCAUCCUCACACAUGCUCAACCCUCUAAGGCAAGAAUCUACCAUCUUUUUUACAACAGGUGCUACCCUAACUUUUUACCCAAUGCAUUCAUUUGUGUGUGUGUGUGUGCAUGUCUCUGUGUAUCAGCUAUUGACUUUACGCCAUAUAGAGAGCAGCAUUGUGUCAAAUAGUGGUGAGGACAAAAGAUGGUAGAGAGAGACAGAAAGACUGAGAGAGAGCAGCAGUGUGUCACACAACAUUUUAGUCGUCUUUCUAAAAGCUAUAUUUCAGGUGAACAUGCUUCUAUUUUUUUAACAAUUGAAUUCUAUUUGAAUGUAAAUGUUUCCACUUAAAAUACGUAUCUCUGCAUGCAACAGAUAGUUGGACUUCUAAAGGAUAUUGAACCUACAAACUAGUUAGUCAGCAUGAUGACAAAGAGUCAAGCAUUUUCUCUACAUUUCUUUAGUAUUCAUCAAUUGACUACAACUCUAAUAUACACAAUUGACCAAAAGACUCAGGCAAUUGACCAGACGAACAAAAACAGCAAAGUAGGUAGCCUUACCGGAGUUAUUGCUAUCCUAGCAAUUACAUCAAAACAUUCAAACAUUGCAGCAACACCAACAAUCAAUGCAUUGCAGUUCACACACGUAAACUUGCAUCAAAGAUUCAAAAAUUGAAGAAAUGGGAUACCUGAAAAUUGUCGAAGAAACUAAAAAAGGCAACACAGACAAUAUAUGGACCAGCUUUCUGCUCAGACCCUGCCAAAUCAAUUUUCACUAACCCAAUCAGUCACAUCAUACAUAACCACUAUUUACAACAUUGAACAAAAAAGUACAGGACAAAUUAGUAAACUAUAUUACUUUUACACAUAGUGACAAUGGCAGUGACAAUGAAAAAGAGUGAACACCCACUGAAACAAAGACAAUGGCAAUGACAAUGGCAGCGAAAAAGAGUAAACUAUACUACAAAUGAAAAAGAGACCAAGCUUACCUCGAACCCAAACAGUAACAAUGGCAUGAAACUUGAAGCUUUCCUCGUACCUCAAUCAGCAAUACUGCAACUGAAGACAUAUUAUUAUUAUUAUCAUCAAUAAAACAUGAACACCCACUCAAACUUAGCAUACAUGAAGUUGGCCUACGUACCUCGUGGAGAAAGCUUUAAGAACCCACGAGUGUUUCAGCACCCUAGUACCUAGCGGAGGAGUGUAUGUAGGGUUUUCUUUGAGCCACAGUUCCAAUAGCACUGUAGGGGGUUCUGUGGGUUCGAGCGAGGGGUUUCCGGCAGUAUUCAAAACAAUGUGGAUGUUGAGGGAGUGGUUUCCGGCAGAUUUCAGGCGGGAGGAGAAAGAGAAGAGCGAUUUUAGGCAGGAGGACAAAGAGAAGAGGGAGUGCAAGGUUUUUGAGGGCGCGGGUUGUGAAAUGUCAAGUUUUAACUUAUAAACAUAACAACAUCGGUUUUUUAAGGAUAACCGAUGUUAACUGAAUAUAGUUAACAUUGGUUUUGUAAAAACCGAUGUUAACAUCAAAUAGAUUACAUCGGUUUUUUAAAAACCGAUGUUAACAUCUACUCCUUAACAUCGGCUUUCUCAAAACCGAUGUUACCUCUACGAAGUUAACAUCGGUUUUGCCAAAACCGAUGUUACCAUAUUCAUCUGAACAUCAUGUUAACAUCGGUUUUUUAAAUAACCGAUGUUAACAUGAAGUAGUUAACAUUGGUUUUGCUAAAACCGAUGUUAAGUAACUCCAUUUAAUUACAAAAAUGUCAUCACGAUUUCGUUAACAUCGGUUUUCGCAAUAACCGAUGUUAAUGUAGCGAUAUAGAAAGCCUUUUUUUAGUAGUGGUUAUAUAUGUAUAAUAAUAAAUUAAAUACUUUUGUAAAAUUAUUGCUUAAUCAUAAUUAUUUUUUUUGCUACAUCUCAAAUUAAUUGUUGUAGAAGUUUGUAUUUAUUUAUUUUGUUGAAUUAAUAUAUUUCAAUUUAAUCUAUAUUUUUGUUGUGUCAAGUAAAUGUUACUAUUGAAUGAUAUGUGUAGGAUGCAUGGGAUGCGUUAAAUUAUUUUAUUAUGAAAUUGUGAUUGAAAUUGUGUGUAAGUGAUAAUCAUUUGGUAUGUAAUGGAUUAUGAAUUACAUGAUUGUUGAGAUGUUGUAUGUUUUGAGUUGUGAGCCAUGAAUUAUGUAAUCACACAAGUUUAAGAUCCUUUAAGGGCAACGAGUUAAUGCGCGAUGAGUUGUGAUGGGAUCCAUUGUGAGAACCCGACGAGUUAAUCACUUGAGGCGUGAUGGGUUAAAAUUAUUUUGAAAAAAAAUAUAAUUGAGAUUUUGAAAACAAUUGAGUAAUUGUGUGCAUUGCAUAAUCCAUAGGUAGAGUCUGUGUGUUCAAAUGUUUAUUCUGGGUUGGACCUGAAUCAGGAGGGAGAGGCCCUGACGAAUUCUUUGGAGUGUAGGCCUUGGUGGUCACCUGGUUUGAGUGCUCCUUUAAGCUUGUGCCGAUCUCACAUGAUUGGAGCAUUCUCGCAAAACAGCGUGACCCUGACUGGUCUCCCUAUGAUUUUACUUAGUGAGAGUGACCUGACAUACCCAUUGUGUGGUGUGUCUUGUCAUGUACUCCUAGGUGCCCGAUGAGGUUUUUCACUAAAAAAAUGGUACCACAUUGCAUGUAGGCUUGAGUCUAAAAUCUUUGUUGCAUAACGCUUGUGUUUGACUUUCAUCGAGUUAACAAUUGUGAUUUGAUGUCAUCUCCUGGAGUGUGUGAACUUGAAUGGAUGUGAAUAAUGUGUGUGAUUUUGUGAAGUGAUGUUAUUUAUAUAAAUUCAGCUUUAAGUAUUAUAUGUUUCACAUGCUCUUCUAUUUUAUUAUAUAUGAAUGUGAUAACUCACUCCCGGUGUGUGUUUGUGUUUGGGCUGAUUGCCAUUUGUUUCAGGUGAACCAUCAUAUGAUGAGUUCCAUGAUAAAGCCGGAGAGACUUAGUCUGUGAUAGAGACAUGAUCUGAUAAGUGUGACAUUGGGGCAUAGAAUUUUACUUCACAUAUUAUAAUUUCCGUAAACAAUAUAAUUGUGUUAUGUUUUCUGUUUUAGUUUUUUUAUUCAGCACGGACGACCUUGUUUUGAGCCGAGAUAACUUUGUUUUUGUUCGAACAAUUUCUACAAUGUUUUCAUUAAGUGAGUUUGAACCCUUUAUCUUUUGAAAUUAAUCUAAAGUUAAAAAAAAAUUCUACAUGAUUUUAUUUCCUUUUAUUCGUUAUUUGUGAGGGUAGAGGGUGUCACAGGCACCAUCACAUAUUUAUACUUUAGUGAUUGCAGGCACAUACCUACACCUAGUUCAACUAAUGAUGUUGCACAAAUUCAUAUACCUGCCAAGGCUUCAUGCACAAAUAGCAUUAAAUCUCCACCCCACCAAAGUUUUAGUUUCUCAUUUCAAACUAAUUAAUUAAGAAUGAUAAAUAAUCACCUAUCUUAUUGCACAAGGUUAAACUUUAAAGUUCGGUUAAAUACAAGAAAAAAUGAUUUUUUAAGUAUAUUUCUAAGAAAACUACUUUGUAUCAGAAUAAAUCAAAAUUUCCAAAGCAAAAUAUAGGCUACAAAGUACCAAACUACUAUCUUCAGUAAAAGUAUCUACAACAUUUUUCAAAGCAAAGUAUACACUACAAAGUAUCAAAAUAAUUAAACAUUAAACCAAUCUACUAUAAAAACAAAGAAAAACACUAAUUUAGAAGUAAUUAACGUUUAAUUAUAAAAAAAGAAAGAAAAUCAUGGGGAAAAGUUCAUUUACUAUGUUUGAAUUGAAAAGUGAAAACUUAAGUUCAUAGUCUUAAAUCUCCAACCAAUCACCUAGGUAGUUAAACUUCAGCCCACACAACACAACACUUAGAACACGAGUUUUCCCUCAAAUUUAUAUCGAUAAUUUUAUAGCUUAAAACUUACGUGUAAUAAGUAUUACUUGAUUUUACUAAACCCCCACCCUUUCCAAUUCAUAUUAAUUUUUUUUGUAAGUAGUAAAAUAUAAACUUAUAUUAACAUGUAAAAAUGGAAUAAAAAAUUAGUUUUACAGCUAGAAUCUCCAUGUAGCACAUGGUUCUCAAUCAUAUUAAUUAAUUUUAAUUUUCAAUUAUAAUGAAAUUCAAUAGUAACUAUGAAUCAUUGGUUAAGAAGAGCAGAGUGUCACACAAUACUCCACAAUAGUAACAUGUACAAAUUAUUCUGACUCUUAGCUACUAGACCUAUGCUACUGAGUUGGGAUUACAAUGAUCUAUAUAUGUAAUAAUUUCUCAUUCUAGAUUAAUAUGUAGUAGUAAUACUAGCAAAGAUAAAACUUAUUGGACUGGCAUACACUUGAAAGUUCAAACCUCUAGCUUAUCUUCUAACUAAUAUACAUAGGAUAGGAUAACUUUUUGGACAAGAAAAUGAUGGUUAUGCAUACUAUUUAAAUUGUCAUAUGAUCCUAAUGUUAUUGUGCUGAAUGACUUUAAGUACAGAACCAUUGAUGGUGAUCUUGUUGGUGUUGUUGGAGACUUAUGGGUGUUGGAACCCAACCCUAUUCAUAUGACAUGGUAUUCUAACAAAGGUGUGGAGAAAGAGAUAAUGCUAGUUUCUUAAUUCAAGAGAUAACUAUGAUUGCUCAAUUUGUACUAACCUCCCAAACCCAUUCACUCUUUUUUUUCUCUAUAUCUUUGGUUAGUCAUGGAUGUUACAAAAUAAAGAAGAGAAGCUAGAUAAUGAAAAACAUUAUCACUAAGAAUUAUUGACAAAAAUUUAGAAUAGCAGUCAUCCUAUUAUAGCGCUUAUGGGUUAGCUGGUAUCUAGGAUUGAUAAAAGUGAUUAUUGGUAGCCUAGUGCCCCAUAUAUUUAAUUUUAUGUUCUUAACUAUGUUGCUUGUCCAUAAAUAAUUUCUUUGUAAUUUUUACCAUGUGAUAAACAUUAUCCAUUUCACUGUUAGACUAAGUUUGUGUAAUGACGAGUGUAAUGGAAUGGAAUGCAGGCUAGUUAUAUCCCAUACUCCAAAAAUUGGAGGGGAAGAAAAGAGGGCUAUUAGAUGGAAACCAAUGCACUAUAAAUCAUGACAGAAUUGCGGAAUUACAUCCACUAGGACAUGACAGUGAAAGUUUAGGGCCAUCUUAGCCACAACAUCCAAAGGAAAGCAUCAACCAAAUAUGUUUGGUCCAUACUAGAUGUGCCAGAGAGUGAAGGAUGGAAUAUAGAAUAUUGAAUAGAGGAACGUGGCCUCAGAGACUGUCUAACAAACAUAAAAGAUGAGUCAGAGGAAUCAAUAGUAAGUUUAGUAGCAGAUAGGAGAAAGCAAAGCCAAACACAAAAUCAUUAUUUAUCUGUAGGAGCUUCAGGUGGUAGUAGACUGAUGCAAUCUAUAGAAGAAUAUAAUACAUCAGAUGACAAGAUUAGUAGUAACUGUUGGACAUGUGGCCUCAGUUAUCUUAAGAAGGGGUGAAUUAAUUUCUCACUAGCAAACUUUUAACUCCCUUCUAAAUGAGAUAGACUCAAAAUGCAGAAGAAGCAGCAAUCAAUUUAAUAAUUUUCUUUAAACAUGCAAGAUAAAAUUGAUUGCAACAAAAUAAAUGAGAUAAGGGAAAAGAGAAUGCAAACUCAGUUUUAUACUGGUUCGACAAAGUUCGUUGCCUACAUCCAGUACCCAUGCAACCCACUUGAGAUUUUCCACUAUCUUUGUAAAAACCCUUUACAAAGUCUGAACCACACAGGGACAAUCCUUCCCUUGUGUUUAGCAUUCCUUACAACUUAAGAGACCCUCAGUUCCUUAAUAAAUCUCAUUGAAUAAGAAGAAAGAAGAGGAAUUCUCUCUUUAAGAGAAGGAUAUUACAAUUGAAGAUCAUGUAAGAAUCCUUAUAGAUUUGGCAAGUGUUUGGCCAAGGAUUUCUGUUGAGAGAGCAUUUGACAAUGAAGUUCUCUUGGAAUAUCUCUCUCAUUACUUUUUGAAGUCAGACACACAUGUAUAUAUAGGCCCUUCGUGCCUUUUCAAAAUGGUUUGAAGAGAUGUGUCUUUUCAAAAAGCUUUUUCUGAAUUUCUUCACUGGUAAUCGAUUACAGAUUUCUGGUAAUCGAUUACAUAGUUAUAUUUUGACGGGCAUGACUUUUGAAUUUGAAUUUCAGGAGUUUCGUUGCUGGUAAUCGAUUACAGAUAUAUGGUAAUCGAUUACAUGUUCAAAAUUCAAAUUCAAAACCCUUUUCAACAGCUAUUUCUCAAACUUCCCUUCUGGUAAUCGAUUACACUUCCUGGUAAUCGAUUACUAGAGCCUUCAUGACUUUGAAACCCUUUGUUUUGAGGCAAGGCUUAAUCUUGAAGAAAUCUUGAAGCAAGGCUUUGUUUGUUGAAGCAAUCUUGUAUUAAUCUUGAAGCAAAUGUAGCAGCCUUGUUUGAUUCUUCUUUGGCAUCAUCAAAAUCAUGUAUACAUACAUUCACAUUCUCCCCCUUUUUGAUGAUGACAAUCAAGUGAUUUCUUUUCGACAUCAUCAAAACAUACAUGAUUCACAUUCUCCCCCUUUUUUAUGAUGACACUCAUUAUCAAGCAAAUUCUUUUUGACAUCAUCAAAACCUGCAUGAUUUACAUUCUCCUCCUUUUUUAUGAUGACAACCACUUGUAGGUUAGGAGCAAAAACAACAAAAAAAUAUCUAUUUGUAUAUAGUUUUACUCCCCCUUGGUUUUGCAAUGUUUUCUAAUAUGAGACAGUUAAAGAUUUCAUAGAUUUCAUAUAUUAAAAGUUAUCUCAUAAAGAAUAGAUGAUUUCCCUUACUCUCUUAUCUUUUAUCUAUCUCUCCCCCUUUGUCAACAUCAAAAACAAAUCAUGAGCAGAGAGAAGAAAACCACUUGUUGCAAUAUAUGAGAGUCAAGUGAUACCAAAAGGCAUUAAAAUAAACUAUUUUGCACCCACAAAAUUACAUAUCCACUAUAAAACAAUCAAAAUAUAUAUAAAAAAAUUAUCAAAAGUAAUCAAUAAUAAACAUAACCUUCAAACACAAUCAUAAAAAACAAUCAUAAUAACUCUCAAACACAAUCAUCAUAGACAAUAAAAAACAAUCAUCAAAGACAAUCAAAACUUAAUCAAGAAUAAUCAUUAAAAACAAUCAUCAAAGACAAUCAAAACUCAAUCAAGAACAAUCAUUAAAAACAAUCAUCAAAGACAAUAAAAAACAAUCAUAAAAACACAAUCAUCAAAGACAAUAAAAAACUCAAGCAGAAAACAAACAUCAAAACUCAAUCAAAAGUUGACAAUCAUAGACAAAAAUCAUCAAAAGUAAUUUAUCAAAGACAAGUGACCUGUUGGUAUCAUUUGAUAUCACUUGUUGGGCUUGUUGAUCAAGGGGCCUUUGUUUGUUGUCUCCAUAAAUCACAUAUUCACUAUUUUGGGUGAGAAAUAUGAAUAAACUUUGAUGCAUCUCCUCUUCUCCGCUUUCAUAGUCUUUCGCCAUGAGACCUAAACUUAUGAUUUUAUUUUCUGAAUCACAUGAAGAAUUUAUGACAUUAUCUUCCCAAGUGAUGUAUGCUUUCUUUUCUUUCUUUUCUUUGAAAUUCCUCUUGUCGGAUUUUUCCAUUCUUCUUUUAAUGACAGGGAAAUCGAAUCUCAUGUGCCAAGGUUGAUCGCAUUCAUAGCAUUUUGGGGCUAAGGAGGAAUCUUCUUCUUUCUUCUUUCAUCAUCAUCUUCUUCUUCUCUAAUUUUUUUAUAGAUGCAUUUCUCUCUACCAUUGUAGGAAUAAAGGGAUCAAAUUCAAUGGCUUCCCAUAUCUUUAAAUCUAUGGCUUCUAUAAAGAUUUGCAUUCGGGUUUUCCAAUAAUGAUAACCGUCACCAUUGAAAACAAAAGAGGCCUAUUAAUAGAAUUUUCCUUAGGAAAUGAAAAGUUAGACGAGACCAUAUCUAUUCUUGAAAUUUUUAAACUUUAUACAAGAACUCUGCUCUGAUACCACUUGUUGGACAUGUGGCCUCAGUUAUCUUAAGAAGAGGUGAAUUAAUUUCCCACUAACAAACUUUUAACCCCAUUCUAAAUGAGAUAGGCUCAUAAUGCAGAAGAAGCAGCAAUCAAUUUAAGAAUGUUCUUUAAACAUGCAAGACAAAAUUGAUUGCAACAAAAUAAAUGAGAUAAGGGAAGAGAGAAUGCAAACUCAGUUUUAUACUGGUUUGGCAAAGUUCAUUGCCUACGUCCAGUACUCAAGCAACCGACUUGAGAUUUUCCACUAUCUUUGUAAAAACCCUUUACAAAGUCUGAACCACAUAGGGACAAUCCUUCCCUUGUGUUCAACAUUCCUUACAACUUAAGAGAUCUCCGGUCUCUUAAUCAAUCUCAUUGAAUAAGAAGAAAGAAGAGGAAUUCUCUCUUUAAGAGAAGGAUAUUAUAAUUGAAGAUCAUGUAAGAAUCCUUAUAAAUUUUGCAAGUGUUUGGCUAAUGAUUUAUUUUGAGAGAGCAUUUAGAAAUUAAUUCACCUUUUCUUAAGAUAACUAAGGCCACAUGUCCAACAGUAACUUUCGCCUACCAUUGACAAAUUUAGAAGUGAAACAAGCUCCCAUGUGUCAUUCUUCUUGAUUGCCUUUAUUUCUUCAUGUAUAGCAUUUUUCCAAUUCUUGUUCUCAAUGGUUUCAUGGAAGCUCAUGGGUUCGCAAUCAACAAAUAGACAAAAAAGAGUAAGAUUAUCUUAAUUUUCGGUUACCUCAUAAAUUUCUUGUAAGCUCUUGAAGCAUAGAACUAUUUAAAUAGAUCUUUCAUCUUCUUGAGUAUUUGCAAUUGGUGAAGUUGAUGGGAUACUAGGAUCCUUUAUUACUUCUUUGAAACACAAAAAAAGUUAUAGUUUCCAUCAUGUGGUCCCUAAUCCCAUUCUACUUCUUCGUUGAAAUUGACAUCUUGAGUGAUGAUUGUAUUCCCCGAAUAAGGAUUGCAGAGCCUGUAGCCUUUGGAAUUUGAGUCAUAACUAAUGAAGAUGUACUUCUUACUUUUGUCAUCCAACUUGCUUAUUUUCUCAUCUAGUACGUGCUCAUGGGAAAUGCUUCCAAAGACUCUUAGAUGUGAAAUGUCGGGCUUCUUUCCACUCCAUGCUUCUUGUGGUGUUUUUCCCCAUAAACUUAUUGUUGGAGACUGGUUGGAAAGAUAAACUACACAAGUCACUCCUUCUACCCAAAAUUCCUUUGGAAGUAUUUUACUCUCGAGCAUGCUCCUCGCCAUGUCUAAUAUUGUUCUAUUCUUCCUUUCUUUGACUCCAUUUUGCUUGGGAGAUCUCGGUUCUAUGAAGGGUCAUUGAAUUUCAUGAUCUUCAGAAUACUUUUGAAAUUCAUUCAAUGUAAAUUCUCCACCAUGAUCAGAUCUCAUGGCUUUGAUCUCAAGGCCAUUUUCCUUCUCAAAAAGGGCUUUGAAGUUCUUGAAAUUCUCAAACACCUCUUAUUUAUGCUUCAGAAAAAGCACUAUAAUUUUCUUGAAAAAUCAUCAAUAAAGAAAAGGAAAUAAUUGCUCUUUCCAAGUGAGCUUGGCUUGAUAGGACUGCACACAUCUAUAUGCAUAAGUUCCAAUAAUUUUUUAGCUCUUGAGUUAGACUCCUUUGAAAUGUUUUUCUUGAAUUGCUUACCAAGUAGACAUCCUUCACACACUUGAUCAGGGUGACUAUUGCAAGACAAUCCUCUCACUAUUUCUUUCUUGGAGAGCAACUCUAAUCCUCCAAAAUUGAGAUGCCCAAAUUGAAUAUGCCAAAGCCAAGAUGCAUCCUUGUAGCACAUCUCGAGAUAUUUUGCGACAUCAUUUUGAAUAUUGAGCAAAAUCAUUUUAUUUCUUGACAUUGGCACCUUAGCAAUCAAAUUACUUGCAUUGUCUCUUAUAGAAAGGUUAUUGUCUUUUGAGUGAAUAUCAUAACCUUUCUCUAAGAAUUUCCCCAAGCUUUAGAUAUUACUUUUCAUAUUCGGCACAUAAUAAACAUUUGAGAUGAAUUGAUGCUCACCAUUCUUCAAACAGAUAAGAAUAUUACCUUCCUUUCACUUCUAGCUUGGAUUCAUCUCCAAAGGCCUCAUUUUCGUUCAUCGAUUCACCAAGCUCCACCAGCAUGAUCUUUUUACUACACAUAUGAUUGCUUGCACCAGUGUCUAGGUACCAUUUAUUGUCUUUUCUUCUUUCAUCAGUCGUGCAAGUCAUCAAUAAUGGGUCACCUUCUUUACUUUGUUCUUCAACUUAGUUUUCCUUUUCUUCAACUCUAUCAUUGCUAGGAGCUCUACAUUUAGAAGCAUAAGGACCAAACUUGCCACAAUUGUAAAAUUUCACAUUUGACUUGUCGUACGUUGAUCUUGAGUUGCCUUGGCCAUGACCUCUUGUUGAGAUUUCUCCUCUUUGAAAUUUAUUGAGCUUUGCUCAUGGCCUUGUCCUUGUCCAUGACCUUGUCCUCUUCCUUGAUCUUCACUACAACCUUAUCCUUGUUGGCUUCUAUUAUUUUGACUACUUUCUUCGUUGGUUGAAUAAACUUGUGUCUGAAGUAGUUGUUCCAUGAUCCCUUCCUUUAUUUUAUAAGCUUGUAAUGAGCCCAAAAUUUGCUCAAUGGUUAUAGCCUACAAAUCUUUUGUUUCGUUGAUGAUGGCAACAAUAUGUUCAAACUUUGGAUCUAAUGGUCUAAGAAUUUUCUCCAUAAUUUUUAGAUAAUCAAUAUUUUCACCAUUUCUCUUAAGUUGAUCGGUGAUUGUUAAAAUUAUAGAGAAAUAGUCGGAGAUGACUUCAUUUUAUUUCAUAUGAAAUGUUUCAAACUUGGCUCUUAUUGUUUGAAGACAUACCUUCUUGACUGGAUUCACUUCCUUGUAUAUGGUUUGAAGCGUCUCUUAUGCUUCUUUUGUCGACUUUCCUUUUGAAACCUUCUCAAAAGCAUUAAUUGUCAUCUAAUCCUUGAUAGAUUAGAUAGAAAGCCUUCUUGUCUCUCUUUCUUGAGUCUCUCAAACCAUCCCUUUGAUUUUGAGAGAGACUACCCUUAUUCCCUGGCUCGAUGUGGCCUUUCUCUAUUAUCUCCCAAACAUACAUCUUGUGUUCCAAGGAGAGCCUUCAUCUUCAUGCUCCUAUUGUCAUAGUUUCUCAUGUUGAGCAUUAGAACUUGCAAUGGAACCAAGCCGCUACUCGCCACCAUCUCCUUAUAAAGGACCUUCUAGCUUUGAUGCCUAUUUGUUGAAAUGAAAUUUUAGUAGUGCUGGAAAUAUUUGAGAAUGGGAGAGAUUAUAAAUUUUGGAAGAAGAGACUAUUUGUAUAAAUGAUUCUUGAUUUUUGGCUUGAUUUGAUUUGAUACAAACUCUAAUGCAUCACCCCUAUUUAUAUUAGAGGCUCCUCCUAAACCAAUGGUUAGGAUUUUGUCAACACACACUUAAUCUAAUGACUGCAAAUGAUUCUCUAUAGCUUUCUUCGUAGAUACAAUCUUACUCACAAAUUAUAGAUCAUUCUAUAUGCUACUUUAGAAUUAUCUUUUAAAAUAGAUUUCUCUAGAACAUUCUUGUAGAAUUUGGCCUAAGGAUGUUUCUAGAAAUUGGGCUUUUAGACUAAUAAAUCUCAAAAUCAAGUUUAUAUUUGAUGCAAUCCUCCCUAGGAAGGGACCAAUCACUAGAACCAUGAGCAAGAGGCUCCAAGAAGAUUGGGCUAGAGCUGCUGAAGAAGGCCCUAGGGUUCUCAUGAACCUUAGGGUAGAUUUCUGAGCCCAUGGGCCAAGGUUGGGUCCAUUUAUCUUUGUACAUAUUAUACUAGGAUGUCAUUAUAUUUGGUCCUUGUAUUUAGGGCUCCAUAUUGUAGGUAGGGUACCCUAGAAAUAUAGGAUUUUUCAGCCCUUGUAUUUUUGGGCACCUAGACUAGUUUUUGUAUUAGGGGUAGUUUUGUAAUUUCACAUGCACUAAGUUGAUAUUUGAUGUGUGUGGUUGGAAAUAAAUUUAAUUGAAUUGGUAGAAGCCCAAUCCAAUUAAAUUUUAGAGGGGGAGGUGAGCAUUUGCUUACUACACCCCAUUGCCACAUCAUAUAGUCACACUUUGUGCAUGUCCUUCAUGCUUUUCAUGCCUCAUGACACCUAAGCACACUUAGUGGAAAAUCUUGGAAUUGAUCUUGGAUUAGUGGGCUGAACCAUAACUAAAAUUCACUAAUCAUAAUUAGUGAAAUUUUGGCUCCAAAGUUUGGCUCCACAAAUUCAAUUUCAAAUUCAAGUGAAAUUUGAAUUUUCCUCCAAUUUUGUGUGACACUUAGGCUAUAAAUAGAGGUCAUGUGUGUGCAUUUUUUCAACUUUGAUCAUUUGAAUAUUAACUUCAGAUUUCAGAGCUCUUUUUUAGCACAAAAUUCCGUGCUCUUCUCUCCUUCUCCCUUCAUUCAUCUCCUUCUUCCUCCAAGCUCUUAUCCAUGGCCUCCUAUGGUGGUGAGCUUCUUCUAGACUCAUCUUUUCCUUGAAGUGGCGUCUCCUCUCUCUCUUCCUUCUCCAUUCCGCUGCCAUUUAUCUUCCAAGAAGCAAAGGAAUCCAUUGAUGAAGAAGAUCCUAGGCCUACAAGCUCCAAUGGAGCUUGCAUCAUGUGGUAUCAAGAGCAUCUUCAUCUAGGUGAUGUUCUUUUGCUUCCUCUAUCUUUUUGUUCGGUGAAUUCUCUUUUAAUCCUUGUUUUUCAUCUUAUUCUCCAUGUAUAUCCUCCAUUGUCUUGUGGUUUGGUGCUGUUUAGAGUAGAUUCAAAAAAAAUAAACCGAUUAAAUCUUAGAUCUACACUUGUUCUUGCAUUUCUAUGGUUCAAAUUUUGUAGAUCUACUCUUGAAUCUUGUUUUUGUGUUGAUUUUAGGUUCUAUCAAUUUUCAUUCAUAAUAUUCUUGUGCUGAACCUUUAGAUCUAAAUUUUGUUCCAAAAUAUUGAUUAGAAAAAAAAAACACAAAAAUCUAAGUGUAAAUCACUUAAUCCAUGUUGUCUUAGAGUCAUGUUUAGUCAUAGUAAUUGUCACAUUAUGUUCUAAGUUUGUGUUGAAUUUUAUUUUGUUGAUUGAAUUCUAGAUACAUUUGUUCAUGUAUUCUUGUCAUUCUUAGCCUAUCUUUUGAAUUUUGAGUCUAAUUCAUGCAUGUUAUUUAGUUAAUAACAUGUUCUAAAUCAAAUCCUAGAAGUAGUCUUGUUCUUGAACUUUUUUUUUUUGCUUUCUAAGUUUCCUACAUGAUGCCUAUGAUGAAGUUGAGUUGUGGUGCUGAGUUGUGGCUGGAUUUGUGAAUCAAAAUAAGUCUUAAGCUCUCUUUAAUUGUGUUAUUCAAGAUAAUUGAGCAUAAGCAAACACAAAUUGUAACUAUCCAAGCCUCAAGCAACAUAAACAUUACUCUUGAUUUCUAGGCUGAAAUCGCUGGUGCUGGCAGCUUGAACAUACGAACUUGUAUAAAUUACUGGGAACUGGUCACUACGUUUUUUGAGCUGAAACUUUUACUGAAUUUUCUAGACAUCUGGACCAAAAUUAUAAAAAAAGAAACAAGCGAUUUGGAUUAAAGGAAAAAAUAAGAAAAAUCUCACAAGUUGGCAGAAAAAUCAGUGUCCAGGAAAAAAAAGAAAAGUGAAAGGAAAGUGUACUUGUUGUUUUGGCUCAAAAUUUGUUCUAUAAUUGGUGCCUAUUUUAUACCAAUCCUAGUUCUGAAAUUUCAAUUGAAAAUUAUUGUGAAAAACAAGUGCCAAAACUAGAGGUUUCUUGAGUCUUUUUUUUUUUAGAGUUUUUCUACUCUACUCUAGAGCCAUUCUAGGUUUCUCUUUGAGUCCUAGCUUGCUUUUUUGUGCUUUUCAUUGCUUUAAUUGUUGAAUAAUCCUUGAAAAUUUGUCUUGUUAAAACUCUAUUAGUUUAGCUUUCAUUUCAUUUUUUUUUUGGUCUUUGGUUAUUGCUUGUCUCUUUGUUUCCUUGGUUGUGAGUUGCCAUAUAGGGAAUUGGAAAGGAGGAUUGGUGCCAUAUCUUGAAGAAUUUGAGUCAAGAAGAAAGGGGCCAACCACCUUAAGAGCUAUUGGACUAAGAAGCACUCCAAAUUGAGUGAAACACUAAAGAGAGAAUAGCCACCACAAUUGAGGACUUUUUUUUUCUUUGUAAUUUUGUAAUUGGCAAUUUGCUUUGUUUUCAAAUUUUGUAACAAAAAGGCCUUUCAUUGGAAGUAAGUUGGGAGCCUCCGCUAGGUCACCCUACUUCCAUUUAUGUGUAAUAAUUUUAGGCAAUUUUCCCUUAGGAUAGUGAGUGUUUUGUUGGGAACCUUAAAUGAGGUCAUCCAAACACUCUUAGGAUCCGCCUAGUUUGCAUUUCUUGCACUUUAAUUUCUUGCUUACUUUCAUAGCUUAUUUCUUUUACCCUCCAUUGUCAAACCACCUAGAUAGCUUGCCUUUUACCAAUUAGUUUUUACCUUAUCUUUCACACCUCUUUUAGUGUUUAUUUUGGCUAGUUUCAACCAUAGUUUCUUUUACCUUUUGUUUUCAAAGCCCCAACAAGAAAGAACCAUAACUUAGGAACCAACAUGAGUCUUCAUUCUUCAUCUAGUGUUAAUGGUGAGGGUUCUACUCCUAAGGACCCCUUGUAUAAGAUAUUAGAUGAGUUGAGAUCCCUCAAGUUGUGGAAAGAAAAACAAGAGAGAAAAGAAAAAGGUAAAAAAAGAGUGGAAGAAAUAAGUCAAGAUGAAAGAGAGAAAAUAAGAGAGGAAGAAAGAAGAAAAAUAAUGAAAGAAAUGAAAAGAGAAAAACAUGCCUCCUUAUAGUAGUCAUAACUCUUNNNNNNNNNNNNNNNNNNNNNNNNNNNNNNNNNNNNNNNNNNNNNNNNNNNNNNNNNNNNNNNNNNNNNNNNNNNNNNNNNNNNNNNNNNNNNNNNNNNNNNNNNNNNNNNNNNNNNNNNNNNNNNNNNNNNNNNNNNNNNNNNNNNNNNNNNNNNNNNNNNNNNNNNNNNNNNNNNNNNNNNNNNNNNNNNNNNNNNNNNNNNNNNNNNNNNNNNNNNNNNNNNNNNNNNNNNNNNNNNNNNNNNNNNNNNNNNNNNNNNNNNNNNNNNNNNNNNNNNNNNNNNNNNNNNNNNNNNNNNNNNNNNNNNNNNNNNNNNNNNNNNNNNNNNNNNNNNNNNNNNNNNNNNNNNNNNNNNNNNNNNNNNNNNNNNNNNNNNNNNNNNNNNNNNNNNNNNNNNNNNNNNNNNNNNNNNNNNNNNNNNNNNNNNNNNNNNNNNNNNNNNNNNNNNNNNNNNNNNNNNNNNNNNNNNNNNNNNNNNNNNNNNNNNNNNNNNNNNNNNNNNNNNNNNNNNNNNNNNNNNNNNNNNNNNNNNNNNNNNNNNNNNNNNNNNNNNNNNNNNNNNNNNNNNNNNNNNNNNNNNNNNNNNNNNNNNNNNNNNNNNNNNNNNNNNNNNNNNNNNNNNNNNNNNNNNNNNNNNNNNNNNNNNNNNNNNNNNNNNNNNNNNNNNNNNNNNNNNNNNNNNNNNNNNNNNNNNNNNNNNNNNNNNNNNNNNNNNNNNNNNNNNNNNNNNNNNNNNNNNNNNNNNNNNNNNNNNNNNNNNNNNNNNNNNNNNNNNNNNNNNNNNNNNNNNNNNNNNNNNNNNNNNNNNNNNNNNNNNNNNNNNNNNNNNNNNNNNNNNNNNNNNNNNNNNNNNNNNNNNNNNNNNNNNNNNNNNNNNNNNNNNNNNNNNNNNNNNNNNNNNNNNNNNNNNNNNNNNNNNNNNNNNNNNNNNNNNNNNNNNNNNNNNNNNNNNNNNNNNNNNNNNNNNNNNNNNNNNNNNNNNNNNNNNNNNNNNNNNNNNNNNNNNNNNNNNNNNNNNNNNNNNNNNNNNNNNNNNNNNNNNNNNNNNNNNNNNNNNNNNNNNNNNNNNNNNNNNNNNNNNNNNNNNNNNNNNNNNNNNNNNNNNNNNNNNNNNNNNNNNNNNNNNNNNNNNNNNNNNNNNNNNNNNNNNNNNNNNNNNNNNNNNNNNNNNNNNNNNNNNNNNNNNNNNNNNNNNNNNNNNNNNNNNNNNNNNNNNNNNNNNNNNNNNNNNNNNNNNNNNNNNNNNNNNNNNNNNNNNNNNNNNNNNNNNNNNNNNNNNNNNNNNNNNNNNNNNNNNNNNNNNNNNUAGGCCAGCCUAUAGGACUAACCCUCAGGAGACUAAGGAGAUAGAGUCUCAGGUUAAAGAAUUAUUGGAGAAGGGCUGGGUCCAAGAGAGCUAAGCCCAUGUGUUGUGCCAGUGUUGUUGGUGCCUAAAAAGGAUGGUACGUGGAGAAUGUGUACAGAUUGCAGGGCCAUCAACAACAUCACUGUAAAGUAUAGACACCCCAUUCCUAGACUUGAUGAUUGCUUGAUGAGUUGCAUGGUGCCAAUAUCUUUCAAAAAUUGAUCUUAAAAGUGGUUAUCACCAAAUCAGGAUGAAAAAGGGUGAUGAGUGGAAAACUGCUUUCAAGACCAAGUUUGGUUUGUAUGAAUGGCUAGUGAUGCCUUUUGGGCUCACUAAUGCACCAAGCACCUUUAUGAGGCUUAUGCAUCAUGUCUUAAGGGAUUUCAUAGGUAGAUUUGUAGUUGUUUAUUUUGAUGAUAUUUUAGUGUAUAGUAGGAGCCUAGAUGAUCACUUAGGACAUCUCAGACAAGUUCUUUCAGUCCUUAGGAAAAACACCCUCUAUGCAAAUAUAGAGAAGUGUACCUUUUGUGUAGAUAAUAUAGUUUUCUUAGGUUUUGUAGUUGGUAGAAAUGGGGUCCAAGUGGACCCUGAGAAAAUCAAGGCCAUCCAAGAAUGGCCCACCCCAAAAAGUGUGGGAGAUAUUAGGAGCUUCCAUGGGUUAGCAAGCUUCUAUAGAAGGUUUGUUCCUAAUUUCUCUACAAUUGCAUCACCUCUCAAUGAGCUGGUGAAGAAGAAUGUGGCAUUUACCUGGGGUGAAAAACAAGAGCAAGCCUUUGCUUUGCUCAAAGAAAAGCUUACUAAGGCACCUGUUCUAGCUCUUCCUGACUUUUCUAAAACUUUUGAUCUAGAAUGUUAUGCCUCUGGAGUGGGAGUUGGAGCUGUAUUGUUACAAGGUGGGCACCCUAUUGCUUAUUUUAGUGAAAAACUUCAUAGUGCCACCCUCAACUACCCCACCUAUGAUAAAGAGCUUUAUGCCUUAAUAAGAGCCCUCCAAACUUGGGAACAUUACCUUGUUUCCAAGGAAUUUGUCAUUCAUAGUGAUCAUCAAUCACUUAAGUACAUUAGAGGGCAAAGCAAGUUAAACAAGAGGCAUGCAAAAUGGGUAGAGUACCUAGAGCAAUUUCCAUAUGUUAUCAAAUACAAAAAGGGAAAAACAAAUGUGGUAGCUGAUGCCCUCUCUAGGAGACACACAUUGUUUUGCUCCCUAGGAGCUCAAAUUUUAGGAUUUGAUAAUAUUAGGGACUUGUAUGCUUUAGAUGAACAUUUCUCUCCCAUUUAUGAGAGUUGUGGGAAAAAGGCCCAAGAUGGAUUCUAUUUGGCUGAGGGGUAUUUGUUCAAAGAGGGAAAGCUUUGCAUACCCCAAGGAUCCAUUAGGAAAUUACUUGUGAAAGAGAGCCAUGAGGGUGGGCUUAUGGGCCACUUUGGAAUAGACAAGACCCUUGUCUUACUCAAAGAAAAGUUUUAUUGGCCCCAUAUGAAGAAAGAUGUCCAUAAGCAUUGCACUAGGUGUGUGGCUUGUUUACAAGCCAAGUCUAGGGUGAUGCCUCAUGGGCUAUACACACCCUUACCCAUCCCAUCUGCACCUUGGGUAGACAUUAGUAUGGACUUUGUCCUUGGGCUUCCUAGAACCCAAAGAGGUGUAGAUUCUAUCUUUGUGGUGGUGGAUAGGUUUAGCAAGAUGGCACACUUUAUACCAUGCCACAAGGUGGAUGAUGCUUCCCACAUCUCAAAACUCUUUUUCAAGGAAGUUGUGAGACUCCAUGGUUUGCCUAGGACCAUUGUGUCAGAUAGAGAUGCUAAGUUCCUUAGCCACUUUUGGAAAACCUUAUGGGCUAAGCUAGGAACUAAACUUCUUUUCUCUACCACUUGUCAUCCACAAACUGAUGGGCAAACAGAGGUAGUGAAUAGGUCUUUAUCCACCCUUUUAAGGGCUCUUCUGAAAGGCAACCAUAAGUCUUGGGAUGAGUAUCUUCCUCAUGUAGAAUUUUCCUACAACAGGGGGGUUCAUAGAACCACCAAGCAGUCCCCUUUUGAGGUUGUCUAUGGGUUCAAUCCCCUAACACCGUUAGACCUCAUUCCCCUCCCACUGGACACUUCUUUUAUACAUAAAGAAGGGGAAUCUAGGUCAGAAUUUGUAAAGAAGUUGCAUGAGAGGGUUAAGAACCAAAUAGAGAACCAAACAAAGGUGUAUUCAACUAAAGGCAAUAGAGGAAGAAAAGAGCUAGUUCUUAAUGAGGGUGAUUGGGUUUGGCUCCAUCUUAGGAAGGAUAGAUUCCCUACUAAAAGGAAAUCCAAGCUUAGCCCUAGAGGGGAUGGACCUUUUCAGGUUUUGGAGAGGAUCAAUAACAAUGCCUAUAGGUUGGACCUCCUAGAAAAGUAUGGAGUCAGCACCACUUUUAACAUUUCUGAUUUAACUCCUUUUGCAGGUGGAGCUGAUAUUGAGGAGGAGGAACUAACAGAUUUGAGGUCAAAUCCUCUUCAAGGGAAAGGGGAUGAUGCAAUCCUCCCUAGGAAGGGACCAAUCACUAGAACCAUGAGCAAGAAGCUCCAAGAAGAUUGGGCUAGAGCUGCUGAAGAAGGCCCUAGGGUUCUCAUGAACCUUAGGGUAGAUUUCUGAGCCCAUGGGCCAAGGUUGGGUCCAUUUAUCUUUGUACAUAUUAGACUAGGAUGUCAUUAUAUUUGGUCCUUGUAUUUAGGGUUCCAUAUUGUAGGUAGGGUACCCUAGAAAUAUAGGAUUUUUCAGCCCUUGUAUUUUUGGGCACCUAGACUAGUUUUUGUAUUAGGGGUAGUUUUGUAAUUUCACAUGCACUAAGUUGAUAUUUGAUGUGUGUGGUUGGAAAUAAAUUUAAUUGAAUUGGUAGAAGCCCAAUCCAAUUAAAUUUUAGAGGGGGAGGUGAGCAUUUGCUUACUACACCCCAUUGCCACAUCAUAUAGUCACACUUUGUGCAUGUCCUUCAUGCUUUUCAUGCCUCAUGACACCUAAGCACACUUAGUGGAGAAUCUUGGAAUUGAUCUUGGAUUAGUGGGCUGAACCAUAACUAAAAUUCACUAAUCAUAAUUAGUGAAAUUUUGGCUCCAAAGUUUGGCUCCACAAAUUCAAUUUCAAAUUCAAGUGAAAUUUGAAUUUUCCUCCAAUUUUGUGUGACACUUAGGCUAUAAAUAGAGGUCAUGUGUGUGCAUUUUUUUCAACUUUGAUCAUUUGAAUAUUAACUUCAGAUUUCAGAGCUCUUUUUGAGCACAAAAUUUCGUGCUCUUCUCUCCCUCUCCCUUCAUUCAUCUCCUUCUUCCUCCAAGCUCUUAUCCAUGGCCUCCUAUGGUGGUGAGCUUCUUCUAGACUCAUCUUCUCCUUGAAGUGGCGUCUCCUCUCUCUCUUCCUUCUCCAUUCCGCUGCCAUUUAUCUUCCAAGAAGCAAAGGAAUCCAUUGAUGAAGAAGAUCCUAGGCCUACAAGCUCCAAUGGAGCUUGCAUCAAUAUUUCAACAUCUCAUGGGUGAAUAUACAUAUACUAAAUAUUAUCCAUCGGGGGUUUGUCUUUGCUGGAAACUUGAGAAGAAGCAUCAGUGAGUUGGUUUGAUAACAAAGGGAUUUGCAUUAUAUUUGAGAUCAUAGAUUGGGUUAUGGAAGAGUGUGUAUAAAUGGCAUCGUAGAAUAUGGCGGGGAAGUCAUUUCUCUCGGUGACGUAAACAAGUUGGAUGGGAGAUGAGUGUUUGGGGAGUUAAAUAGUGGUGGUGUUGGAAAGGAAAAGAGGUUGUUGAAAUUAACGGAGUGGCCAUCGAUGAGUUGAAGUUCUUGAUUAGGGGUGGGUAGUUGUUGAAUUGGGACUAGAGGGAAUAAAUGUCGAAGGCAGCUAUGCCAAGUGUGGUGAAGAUUCAUACAAAGCUUUAUUCUUCAUUGUUCAAACUUAAGAUCUAAUUUGUCCCAAUUUUUUCUUUUAUAUUUUUCUUUAAUUCUUGUAUUUUUUUUUCUUGCAUUUGUUGUGGGGGGGGGGGUAUUGUGUUGAUUCUUGUACUUUUUUGGAAUUUAUGACAAUUUUUAACCCCCAUAAAUUAAAUUUUAAAAUUUAAAUUAAAAAAUUUCACGUAGGUUCAGAUUUAUUCAAACCUAAUUCCAAGCCAAAAAGUAGUACAUUAAAGUUUUAGAGGGACGAAAAAAAACUAAAUUUUGCAAGGAGUAAAUCCGAACUACGAUAACUUUUUAGGGACGAAAAAUAUAUUUUAACCUUAUAUUUUCCUAUCAAGUAGUGCUCGUGAAAUGUCAUCUUAUUUUACUUUCUUCUUUAUAUAAAAUCACACCUUGUGCGUAACAUGCGGAAAUCAUGAAAUUGUUGUGGGAAAAUAAAAUUGGAGUCAUAAGAGAGUUGGAUGUUAGUUAUUUCAAACGCAUAUUACAUGAUGAUGAUGUUUGGUGGAUAAAUCAUGAUGAUGAUGAUUGAUUUACACAUAAUGAUGAUGGUGUUUAAUGAUUUAAUCUUGAUAUGAUAUUGAUGAGGUGGUGAUUGUUAUGAUUUUCUUUGUUAUGUGAAUUAUGAGACUUAUGCUUUGUGUAUGAUUUUAACAUAUUAUGUUAUAUGUGUGAUGAUGGUAGAUUAUGCAUGCUUUAAUUGUGAAGUUUAUCGUAUUUUAAUAUACUCAUUUAGCCUUUAAACAUAAGAGCUAUGACAUUUAUUUAAAGUUUAACAAUUAAAUUAAACAAAUAAUAUAAAAUAAUCAUAUUAAAUAUUAAUUACACGAACCAAAUAAAAAUCAUUUGUACUCUCUUGAAGUAUGUCAACAAACGAUACAAAAUCAAAGCAAAUCUUCUAUAUAUAUGAGUCUCGAACAUCGAGUUUUUGUGUUCAUGAUAAAAGUUAAUCUUUAUUUAUACUUUUUCGGCUUAAAUAUUUGGUCUAGGAAAGUUAAUAUGAAAUUUUCCAUCAAAUCAACAUUGUCUUUUUCAAUAUAUACUUUCAAAAAUCAUCAAAAAGGCUAGGCUUGGUAGCAGCUUAAAUAUGACAAUUGUUAUUUAAAAACAUGUAAAGUGAAAAAGGGGGAUAGACACAGCAGAGUGAAAGACUUAUUUUUUUUAAUUCUUAAAUUAAAUUGCUUAUUUAUUUUAAGUAAGAUUUUAAAAAAAUAAUUAUUAAUACAUUAGUGAUCUAUUAUUUUUACCCCAAUUUUCUUUUUGGGGGCAGGGUGGGUGGGGGUUGGGAAACUUCACUUUUCUUUAAAGAAAACUUUAAUUAGAUACAUAUUCGAAAACACUCUUAAAAAAUUGAGCAAAUUAUUAGUUUUUUAUACAAGAUCCAAAGAGAAAAAACUAAGUUUUUAAACAAAGUUAGUAAAUAAACUUUUAGAAAAAAUUAAUUGAUCACUCAUAAAUUACACGUCAAUUGUUUAAACAUGAUUCAAAACAUCAAUAUAGCAUUGAUUAAUAUUAAAAACAAAUUAAAUUUCAUUUGUCUAUAAAAUUAAAUUUUUUGUUGUUGUUACAUAUGAAAAUUUUACUUAAAGACAAAUAUUUUAUUUAUAAAUUUUUUAAUUGACAGGGUAUUGAUUUUGAUAAUUCAUAUUUUUAUUCUUCCUGCAUGGAUAAUCAGAUUAGGACAAAUUUAUUUGAGUGAUGUUUUUAUAAUCAUUGAAAUUUUAAUGUAAAGAGACUCUUAGAUAUUUAUAAUUAAAUUAAUGAAUAAUUUUUUUUAUAAGAAUGAUGUUUUUAUUUCUUUUUAUAUCAAAUAUCCUUCAUAUUUUUAAUGAUUCUAUAAAAAAUUAUACUUUUAAAUGCUUUUUUGAUUUCAAUAUUAAGCUAAAUGGCAUCAUUGGUGAAAAAAAAAAUAUUUCUUGAGUAUAGAAUUCCAUGUUGUAUCAAAUAAAUUCCAUAUUACCCAAGUAAAACUUAAGAGACAUACUUUUAAAUAUAGCAAACUUUUUUGACAUAAGAAAAAUAAUUAUCUAGUUGGAAGUAAACUUUUGGAUUGUUAAACAAUAUAUUUUGUUGGGGGUGGUUGGAAAGUUUAUCUUUUCUUUAAAGAAAACUUUAAUUACACGUCAAUUGUUAAAAUAUGAUUCAAAAAAUCGAUAUACCAUUGGUUGUUAUUAAAAAUGAAUUAAAUUUCAAUUGUCUAUAAAUUUAAAGUUUUUAUUUCUAUUGUUAAAUAUGAAAAAUUUAUUUAAUGACAAAUAUUUAAUUAUAAUUUUUUGUUAUAAUGUUUUUUAAUUAACAAGAUAUUGAUCUUGAUAAUUCAUAUUUUUAUCCAUUGGUUGCCUAGGUAAUCAAAUUAGGACAAAUUCAUUUGAGUGAUUUUUUUUAUAAUCAUUGAUUUUUUUAAUAUCAAGAGACUCUUAGAUAUUUAUACUUAAAUUAAUGUAUAAACUGUUUAUAAGAAUGAUGUUUAUAUUUCUUUUUAUAUUAAAAUAUCCUUCAUAUUAUUAAUAUGAAUCUAUAAAAAAAAGUUAUACUUUUUAAACAAUUAUAUAUUCUUCCUUUGUUGCAUUAAUUCAUUUAUAUAUUCUUUAUCCACUCAGAUAACCAUAUUAGAACAAACUCAUUUUAAUGAUUAAUUUUCUUAAUAAUCAUUGUGUUUAUUUAUUUUAAGAAAGUAUAAAAUAUUUAUAUUUAAAUUAAUUCAUACAACUUUUAUAUGAAUGAUGUCUAAUUUUUUUUAUAUCAAAGCAUCAUUCUUUUUUUUUUCUUAAUUUGAAAUUAUAAAAAUUAUAUUUUAUAAAUUAUUAUAUUUAUGUUACCCUAAUUCAUAUUUAUAUUUAUCUAUCAACACGAGUAUCAUACAAAAUUAUUUGGACCCUUUAUUAUAAGUGUCUUAGAUAUUUAUCAUAUUUUAGUUUGUUUAUUUUUAUAUUAAAACACCUUUCAUUUUCUUUUCAAAUUGAAAGUAUAAAUUAUAUUUUUAAAAUUAUUGUAUAAUCUAUUUAUGUUUCAUUAAUUCAUAUUUGUAUUCAUCUAUCACUGGGUAAUCAUAUACUAAGACAAAUUAGUUGGGAUGUUUAAACCUUUUUGUAUCAAAAAAAUUUCUUAAUUUGGCUAUAUAAAAAAUUAUUUUUAAGCUAUUAUUUAUUUUAUUUUUAUCAUAUUAGUCCAUAUUUGUAUUUGUGUAUUACAUAGGUAACCAUAUUAGAGUUUAUUGAUUUGAAUAAAAAAAAUUAUAAUCAAAGAUCUAUGAAAGUCAAUAUAAUAUUUCAUUAUAUCGAUGGAUGAAAAAAAUAUAUAUCUUAAAAAAUUAUUAGUUAAAACUCACAAGCUUAAAAAGUAAUAUUUUUAAUUAUAAAAGUAGUAGUUAUAAAAGUAAUUAUAAAUUAAAUAUAUUUAAAUACAUUCAUUUUAUUAACCCAAAAGCUCAUUGGUGAAUAUUUCAAAAUUAACCAAAAUUGAAACUAUUUACAAAAGAGUGCACCUUUAAUUAUAAUACACAUUUAUGAUAUAAGAAACACAAUUAUCUCUUUAGAAGUACACUCUUCAUGUUAUUAAACAUUAUAUCAAAAACUUGUUAUCAAUAACAUAAUAAAUUCUAGUAAGAAAUUAUAAAUAAAUUUAAAUGUGAAAUAUUUUAUUCCGUAACAACACAAUGCAUAUAUAUAACUAUGUAAGUAUAAGUGUAAGAAAACAAUUAUUUAAUAAUUCAGCAUCAUCACCCUGUACUAAUAUGCAGGGUUGGAAUGUGAGCAAUCUUUGGCCAGUCUUCGCCUCCUGGGUUCUGGCAACGCUGCUUGAGUUUGGGGCAGGAAUAACCAAUUGUAAAAUAUGAAAUGGAUCCGGGAAGACCCUCCUCUGGUAGCUGUUGGAGGUUGGGACAGUUUUCAAGAAUCAAUUUCUUGAGAGAGGAGAGCUGACAGAGCCCCUUGUAGUCCAGUUUUUUUAGAUUUCGAAAACCACUGAUGGUUAGACAAGUAAGAGAGAGUGGCAGCAAACCUUCAUCAGGAAAAGAUUCCGCAUCCUGCUCUCUUAUCGACAAGGUUUCCAGAGAGGGAUUGUCUCCCAAAGCCCCUUUCAGUGACGCCAUGAGUCCGGACGAGCAUUUAUAGAGUCGCAUCUCUUUUAGAUUUGAUGGCAAACCUCCUUCAGGGAACGACUCAACUCUAGGACAAUCAUCUAUUCGUAGCUCC